rnacentral:lncRNA from 1 species
UUUUUUUUUUUUUCUUUUUUGUCUAAAGCUAUUGAUGUAUAAUUAAUUUCUCUGUUUUCUUUUUUGCAGCUUCAUACGUCGGUGUCAAAGAUAGUGUCCCAGCUUAUUUGGAUCCCACUCUUAGGAUUGACGACCUAAUGACCGGUGUUUCAUUUGCAUCUGCCGGUUCUGGAUUUGAUCCACUUACCCCUACACUUUCCGUCUCUCUCUCUCUCUCUCUCUCUCUCUCUCUCUCUCUCUCCCUCUCUCUCUCUCUCUCACACACACACACACACAAGCACUCAAACACACAAACACCCACAUAAGCACUGCCUAUGUAUCUAUUUUUGUGUGUGUUUGUGUUGAUAGAGAGACAAUAAUAUCAGUUUUAGACACGAAUAUUUAUUAGAGGAAGUUACAAAUUUCAAAUGGUAACAACUUUUUUUCGAUGUAGCUUCUACUUUGGUCACCCUUUUUUCAUAUAUUCAUUACAUUACGUAGUUUUUAUCAGGAAGCCUGUAAAAGGUUAGCACUUGCAAUGGUUUUCCAAAUCCUUUGUACUGGAUAUUGAUCAGUGUACAACAGAAAAUUAAUUAACUACAGCCGAGUACGAAUAGCUCAUAAAUGUUUCUAUAUUUACAAUUUAUUGUUUCACUGAAAGUGAAUAACGUUAAAUUCUUAUUCACUAGGGUCGUUACUCGUUAGUAACCAGUACCUAAGAAUGUUGGGAAUCAUUGACAUGGUAUUUUAUGCAUACGUAUAUGGAAUAGUACUGAUUAUAUAGAUGGUUUGAAAAUGACAUUUUCUUAUUGAUGUCAUUAAGAUAUGGUUUUAGAUAUAUGCAUGCAUCAUAUAAGCUAGUUAGUUAGCUAGUUUCUUACAUUUUGAUUGUGUACAUUGUUGUAUAUAUAGGGUGCAAUUUCAUUGGAACAGCAGAUGAAAUACUUCAGAGAGUAUAAAUCGAAGAUGGAUAUGUUAAUUGGGAAAGAACGAACGGUUGAUAUAAUUAAGAGGGCCGCGUUUAUGCUCAGUGCUGGUACAAAUGAUUUUAUUGUAAAUUAUUAUGCCUUGGGUGAACCAGUGUCACAGGUUUUGUAUCCGAACGUUUCAAGUUAUCAAAAUCUUUUGUUUGAAAACAUCGACCAGUUCUUGAAGGUAUGUUUUUAUCAUGCAUGCCAAUAGCACAAUCUUAUUUAUGACAUGUUAAGUCAACUACUACAUUGUAAGCUUCAUGAAAAAAAAAAAAAAUACAUUUUAGGCAAUCAAUGUAAUCUUUAGAAAGAACUAAUCGUUUGGUCUGAACUAAAAUAAAUGAAAAGUUAAGCUGCUGAUUCUUAAAUUAGAUAUAUGUGAUACAAGAGAUUAUGGACCAAUGGAUACUGUCAUAAAUGUUGGUUUAUCUAAUAUAGAAUUAUUUUUUGGCCCAUAAUUUAAAAUGCCAUAAAUGGGUACGUGUUACAUUGCAUGAGACAUAGUCAGAUAUACCGACUUUUCAUGAGUUAAGUUGACGUUGAAAUGUGGGUGAGAAACUAAAUAGAAAACGUCAUAAAAACCUUAUUAAAUGAGAGUGGGACAUGAUUAGGUGUUGUCUAAUAAAUUAUAUUUUGAUAGUACGCAUUAAUAUAUCCAUUUGAAAAUGGUUUUAGUUAUAAUUUGAGGUAAAAAUAAAUAAAAUUGGGUAUCAAGAUAAAGUUUUUAUUUACUUUUGACUGCCUUACUUUUAGAUAUUGGUAUCCUAAUAUGUCAACAAAUGUCAACAAGCGUGAUGUCUUAUGCACGUUGGCUUUUGUCUUGAGUAUUAUCUUUUAAUUGUGUGCAAAUCUUAUUUCUCAAUAAUUAAAGAGAAAUUUUUAUCUUUAAUUGAUCUGACAUGCACUCCUAUCAUGUGGAUUUAAUUACCUAAUGAUAAGUCACUAUCCUAUAAUACUAUUUAUAAUAAGAAAGAAGAGAAAAAUUAAAGGCAUCGUGACAUGGACCAAUAGUACUACAUGCACAUGUCCAUUUUGAAUUAAUUAUUAAUUUCACAUAAUCAAAAAGUUUUCCGUAUACAUAUGGGGUUAAUUUUUUGUUGUUACAAUUAAUUCCGGAUGUAUAUAAUUUUGAAGGAAUUGAUGAAUGAAGGUGCUCGAAAGAUAGCCAUGGUAGGUUUACCUCCAAUGGGUUGCCUGCCUGAAGUAAUUACUUUGAACAGAAAUGCUGCAAUGAAUGGACGAGAAUGCGUAGCAACCAUGUUAUCGGUUGCAAAAGACUACAACGUAAUUCUUCAAAACAAAUUGAAAGCGAUGCAAACUUCUGAAACCAAAUUCUAUUAUGCAGACAUAUACACACCUCUUCUUGACAUGAUUCAAUUUGGAAAAAGCAAACUUGGUAAGUUUAUAAAGUUAAAACAUAUUAGUGUGUUAGCAUGAAGAUUCCUACGCAUAUAUGUAUCUAAAGCUCACUUUCAGGAGCAAUUAGAGAUAAUUAAAACCUACUAAAAUGAAUUUUAUCCAUUGAUAGGUUUUGAAGAGGUGAGUACCGGAUGUUGUGGAACUGGAUAUAUUGAAGCAUCAAUACUAUGCAACAUGAACUCAGCUAUAUGUGAUGAUGCAUCAAAAUAUGUGUUCUGGGACGCUGUUCACCCAACUGAAAAAGCUUAUUACUAUGUAUUUACAACCAUCCGUCCGGUGGUUGAUAUAGUAUUGAAUGACUAUUAAAGUAAAUUAAAAUGAUUUAUCAUGAAGCAAGAUGAUAGGUUUUAAAGCCUAGUUUCCAUUUAAAUGCAUGUUAAUGUGUGCUUAGUGUUAUAAUAUGUAUAUGUAAUAUAUCCGGUCCACUCUCGGUUUGCAUAACAUUUUGGUUUCAGCUCUAUACCAUAAAUUAUCUUAACCAUCCUAUUUUACCAUAACCUAUUAUAUUUUAUCAUGAGUUAUCUAUUGUACUAAAACAUUCACAAUGUAUUAAACUUAUUAAAAUUUAAUUUAAUUGAUUGACAUGUUAUCAUUUUAUAUUCUAUACAACUCUAGCUAUAUUAACUUUACUACAAUGCAUUCAACUAAGUUCAAUGAAAUAUAUUUUUAAUAAUUGAAAUGUUUUAUUUUCUAUUGAAAAGCUCAAUGGUCAUUGAACUCUAUAUCUACUAAAUGAUAACAUGACAUCUCAUAAUGAUAGAGUGUAAUACAUUAAAUGUCAAUUAUGCAUUCAAUCUUAUUCAACUCUUCCAUUGCCACUACAAGAAUAACGACUAAUAGUGACAAUGCCAUUAGCGGCGACAACCAAUAAACAUGUUGGAUGUCGCCACUAAUAGUGGUUGUUUGAAACGUCACAAAAAUACAAGGUAAAAUUUUGUUUUUAAUUCAACCAAACAUUCAUUCAUUACUUUCAAAAUAGUGAUAGUAUCAAAAGUAUUUCCAAUAACAUCAAAGUGGUAACAUAAUUAUAAGUAUGAAAUCCCUUGUGGAUGCAAUGUAAUCAUGUCGGACUCUUCCCAUUGGAACCAAAAGUACCUGAAAUAUUUUAACCACAAAACCGUAAGCAUAAAUCUUAGUGAUUUCCACAAAAUACCACAUACGAUACAAAACAUAACAGGUCUAUUUCAACCCCAAGAAGGUGCUAUAGGCCAAAUCAUACUCUUAACCCUUGACAUGGGCCAAUUAAUGGUCUUUACUUAUGCAUGUGUCAUGGGACAAAUCCUGGUCUUCUAUACAAUUGUCAUGGGUCAAACUUUGGUCUUGCAUGUAAAUGUCAGGGGGCGAAUCCUGGUCUUCCAUAAAAUGCCAAGGGCCAAACCAUGGUUUUCCAUUCAGGUAUCACAAAGACAUCAAACAACCUACAUCGUAUAGUGAAAGAGCUCACCUCGCAACAUAGUCAACAACUAACCAGCUUACAUAGCCAAAAGGGUAUUGCACACCACCUACCGAAUCAUACAAGGUAAACCUUAGUCUUCCUUCUUAAACUAGCAUUUUUAAUAAAAGUCAAAAUUAGUCAAAAGUCAACGGUCAAAGUCAAUGCCAGUUAACCUUCAUGUUGUGGUCAUCCUUUGGCCACGUCGUGGGAUCUUCGCGACAAAACAAUCGUGUUCGGGCCAGCCACCACGUCGUGGCAAGCAUGCCACCAUGUUGUGGCAACUGGAAAGAAAAAACUUAAUGGGUUAAGCUUUUAAUUCGCUAAGCAUUAAAACCAUACUUUGCAAAAGGCUUAUUGGGACCUUAAUGGUCCAUACAAAUCCAAACUUUAUGGUCAUGCAUGUCUAAUGCAUGUCCUUCUCUUAUCUAGGUCAAAAAUGGUAGAAAUAGGGUCAAAACCCCAUGCAAGGCUUUUAACACUCACUUAACUUCUAGAUCUACAAGAUAUUAAGCUCAUGCGACCCUGGAAUGCAAUAAAGUUGCUAACUUUAUUUCAUUCAACCACUCCAACCAAAGCAAAGAACCAAAAUAAGCUAAAAAGACCUAGAUCUAUAAGGAAGAAACCAACAAGAUGAGAACUUAAGGACCUACAAAGAGUCCAGAAGAUGUACACAAGCCUAUGGGUAACCACUUGGGAGCUUAGGGACUUACAAAGAGUCCAACAAGAUGAGAGCUUAAGGACUUACAAAGAGUCUAGAAGAUGAGAGCUGAGGGACUUGCAAAGAGUCCACUUGGGAGGAAAGGCCAACCGUUCCUUGAGAAGCAAGAAGCUCAUAGCCUAUGGGUAACCUUAUCAGAAUACUUCCUUCUUCUUUUACCACGAAUAACUAAACCUAAACAAACAACUUAUAUUCAAACUUCUCAUCGUACUUUCAUCUUAUGGGUCGGUUUUCCCCCAAUUCGGUUCGACCCAAUAUCUGUCGCUACUUGUCUCUGAUCAAUGCCCAAGUUGGCUUUGUGUAUCCAAUCUGUAGCUUAUUUAGACUUUGAAGAAACUCAUGUUUGUCAUAUCCAAUGACCUUUGACGUUCCCAUUGUAUUACUACUACUUUUGCAUAAUGCAAGUGAUCUUCACAUAACAUGACCAAAACAGGAUAAGAUCGUGACAAGCACAAUGUUGUCUUGAAAUGUACUAAGUUAACACUAGCAACAACAUAAACUUACCAUUCCAUCUUUAUUAUAACUUUAUCGUCAUAUAUUUAUUACAUAGGGUUUUAGCUAAAGUCUAAAAUAACUAUUAAUCUAUCCAAUGUGAUCACAUUCAAGCUAGGGCUUUUCCUCGAUUAGAAGAACAACCAGACAUGACCUGCGGUGCUUCCCUUACUUCCUCUGCCGUGAGUUGAAAGGCUCACCCUUUGGCCCUGAGAGCUUCAACUCUGCCCUAAUGUCCAUCGAUUAUUCUUAAAGUUGCUGGUGCUAGAGCUUGUAUUGCGCCUGUUGGAUUCAUAAGAGGACAAUUGGCCCUUAUGUCAUCCAUCUGAUUGCAGUGGAAACAGUUACACACUCCUUAUGCUUCCUUCUUAUAGUCUUAGAUGAAAUGUCCCUCUUUUUUCGCACUUGUGGAAUAUCACAUCAUGACAAUCUCCCUAUUGUAAUUUCCACACUUCUUACACCAAGGUCCUUUCUGUCCUCCGGACUUUGAUUGGUCGUGCUUGAAUCUUUUGGUUGUUGGCUGGGACAAACUUGGAGCCUGCCUCUUUUCCUUUUGUUGAAUUUCCAACUCAAUUUCCCUUCUCCUUGCAUUCACUUUCAUCUCUGCUAAGGUCUUGUAUAUAUUGUUCGAUACGAACUCCUUUGUAUCAAUUUUGAGCAUACUUAAGUAUCGAGCCAUCUGUACUUGCUCCGAUACGGCAUAUUCUGGGAAAAAAGGCUAUCUCGGUGAACAUCUUAGUGAUCUCAGUCACCGAUUUAGUGGUCUUUUUGAGUGAUACAUAUUCUUAAGCGAGCCACUCCCUCUCUGCUGGUGGAACAUACUCUGCCUUGAACUUCUCAAUGAACUAUUCCCAAAUCACCACGUUCUCGCAAGGUGAAUAGUUUUAGUGACAAAGUUAAACUAGUCUUUUGCUCCUAGACGUAUCCGAAAAAGCACAAGUGUAAAAGCAUCCUUCUACAUCCGAGAUCCACCCCAUGGAAAUAACUAGAUCUGUAAAAUAAUCAAACACAGGAGCUUUGGCGUUGUUAAAUUCUCGAUAGGGCAUUUCCUUUUCUCUAGCAACAGUUGCGUACCUUUCAUCAAAUAGGGCUAUCAAUUAAGCCUUAAUAGUUCUAUACAUUUCUGGAAUCAGUUAUCUUACAAUCGUUGAUACCGCUGCCUCUAUCUAAUCGCGUAUAUAAUAGUCUCACUUGGUCUUAACCCUUCAGAUCCAGAACCCAUCCUGCUUGCUCUUGUGAUAAUUACUGUGCUGAAGGCGUAACGGGAAUGGGUUGAUAUGAAUCGAACUAAUUCUAAAGGGAUAUUCGAAUCCGCUCAAGUUCCUUAGAAAUUUUGUGGAUUUUCUUGAGUUAUGUAUAAAUCUUUUAUUUCCAGUAGUACGGGCCCAUACUACCUUCCACACAUACCCAUACCAGAUCUAAAAAUUUCCCCAAGGAUUCCAAGUCACUACACUCUGCUAUUGUUAGGUAUUUUCGCACACAGUGUUUCAAUUACCUAAUUAUUUCUUUCCUAAUCUUCACUCGGAUCUUGCUAUUCUACCAACGCCCUAUCUUACGAAUAUAUAUGCCUUAUCAAGCAUAUAUUAAAUUUCCUAGACUAUCCUUCUAGGAUUACUUCCCACUUCACUCCACUAUUAUCCGAGGAAGAACUUCUACCACUAUCAACUAACUAUUAGACGAAUACAAUUACAUGCCUCUGAAAUCAAACAGUUUGUCAACUGAAAGACCCGAAACUACGGUGAUUAGACUCAAAUGAGAGUUGCGUAAAAGUGCCAAAUUAGGCAAUCUAAAACUAUUAAGAUUUGGGAGCAUACAACUUAACUUACUUGUCGAAUAACUAAUUAAUAUCAAUAUAGGUUCUAAGCAACAGUUACCAAUAAAUUUACUAGGCUGUACGGCAUCUUAAAUAUCAAACAAUUUUAACCGGCAAUUCCUAAAAAGAUCCCUAGCCUACAUACUAGCAUGCAUUUCUAACAUUUCAUACAUUAGUAAAUGUAAAAAAAUAUCGAUAUUUUGGGAAUCAGUUUCCUUUCUGAGAUUUGGCUAACUCUAUGUAUCACAUUCUUUCCAUUUUGUAUUAUUCUUUUUAUGAAAAGAUUUGUUAAUUAUUCAUAGCCUUAGUUUCAUUCCGGAAUCACACGAGUGUUCAUCCAGUUCUCUCAAACCAGGGCUCUAAUACCAACUUGUAACAUCUCGAUUUUCAACCCAAAAUUUUCAUUUUUAUUUAUUAAAAUAUAGUAGAGUAUAAUGAAAAUGUGUGGAAACAUGUUGCGAAUGCACGUGUGUACAGUCCAACCUUGCACUUCUCACGGAUCAUUGAAGUCCUUGAAAAACAUUUCUAUUAAACUAUGUAAGCACGAAGCUUAGUGAGUUCCCCAAAAUACCAUAAACCACAAUACAUAUACAUGCUUACAAACAAUGGGUUACGAUCUACCAGUAAUAUGUGCACUUACAGUGUAACGUCCCAAAAAUCGUGAAAUAAAAGAAAACUUGUUUUUAGAUUAAUAAUUGUUAAUACAUAUCUCUCCCAUAAAACCCGAGUAACUAAGUUUUAGCAAAACAUCGACACAUAAGAGUAAUUCACACAAAGCGGAACAUUCUGCAAUCAUCCCGAGCUCUUCCAUUUGAAAACCAGAGUACCUGAAACAUAAACUAAAAACCGUAAGCACAAAGCUUAGUGAGUUCCCCAAAAUACCAUACAACAUACAACGAUAGAUUAUCAUACAACAUACAUAUAGUUGCCAUGGGCUCCCCCAUGGUAUUUAUCUGGAAUGCCAAGGGCUCCCCCUAUGGUCAUUACCUGGAAUGUCAUGGGCUCCCCCAUUGUCAUAAUAUCCAAGUGUCAUGGGCUACCCACAGGGUCUUCCAUGUAAGUAUCACAGAUACAACUAGCAUACCACAUAACAUGUAAUGGGCUAACAUUGGUGCCUUUGACCUAUGGAUAUAGUGAGGAUACUCACUUUCCACUGCCGAAUCAAACAGAAGAUCCAUGGCUGCUGGCUGACAGAUCCCCGAAGAAUCGAAGCCAAAACAACACCAAAUCAACAAUUAGGUUCCAAUCCAUAACCACAAAUCCAUUACUUCGGUAAAUGACCAAUUUACCCCUCCCCUACUUUUGGUCGAAGACUUAGGCCCAAACCUAAUAGUCCAUAAGGCCCAAAUACCAAAACUACCCAAAGCCUAAUCUAUGGCCCAACUUUCCAAAUUGUGCCCAAAUCCAUACUGGGCCUCUACGAAUAAAUAUUAACCCAGAACUUGAUGGCCCAACAGGGCCUAAAAGAUGGCCCCAAUCGAAGCCCAAAAACCGAAAUCCCACUUUUCUGACUACGCGAGACGUACUCAGCUUGUAUGUAAGCGUACUGGCUUAAGAGCUUGUACGUUUCACCAAAUAUGAAUCUCAACAAAGGCCAAAUAUGAAUCUCAAAGGUUUCGGAGUAACUUCUACUCACAAGCACUACUACAAAGGGACCAAAAUCAUAACAAAGUGCCACCUAGCUAGAUCUACAAGAAAGAGUUGUCAAGUUUGAGACUUUAUACCUCCAAAAGUUAGAUAUAGGUGCACAAAGACUGGAUCCAAAAGCUCCAAGUCAAACAAUGACUUUUUAAGAAGCCCCUUCUUCCUCCUCAAGCACCAAAACACACAUAAAUCACUUUGAAGCUCUAAAAUAAAUCAAAUGUGGGCUAAGGGUCGAUUUCUAGGGUUUAGAGGGAGGGAGGCUGAAGAUAUUAGGGUUAGGUUUUGAGAUAAGUAGCUUAAAUAGUGUCCAACACCCUAAAAUAGGGUUUAGGUCUGACUGGAGUACGCCUAACGUACACAUGGUACACCCAAUGUACUCCGAAGAGCACCCACGACCAUCUAGUUCAAUACGCCUAACGUACGCCAAGGUACCCCCCGCAUACUGAUCUCUUCAUUAGUACGACAUGUGUAAUCUUUGUGUACGCCCCGCGUACCUGGCUAAACUCUAAAAGUACCAAACUUGCGAAAGCCAUAACUUCUUCGUUAUAAGCCCGUUUCCGACGAUACUUAUUGUUAGGUUUUGAGUACAAUAACACUCCUAUGGUUCACAUACAACCCUAAUAGCUUUGGAUCUAAGUUUUCUCUAGUUAUUCAUGCAAUAAAAUUUCCAAAACAUGAAUCCUACAACUAGCAUACAAUUUUGGUACAUGAAUCAUAAAACUAGUUAGAAUAAUACCUCUUUAUUGUAGCUUGUAGUUUUGGCCUUUCAAGUGUGAUGCCUCAAAUGGUUCAGAAACACCAUGAACAAAGGAAGACUUUAAGAGAGAGGCUACACACACUCAAAUCUGCUAUGAUUCUCUUAGAAUGCAUAGGUCAACCGAUUUUGGCUAAGGGGUAACACACACACACACACACACACACACAUAUAUAUAUAUAUAUAUAUAUAUAUAUAUAUAUAUAUUGUAGNNNNNNNNNNNNNNNNNNNNNNNNNNNNNNNNNNNNNNNNNNNNNNNNNNNNNNNNNNNNNNNNNNNNNNNNNNNNNNNNNNNNNNNNNNNNNNNNNNNNNNNNNNNNNNNNNNNNNNNNNNNNNNNNCCCAAACCAUAUAUAUCACUAAUUUAUAUAAUUAGUCCCCAUUAAUUUAAUUAGUCUCUUUUGAUCACUAAAUUAAUUCCAAAUUAAUUCUUGAUCAAUACUAAUUAAAUAUUAUGAUUCUCAAUUAAUAUAUUAUACUUAUAAUAUAUUAGUAAAUCAUAAAUAGCCUCUUUCUCAAAUGUCCAUCCUGUCAAAUUGUUCUGGUGAAGGCAACCCAAAUGGACCCUGCUACUCUCGAGUCAAGUAUAUACCAAUUAUAGUUAUGAGCUUAGACACCUAAUCCAACAGUCUCCCACUUGUAUAAGUCUAAUAACUAUUAUUGCAAGUACGACUCUAAAAUCCUGACUAGCAAUCGUAGCUCUCAAAAGCCACUGUCGAACUCUGACCUAGUCAAGGAAGCGUCCAUUAGAUAAGGGACCAUAUAUUCCUCCAUUCUAGAUAUCGUAUAAACUGAGACAUGGAUUAUAAUCAUUCUCUCUGUUCAUGUGUUGUUUCCAGAUUUCUGAUUUAUAACGAGUGACUAAUUGAACAAAUCAAUCAGCUCCAGGCUUGGCCAAGCACUUAGGGUUGUCAUCACAAAAUCAUCAAGGCGCCCACAAAUAUCGCUUUUAUCCCGCAUUGGGUAAAAGGAAUCGAUAAACUUCGACUCAAAUGCUUGCUUGUACUUACUCAUCAAAUCACAUAAAACAAUAUGUUUUAUAACACCAAGUUACUGGUGUGUUUACAUAUGUCAAUGUGCAACCGACUUAUAAACUACAACUCACAUGUCUUGGUUUAAAGAAUAUAAGAUAUUAUCGUCUCACAAUCACUCAUGAUAAAAUCCAUGAAGUGAUUCAAAUGAGCGUGGGUUUAAUCCAAUACUCGAAUCUUAUUCCAGAAGUACUCAUGAAUACUACAGCAAACUUGUGCUAUGUCUAAAACACUUUAGAUAAUCUAUAGACGGAUUCAUUAUAGUCUUGCCUCAACACCUACUUCCAAAGUAUGAUCGACUGUGGAUAGUUUGAAUAACCAAGUUACUCAGGAAUUCAAUGUUGGAUUAGAUGUCUAAGCCCAUAACUAUUAUUGUUAUGUACUCGACCCGAGAGUAGCAUGGUCCAUUUAGGUUGCACUUCACCGGAACAAUUUGUAUGGAUAGUAUUUUGAGAAUAGAAUGUCUAUGGUUUAUUAAUAUAUAUUAUAAGUUGUAAUAUAUUAAUAUGAAAUCAUAUUAUUUUAUUAGUAUUGAUCAAGAAUUAAUUUAGAGUUAAUUUAGUGAUAAAAAUGAACUAAUUAAAUACGGACACUUAUAUAUAGCAUGGGCCAAGUUCAUUUAGGUUGGGCUAAGCUUGCAUGGAUAGUCCAUGGAGUUUUUUAACCCAUGGAUCCUAUGGAUAUGAAAGGUCAUGGGUAUUAGGGUUUACAUGAAUGUAACCCUAAUCCUUGAUACUAUAUAAAGAGGUCUUUGGCACAUGAAAUGGCACUAGUGUGUGAGUAUAAAAGAGUGGGCCAAUUUCUAGUGUGGUUACUAUUCUCUCAAGCUUUCCAAGGUGUUUUUUGUGAUUUGUGACUCCACUUGAGGCAUCCACAUUAUUGGUGCUAGGCUAUUGAAGUUCCAAGGAAUCAACCACAAGCAAAAGGUAUGUUAUUCUACUAGAUUCUUGUAUUGUAUAUACUUUAUAUUAUGCUAGUUAGGAUGAAACCUUGGAAUAUUGAAUAUUUGCAUGUAAAAUAUAGAAAACAUAGAUCCAAGGUUUAUAGGGUUGCAUGUACAUCAUAGAAGUGUUAGAAUGCUCCAAUCCCAUCAGUGAUAUCAGAGCCUAAGCUUGUUUUCAAUUAUAACUGAUGCAACUUAUUUUUCAAAACCAAGAAUCUGCCAAGACUGAAAACUCGACAAGUUCCGGCUAAAAAAUCGUCGAGUUUAUGAGUUAAAGCAUGAACUCAACGAGUUCCUUUUAGAACUCAACGAGUUGGUCUUCCAGUUUGCAGAUUUUCGUGUUUUAAGGUUGGAAUUGGACUAGAGUCAUUACACUAAGCUGUUUUUGAACCAAUAAACCUGUUUUUGACGUGGUAAUGAUCAAUCUAAUCCAAUUCAAAAGAUAAUUCUCAAUAGAUUCAUGUUUUGUAAUAGUUUAAUGGUUAUGCUAAUUACAUGAAAAUUAUUUGAUUUGAAUUGUUUUGGUCAUAUGAGUUUAAUCUAGAUCAUAGUUUUGCUUGACAUGUUUGUUUGUUUAUUAGAUGAUCUAAAUGGCGUUUAAUGGAUUCCAUAACUUGUCCUCAAGUUAUGGAAAACCAAAAGGUUUUCAUGUUAAAUCUUCAUUAUAGCUAUAGGUUAGAUAACUAAAGAGUCUUUUCUCAUAAAUAGUUUUAUGGACUCCAUAACUUGUCCUCAAGUUAUGGAUGUUCAAGAGUCUUUUCAUUAAAGUCUUUAAAACCUAUAUUAAACUCAUAUGUUAUAGAAAUGAAAAGUUUUUUGAAUUGUUCACAACUAGCCCUCAAGUUUUGGAAUUUGUAAAGUCUCAUACACACUUUAAUUCCGAACCCUAGAGUUUUAAAAGUUAAAAUUCAACCCUUAUACUUUAGUAUUAAAAGUUAAUAAUAUAUAUGUAUAAGAGCAAGUCAGUCUUACCGUUAGUAGGCCUCAUUCACGAAGCCGGUCUAUAAGGGGGUAUAAGGUUGUUGCUUAUAAAAUGGCAGCUUAAUGGGUGACCACUAUCAUCGAAUGUUUCCCAAUCUUAGUUACUUUUGGAAAAUGUGAAUUUGGUGCUAACCCAUGAAAUUACACUUUAUAAUUUAACAAGUCAUUGGUGGAGCAUUUGUGGGUAACCGGCACACUAACCUGGACUAGUAAUAGUGGCAGAGGGUGACAUAAUGUUUAUCAUAGAUUGGUGGAGCGCAUGUGGGUAACCGGCACAUCGAUUAGGUGAUAAAGAUUAAGGGCACCAAGUAAAUUUGUAUGGUUAUUCACACCUUGUUUGUGAUCGUCGGCAUCCGAGUCACAAACUUAAGAGGGCACAAUCGAGAUUUAAACAUGCCAUUGGAAAGUUCAAUGAAUCUCAAAAGAUCUAGGAGUUUCAAACCAAUGAAAACCUAAUUCCUAUUUCACUUUUCAUGGUGGAAAUUGAUGAAUCGUCAUUCGCCUACUUUCAAAUAUUUUAUAGCUUAGAUUACGGCAUCCCUCUUCCAAGUUAUAAAAUAUUGUGUUGGGUCCUAGCCUUAAUAUUUCAUAUUGGGUGUUAUAUUAAGGACUUAAAUCAACUAACUUGAAUUUCUCCCAUUGUAGAUGUCUGGUUCAGACAAUUAUGAUCUUCCCAAAUCUCUUGGAACAAGCUUUCCUAAAGAAGAUGAUGUCCCGUGAUUGGAUCAUGGAAAACACCUUCUCUUCCUCCACCUCCUCCAAUUAUUCUCCCUGGCCCACAAGCUCGAAGACUUGAAAUGUUCAAGAUCACUCAAGCCCUAUUUGCAAUGAAACAUAAAUAUGGAAGACAUGUGUGCACUCAUGUCUUGGAGAUGAAGUCACACAUUGACAGGUUGAGAAUGUUGGGUGUCAUUGUCCCAAGGAAGUUGGCUAUUGACUGGGUUCUUCAAUCACUUCCUGAGUCAUCUAGUGAGUUCAUUAAGUACUACUAUGUGACAGAUCACGACAUGACCCUCAUUGAUCUUUCUUAUUUGCUUGUCGCUGCUGAAUCAGAAAUGUUUUGGCAUAUUGGAAAAGUAAAUUUGGGUGGAAGGUCUACUUCUCAAACUUCCAUGCACAUUGACAAUGGUAACCUUAGUAGUCCAGAAAAGCUUUCUCUUCCCAAUGGAAAAGGGAUCGACCUUGGUCAACCCGGUUGACCAAAAGGUAAAGGGAAAGGCUAAGUUUGUGAUAGUCCCGUGUACCAUUCCCAAAGAGUCUAUGUGUUUUUAUUGUUAAGAGAAGGGGAAUUGAUUUCGAAGCUGCCCUAACUACCUGAAAGAUUCGAGAGAAGGAAUCAUCAAAAAGUUUGACUCUACUUCAGGUAAGUCCACUAUCUAACUCUGUUAAGUCCUAAUUGUGGAUUCUUAAUACAUGAUGUGACUAGGUUGCAUUUUGAUGUUUCGCAGGAUCAAGCAAAGGAGAUGAAGCUUAAAAGAAGAGUAUGUUGAAUCUGAUCACGAAGAUGGAUUUCAAUCGCAUGGUUCGAAGAUCAGAUUUUUGAGCUAAUACUUAGGGGAUAUGAUAGAUUGCUAGGAAAUAUGUAAUAGCAUAGUUUUCAUUUAAAUUCGCAUUAUAAAAAAAAGUUUUUUCCGCAUUUUAUAAAUAAAUAAAAUUUUAUUUUAUAUCUUCAUGCAAUGGCAUUUAUGAAAAAUUGACGUUUGUAUGUUUCUAGAAAUAAUAGAAAUAUGAAUUUGAUUCUUUCAUUUCUGGUAGUGUCUAAAUUUACCAAAUAAGGAAAUAUUAUCAUCACCGAAGUUUCAAUUGGACCGAAACUUGAAAUCAAUCAAGUUGUAUUGUAUGAUGAAUGAGAAUUUUCAUCUUUGGAAAAUUAAGACUAAUUCCUUGUUCACAUGCAUAUGUGAGUGAAGUGAAGGACUAAGGGAUAGAGUACACAUUCUUGUGUAGUGGUCAAGUCCACCACAAAGAUCGACAAGACUAUUCGUCAUGAUUUACUAAAGUUUAGUAAAUAUGAUUAUACUUACAAGUUUAAGUAUAAUUCUAAAACAUUGGAAAAGUUUCGAUCUAUGGCAAAACGAAUGAGAAGAAUCAAAUUAGGCAAAAUGAUAAAAGUUUCUCAAAUCUGAAAAGAUGGGAUAGUACUUUAGUAUCAUGUUUUGUGAUCAUCUUAAUGAUUAAGAAACCAUAUCACAAUUGGUCCUCUAAGGACAUCUUAGUGCGUUCCUCUAGCUAAGAAGAGGAAUCAUGAAUUAUGGAAAUGGUUAAAUCAAGAAGAUGAGUCAUACUUCGUUCCAAAAAAAUUCUUAGAGUCAUACUACAAGAUUGUAACUUGAGUGACACAUCUUAAAGAAGGUUUAUAACACUUGUCAAAUGUAAGAGUAAAAUGUUUUCUACUCUUGUACAUUUGAAAUUGGUAAGUUGUGAUGUUUUUGGAUAAAACAAAGACCAACUAAGGCCAAUUGUGUGAAGUGUUUGUCUUGAUAAGAAUCUGCACUAUCUCUUGAAUAUUUGUUUGUCAAUGAAUGUUUCUUGGCAAGAGAGUCCUAUAUGUCAACAGGAAAGUGGGAGUCUAAAAGAUCCUGAAAGAGUUUCAAGAACUAAUCAAGAAUAAAACAUGUAGUUUAUCACUAGCGCACGACUUGAGGACUCUGACCUAUCAUGUUGACAUAUUCUUAUUUUUGUGCCAAUUCUAGUUAAAGUUGACUAUGCAUCUGAGUUCUACAAGUUCUCAAUUGUUUACAUAACAACUUGGAAGCAAUGGUAGGCCCUUGUGCUGCCAGGUGGCAAGAAUUUAAGAUUGAACAAGUUCAGUCCAUAUGAGUUUGGAUUUGUCACUAACCUUGUCUUGUGAUUAUGGUUUUGACAAAUUCACAUGGAUAGGAACACAUACACCAUAAAAUCUAAGUGUCGUAAGUUCUCUCUCUGAUUCAUGAAAAUGAUGGUGAGGAAAUGCUUUCACUAAGUAGGUUUUAAGUAGAUAGCAGUUGUGAUAUUUGCAUUCUCAAAGUCGUUAGUGGAGCGUGUGUGGGUAACCGACACACUAACAUGGGCUUGUGAGAAAUGGAAAAGGUUUAAACAAUUGAGACUAUGAUUACGACAUCUCUUUUCAUAGUUCUAAAAAAUUGUUUAGACACACAUAUGAACUAUCUAAGAAAAGGUGUAUGAUUUUGAUAAAGUUUUAUCAAGGCAUCUUGUAUCAGAAAUCUGAACUUUGGUACGAAAAUCAAUAAAGUAUUGAUUUCUAGAAGUCCAACUGAUUUCUGAAUACAUGUCAAAGCUAUUGGGAGCAUUAGUGAUAUGCUAAUAAUUAUCAUGUUAGUGGGAGCAUGAUAAUUAUGAUAAGUGUUGUAAGUUAGCAAUGUUAAUUAUAGAAAACAAAAGUUUCAAUUGGGAAAAGUUGUUUUACUAUAAUUAAGGGGGAGGAAAUUAUACUUCAUUUCAAUCCUAAAAGCUUAGAUUGAGAUUUUAAUCAUCUUUAGUCAAGGAUAUAUAUAUAUAUAUAUAUAUAUAUAUAUGAAUUUNUAUAUAUAUGUAUGUAUGUAUGUAUGUAUGUAUGUAUGUAUAUAUAUAUAUUUGAAUUUUAUGUUGGAAUGGUUCAACAUAAGGAAAUUAUAUAUAUAUUGUGUUUUCAAAUUCGAUUAUGAUUACGACAUCCCUCUUCAUAGUCGAAUUAUGAAAACAUGGCAAAAAAAAAUAUUGUAGCAAAUGACUGAUCUAGGAUCAUUUCUUUAUGUGAGANUAGUCUAGGAUCAAGUCUUUAUGUGACACACCAUGAAUUGUGUCCCAUAUACUUUAGAUAUAGGAUCAAUUACAUGGUCUAUAAUAUUUAUCCUUUCUAAAAUUUUCCAAAUGCCUAGGGCAUUAAGAGGGGAAAAGGUCUGGAAUUGGAUAUGACUAAAGUUGAUUAAGCAAUUGUCGAGUACAAUCUGAGGUUUACCAAAGAUUGGUUGCUCAAGGACAGUUGGAAGUAUGGUGUAAAUUUUUCGAAAGGACUAUAUUGACAUAUUUUGAAAAGAGGUAGCUCUUGUUUAGAAGUGAUAGUCAAAAUAGGAAUAUGGAAAUGUUUCCAUAGGUGGAAGUUAUUCUUUAAAUCGGUGUGAGAUUAAAAAAACUUAAUGUAAGAAGGAUGUUCAAAGGAAUGUAUUUCGAAUAUGAGACUUCAUUCCCAUGGAAUUGAUCUCCAUUAGAAUACUCUAUAAUGUUUGUUGACAAAUCUUUGUGGCUUUGUGCAUAGUCAUUACAAGAGGAUCAGUGCAUAUAAGUUUUAAAUGUAACAGAUUUCGGUAAAUGGCAGGAAUUUGGAAUUCUUACAUUUACGAUAAGGAUUUGGGAUUAUGAAAUGGGAAUCUUUGGAAUUAUGUUCAAUUGAUCUAUUCCACAAAGUAUGGAUCAUAGACAAACAUAGUGUGCAUACUUGGGGUAUAGCAUAAUUAUUGUUUGGACAAACAUAGUGUGCAUGCUUUGAGCAUGGCAUGAAUAUUGUGUCAGAUUCAAGUAUAAAGUUGAUUAUUCGAAACAUUAUACAAUGAAUAAUGAGUAAUCAAUCUGGUGUUUAAAUAAAAGGUGUUUUAUUUACUCUCAAAGGUGCUUCAGCCCAUAUAGGAUUAGUAUUAUUCUUGUGUUUCACUUUACAUGUUUUGACUUCCUGAAUAACUAAGUUAUUCAAAUUCUCCACAAUCAGUCAUAUGUUGGAAGUAGAUGUGAAUCAAGACUGUCAUGAAGUUGGCUUGUAGAUGUCUAAGGUGUUGGACAUAGCAAGAGUUGCUACAACGUUCAUGAGUGCUCCUAGAAUGAGAUUCGUGUAUGGGAUUAAACCCACGCUCAUUUGAAUCACUUCAUGGAUUUUAUCACGAGUGAUCAUGAGACAAUAAUAUCUUAUAUUCUUCAAACCUAGAGAUAUGACUUGUUGACUAUGACUUGGUUAUACAUUGAUUGCACGAAAACGCAUUAGUAACUUGAUGUUAUAAAUCGUUCCUUUGUGUAUGAUUCAACAAGUGGUUAGUACAAGCAUAGGAGUCGAAGUUUAUCUAUUCCUUUUACCCUUGGAGGGAUAAAAGCGAUAUAUGUGGGUCCAUCGAUGAUUUAGUGAUGACACCCCUAAGUGCUUCGCCUAGCCUGGACUGAUUUGAUUUGUUCAAUUCGUCAGUCGUCAUAAAUCGGAAAUCAGGAAAAAACAAAUGGACAGAGAGAAUGAUUAUAAUCAAUGUCUCAGUCCAUAUGAUAUCUAGAAUGGAGGAAUAUAUGAUCCCUUAUCUGAUGUACAAGUCAUUUGACUAGGUCAGAGUUCGGCAGUGGCUUUAAGAGCUACGAUUGCUAGUCGGGAUCUUGGAGUCAUGCUUGAAUAAUAGUUAUAGACUUAUCCAAGUGAGAGACUGUUGGAUUAGAUGUCUAAGCCCAUAACUAUUAUUGGUAUGUACUCGACCCGAUAGUAGCAUGACCCAUUUGGGCUGCACUUCACUGGAAUAAUUUAUAUGGAUAGUCUUUUGAGAAUAAUGUGUUUAUGGUGUUGGAUUAAUGUCUAAGUCCAUAACUAUAUUUGGUAUGUACUUGACCCGACCCGGCAUGGUCCAUUUGGGUUGCACUUCACCGACACAAUUUAUAUGGAUAAUCUUUUGAGAAUAGUAUGUUUAUGAUUAAUAUUAAUAUAUUAUAAGUUCUAAUAUAUUAAUAUGGAAUCAUAUUAUUUAAUUAGUAUUGAUCAAGAAUUAAUUUAUAAUUAAUUAAGUGAUCAAAAGGAACUAAUUAAAUAUGGACUCUUAUAUAUAUGGAAUGGACCAAGUUCAUUUAGGUUGGGGUAAGCUUUCAUGGAUAGUCCAUGGAGUGUUUAACCCAUGGAUCCUAGGAAAUGAAAGGUCAUGGGUAUUAGGGUUUAACCCUAAUCCUCCACACUAUAUAAAGAUGUCCUUGGUUGGUGAAAUUGGCACUAGUGUGGAUACACUAAAGAAGGGCUAGCCAAUUUCACUAGAGAGAACCAAGUAAUCAUAUUCUCUAAAGUAUUCCAAGGUGUCUUGGUGAUUUGUGAUUCCACUUGAGGCUUCCACACUAUUGGGGCUAAGCUCUUAAAGCUUGAAGACAUCAAGCUACAUCAAGAGGUAUGUAUUCUAUCUUGUUACAUUCAUAGUUUUUGUAUGCUAGAUUAGGAUAAUACCUUGGAUGUUCUUAUUUGCAUGUAUAAUAGAGAAAACAUAGAUCCAAGGUAUUUAGGGUUGCAUGUACACUUAGGAAGUGUUAGAAUGCUCAAAACCCAACAGUGGUAUCAGAGCCACGGGUUGUUUUCUGUUAUAUUGAUGCAAAUAUUUUAUUUUCAAAGUUGAAAAAAAAAAAAAAAAAAAACAUGAAGUUCGUCAAAUUUUAAGAUAAUUACUUGUUCUUGUGAAAAACUAAUUAUUUGUAAAAUUUGAAUAAUUUGCUUUAUGAGUUGAAUUAGGUCAAAUUUAAUAAAAGAUAAAAUAAUAUGAUUAUUUUAUUAGUUUUAAAAGUUUGAUCUAAAGAGUUUUAUUUUUUGAAACCUCCAUAAGUUAUGGAUAUGAAAAGGUUUUAAAAAAAAAAUUGAUUCAAAGUUUUUUUGGAGUUACAAAAUUUGGUGUUAAUGUUUUAAAGGAUUCCAUAACUUAAGAAUAAGUUAUGGAUCACCAAAAGUUUUUUGUGUUAUCUUGUUUUAUGAGUGAAUUUAGAUUAAUGAAUAAAAUUAUGUGAUAGUUGGUUUUAAUCCAAAUUAAUCUAAGAAUUGAUUCUAAAAUGUGUUUUUGUAACUUGUCCUCAAGUUAUAUGAAAAGUCACAUUUAAGAAUCAUAAAACUCAUAAAAAUUGGCAAAGGUUACAAAAAUGAAGAGUCUAGUUCUAAUUAAAUGGUUUUAUGACUCCAUAACUUGUCCUCAAGUUAUGGAGGACCAAGAGUCUCUUCAUUUAAUAAAAUAAAAUAAAAUAAAAAAAGGUGUAACCUUAAUUAAUUCCAUAAGUUAUAAAAUAAAGAAAAGUUAAUUCUUUUAUUAGUUUAAAGUCUUCCAUAACUUGUCCUCAAGUUAUGGAACUUGAAGAGUUUUUGGAUUAAAACUACUUUAAACACAUAAGUUAUGGAAUUAAUUAGUUUUGAAUAGUUUCAAAACUUGCCCUCAAGUUUUGGAAUUUGUAAAGUUUUCACUUAUGAAUACUUUAAUUCCAAGUUAGCCCUUAGAAUUUUAAAAGUUAAAAUUCAACCCUUAUACUUUAUAAUAUUAUAAGUUAAUAAUAUAUAUAUGUAUAAGAGUAAAGUCAGUCUUACCGCUAGUACGCCUCAUUCACGAAGCCGGUCUAUAAGGUGGGUAUAAGGUUGUUGCCUAUAAAAUGGCAACUUAAUGGGUGUCCACUCUCACCCACCGCUUGCUUGACUGGUGGAGGGUCGUUAGCCGAACGGGUUUGACAGGACUAGAAUUCUCCCUUCAUUAAAAGUAUUAAUGAUAAUACUAAGUAACUAAACUCUUAAUAAUACCCAAUCUUAGUUACUUAGGAAAAAUGUGAAUAAGGUGCUAAUCCAUGAAAUUACACUUUACACUUUGUCUAAGUCGUUAGUGGAGCGUGUGUGGUUAACCGGCACACUAACUUGGACUUAACAAGGUAGGUAAAGGGUGACUUAAUAUUUAUCAUAGUAUCGAUGGAGCGUGUGUGGUUAACCGGCACAUCGAUUGAGGGGUAAUUUAUUAAGGGUACCAAGUGAUUUGCAUGGUUACUUCACACCUUGUUUUGUGAUCCUCGGCAUCCCAGUCACAAAACCUGAAGGGCACACUCGAGAUUGAAACAUGCCUUUGAAAAGUUCAAUGAAUCUCAAAGAUCUAGGAGUUUCAAAACCAAUUAAAACCUAAUAAUACAUUUCGUUUAUCUUGGUGGAAAUUGGUGAAUCGUCAUUCACCUACCUUCAAAUAUUUUAUAGCUUGGAUUACGGCAUACCUCUUCUAAGUUAUAAAAUAGUUUGUUGGGUCCUAGCCUUAAUAUUUCAUAUUGGGUGUCAUAUUAAGGACUUUAAAUCAACUAUCUUGAAUAUCUCCCAAAAGAUGUCUGGUUUAGACACCUAUGAUCUUCCCAAAUCUCUUGAAACAAGGUUUCCUAAUGAAGAUGAUGUCCCAUGGAUAUCAUACUUCUUCACCUCUUCAAAUUAUUCUCCCUAACCCACAAGUUCUUGAAAAGUUUAAGGUCACUCAGGCCCUAUUGGCAAGGCAAGGUCUAGGUGUGGUCACAUCUUGGAGAUGUAGUCACAUAUUGACAAGCCGGGAGAGUUGGGUGUCAAAGUCUUGAGAAAGUUGGUGGUUCAACCACUUUCUAAGUCACAUAGUGAGUUCCUUUGGGACACCUAUGAAACAGACUAUGACAAGACCCUUAAUGAUCUUAUCUAUUUGCUAAGAUCAACUUCCUAAAACUUUAUGGACAUUGACAAUGAUGACAUUGGAUAUCCAGUAAAGCAUUCUCUUCCCAAUGGAAAGGGAUCGGCUAUAGUCAACUCGGUUGACCAAAUGGUAAAGAGAAAAGCUAAGUCUGUGAUAGUCCUGUGUACCAUUAUCAAAGGGUCCAUAUGUUUGUAUUGCCAAAGAAAGGGCAUUGGUUGCGAAGCUGCCAAAUUUACCUAAGGAUGUUAAAGUCAAUAAGUUUGACUCUACUUCAGGUAAAAUCCACUAUCUAACUCUGUUAAGUUUCUAUUCUGAGAUUCUUGAUACAUGAUGUGACCGGGUCGCAUGGUGAUGGUUUAAGAAUCAAAGGAAAGUGAAGAAACUUAAAGGAAGAAUAUGCUGAAUCUGAUCGCAUAGAUGGAUUUCUAUCGCAUAGUUUGAAAAAUCGGAUUCUUGAGCUACUUCUUAGGAGUUAUGAGAUAUUGCUUAGGAAUAGAUAACAACAAGUUUUCAUAUGGAUUGUAAGGAUAGUUUUUCCGCAAAGUUUUAAAAUAAAAGGAAAUUUUUGAUUUUAUUUAUUUUAAAAUAUCCUUACAAUGGCAUCUGUGGAAAUUUUUGUUGCUUAUAAGAUUCCAUUAGUAGCAAGAGUGGAAGUAUGAAAUUGAUUCUUUCAUUUGUGGUAAUGUCUAAAUUUACCAAAUAAGGAAAGAUUCUCAUCACCCAAGUUUCAAUUGGACCGGAACUUGGAAUCAUGCAAGUUGUAUAGCAUGAUGAAUGAGAACUUUCAAGUUUUGGAAAAUUAAGACUAAUUACUUGUUCACAUGGAUGUGUGAGUCAAGUAAAGGACUUAGGGAUCGAGUACACAUUCUUGUGCACUGAUUAAGUCCACCACUAAAGAUCGAUAAGAAGAAUCAAAUAAGGCAGAAGGAUAAAAGUUUCUCAAAUCUGAAAAGAUGGGAGAGUACUUUAGUAUCAGUUUUGUGAUCAUCUUAAUGAUUAAGAAACCAUAUCAAAAUUAGUUCUCUAAGGAAAUCUUAGUGCAUUCUUAUGACUAAGAAGAGGAACUUGAAUUGUUGAAAUGGUUAAAUCAAGAAGAUGAGUCAUACUUCGUUCCAAUACAAGUCUUAGAGUCAUACUCCAAGAUUGUCAUUUGAGUGACAUGUCUUAAAGAAGGUUUAAAACACUUGUCAAAUGUAAGAGUAAAAGUUUUCUACUCUUGUACAUUUGAAAUUGGUAAGUUGUGAUGUUUUGGAUAAAACAAAGACCAACUUAGGCCAAUUGGGUAAAGUGUUUUUCUUGAUUAGAAUCCGCACUAUCUCUUGGAUGUUUGACAAGGGAGUCUUAUAUGUCAAGAGGACAGUGGGAGUCUUAAAGGUCUUGAAAGUCUCAAGAAAUAAUCAAGAAUAAAACCUAAAGUUCUUCACUAGCACACGACUUGAGGUUCAUAACCUAUCGUGUUGACAUAUUCUGUGCCCAUUCCAGUUAAAGUUGGUUUUGCAUAUGAGUUCUUAGAGUUCUCAAUUUGUUGCACAACAACUUGGAAGCAAUGGCAGGCCCUUGAGCUGCCAGGUGGCAAGAAGUUAAGAUUGAGUUCAAUCCAUAUGGUUUUGGAUUUGUCAUUAUCUUUGUCUUGUGAUUAUGGUUUGACAAAUUCAUAUGGGUAGGAACUCAUACACCAUAUAAAUCUAAGUGUCAUAAGGUUUCUCUCCGAUUCAUGAAAAUGAUGGUGAGGAAACGCUUUCACUAAGUAGAUUUUACGAAGAUAUCAAUUGUGUUAUUUGCAUUUUCAAAAGUCGUUAGUGGAGCGCGUGUGGUUAACCGGCACACUAACAUGGACUUGUGAGAAAUGGCAAAUGCCUAAGCAAUUGAGACCAUGAUUACGGUAUCCCUUUUCAUGGUUCUUGAAAUUGCUUAGACACACAGGUGAGCUAUCUACGGAAAGGGUGUAUGAAUCUAAAUUUCAGACUGUCCAGCUGAUUUCUGAGUACAUGUCAAAGCUAGUGGGAGCAUAAGUGUUAUGCUAAUAAUCAUCAUGUUAGUGGGAGCAUGAUAAUUAUGAUAAGUAUUGCAAGUUAGCAAUGUUAAUUAUAGAAAACAAAAGUUUCAAUUGGGAAAAAGUUGUUUUGCUAUAAUUAAGGGAGAGGAAAUUAUGCUUCAUCUCAAAUCUAUAAGCUUAGAUCGUGAGGUUUUAAUCAUUUAGUCAAGGAUAUAUAUGAAUUUCAUGUUGGAAUGGCUCAACAUAAGGAAAUUCUGUAUAUGGGUCCAUUAUUUGCGUUCUAAAAUUCGAUUAUGAUUACGGCAUCCCUUUUCAUAAUCUGAAUUAUGAGAACUUGGCAAAUUGAAAUGGAAAUAUUAUAGCAAAAGACUGGUUUAGUCUUUAUGUAAGACAUCAUGAAUCGUGUCCCAUAUGCUUCGGAUAUAGGAUCGAUUACAUGUGCUAUAUUCAUCCGUUCUAAAAUUUUCCAAAUGCCUGGGGCAUUAAGAAGGGAAAAGGUUUAGAACUGGAUAUGACUAAAAGGAUUAAACAAUUGUCGAGGACAAUCUAAGGUUUACCAAAGAUUGGUUACUCAAGGACAAUUGGAAGUAUAGUGAUAAUUCUGGAAGGACCAUAUUGACAUAAUCUGUAAGGAGGCAACUCUUGUUCAGAAGUGAUAGUCAAAAUGGAAUCUGGAAAUGUUUCAAAGUUAGAAUUUUCAAUCUGUGUAAGAUUAAGGAAACUUAAUGCAAGAAGGAUAUUUCCAAGGAGUUGAUCUCCUUUGGAAUACUCUGUAAUGAUUGUUGCCAAGUCUUUGUGACUUUGUGCAUAAUCAUUACAAGAGGAUCAAUGCAUAUAAGUUUAGAAUCUAACAGAUUUCAGUAAAUGGCAUGAAUUUGGAAUUCUUGCAUUUGCAGUAAGGAUUUGGGAGUGUGAAAAGAGAAUCAUUGAAGUUAUGUUCAAUUGAUCUAGUUCACAAAGUAAAGAUCAUAGACAAACAUAGUAUGCAUACUUGGUGUGUGGCAUGACUAGUGUUUAAGAAAACAUAGUGUACAUGCUUGGAGCAUGGGACAACUAUUGUUUUAAAUUCAAGAAUAAAGUUGAUAGCUGAAACAGUAUACAAUGAAUAAUGUGUAAUCAUAUGGUGAUAAAUAAAAGGUGUUUUAUUUAUGUUCAAAGGGUUGAUACCAUAUUGGAUUCAAUUAUUAUUGUGUUUCACUUUGCAUGUUUUGACUUCCCGAAUAAACUAGGUUAUUCUUCCGGAAUGACUAAGUUAUUCAAACCAUCCACAGUCGGUCAUAUGUUGGAAGUAGAUAUGAAUUAAGACUGUCAUGGGUUGGCUUGUAGAGGUCUAAGGUGUUGGACAAAGGGCUACAACACUCAUGAGUGCUCAUAAGUUCUGAGUAUUGGAUUCAACCCGCGCUCAUUGGAAUCACUUCAUGGAUUUUAUCACGAGUGAUCAUGAGACGAUAAUAUCUUAUAUUCUUCAAACCUAGAGAUAUGAGUUGUUACUAUGAGUUGGUUGUACAUUGAUUGCACGAAAACGCAUUUGGUAACUCGGUGCUAUAAAACGUGCCUUUGUGUAUGAUUCAACAAGUAGUAGAACAAGCCAUAUGAGUCGAAGUUUAUCCAUUCCUUUUACCUUCGGGAUAAAAGCGAUAUCUGUGGGCCCCUCGAUGAUUUGAUGAUGACAAAUGGAAGUGCUCGGCCGGGCCAGGACUGAUUUGAUUUGUUCAAUUAGUCAGUCGUCAUAAAUCGGAAAUCGGGAAACAACAAAUGGACAGAGAGAAUGAUUAUAAUCCAUGUCUCAGUCCAUAUGAUAUCUAGAAUGGAGGAAUAUAUGAUCCCUUAUCUAAUGGACAAGUUCGUUGACAAGAUCAGAGUUCGACAGCAGCUUUAAGAGCUACGAUUGCCAGUUAGGUUUGAAGUCAUACGCAAUAAUAGUUUUAGACUUAUCCAAGUGGGAGACUGUUGGAUUAAUGUCUAAGUCCAUAACUAUAUUUGGUAUGUACUUGACCCGACCCGGCAUGGUCCAUUUGGGUUGCACUUCACCGACACAAUUUAUAUGGAUAAUCUUUUGAGAAUAGUAUGUUUAUGAUUAAUAUUAAUAUAUUAUAGGUUCUAAUAUAUUAAUAUGGAAUCAUAUUAUUUAAUUAGUAUUGAUCAAGAAUUAAUUUAUAAUUAAUUAAGUGAUCAAAAGGAACUAAUUAAAUAUGGACUCUUAUAUAUAUGGAAUGGGCCAAGUUCAUUUAGGUUGGGCUAAGCUUUCAUGGAUAGUCCAUGGAGUGUUUAACCCAUGGAUCCUAGGAAAUGAAAGGUCAUGGGUAUUAGGGUUUAACCCUAAUCCUCCACACUAUAUAAAGAUGUCCUUGGUUGGUGAAAUUGGCACUAGUGUGGAUACACUAAGAAGGGCUAGCAAAUNAAAUUUCACUAGAGAGAACCAAGUAUCCAUAUUCUCUAAAGUCUUCCAAGGUGUCUUGGUGAUUUGUGAUUCCACUUGAGGCUUCCACACUAUUGGGGCUAAGCUCUUAAAGCUUGAAGACAUCAAGCUACAUCAAAAGGUAUGUCAUCUAACUAGUACUUUGUAGAUUAAGAACAUCAUAAUAUGCUAGUUAGGAUUAAAGCCUUGGAAAGUUCUUAUUUGCAUGUAUAAUAGAGAAAACAUAGAUCCAAGGUUUAUAGGGUUACAUGUACACCAUAGGAGUGUUAGAAUGCACAAAAUCCAACAUAUGGUUUAUUAAUAUAUUAUAAGUUGUAAUAUAUUAAUACGAAAUCAUAUUAUUUACUUAGUAUGGAUCAAGAGUUAAUUUAGUGAUCAAAAGGAACUAAUUAAAUAUGGACUCUUAUAUAUAGCAUGGGCCAAGUUCAUUUAGGUUGGGCUAAGCUUGCAUGGAUAUUCCAUGGAUUUUUUUAACCCAUGGAUCCUAUGGAAAUGAAAGUUCAUGGGUAUUAGGGUUGACAUGAAUGUAACCCUAAUCCUCCAUACUAUAUAAAAAGGUCUUUGGCACAUGAAAUGGCACUAGUGUGUGAGUAUACAAGAGUGGGCCGAUUUCUAGUGUGGUUACUAUUCUCGCAAGCUUUCCAAGGUGUUUUUGGUGAUUUGUGAUUCUACUUGAGGCACCCACAUUAUUGGUGCUAGGCUCUUGAAGCUCCAAGGAAUCAACCACAAGCGAAAUGUAUGUCAUUCUUCUAGAUUCUUGUAUUCUAUAUACUUCAUAUUAUGCUAGUUAGGAAGAAACCUUGGAAUAUUGAAUAUUUGCAUGUAUAAUAGUGAAAACAUAGAUCCAAGAUUUAUAGGGUUGCAUGUACACCAUAGUAGUGUUAGAAUGCUCCAAUCCCAUUAGUAAAAACAUGCAAAGUGAAACACAAGAAUAAUCGAAUCCAAUAUGGUCUCAAAACUUUUGAGUAUAAAUAAAAAACCUUAUAUUUAAUCACCAUAUUGAUUACACAUUAUUCAUUGUAUAAUAUUUCGAUAUAUCAACUAAAUACUUGAAUUAAAACAAUAGUUAUCCCAUGCUCCAAGCAUGCACCCUAUGUUUAUUAUGGUCCUUACUAUGUGAAAUAGAUCAAUUGUAAACAUUUAUAAUGACACUCAUUUCACAAUUCUAAAUCCUUAUCGUAAGUGUAAGAAUACCAAGUCCUUGCCACUUACUGUAAUCUAUUAGAUUCUAAGCUUAUAUGCAGUGAUCCUUUUGUAAUGACUAUGUACACAAGUCACAGUGACUUUGCCAAUUAAAAACCUUUCCAUUGGAGAUUAGUACAAGACAAUUCCAUAGAUACGAAGUCUCAUAUUCAAAGCACAUUCCUUUGAACCUCCUUCUUGCGUAAAAGUUUCUAACUUACUCGUAGAUUCUUGAUAUCCAACUCCCAUUAUGGAACCUUUUCCACAAUUUCCAUAUGACUAUCCAUUCUUAGUAGAAUCCUAUCUAUUCAAAAUUAUAUCAAUACGGUCCAUUCAUUACUAUACUUCCAACUGCCCACAAGUGACCAAUCCUUAGCGAACCUUAGAUUGUCCUUAAUAGUUGUUUAACAACUUUAGUCAUAUUCGGUUCUAGUCCUUUUUCCUUUUAAUGCCCUAGGCAUUUGGAAAAUUCAGAACACAUAAAAAUUAUAGCAUAUACAAUCGAUCCUAUAACCGAAGCAUAUGGGACACGAUUCAUAAUGUCUUACAUAAAGACCUGAUAUUUACCAGUCUCUUGCUACAACAUUUCCAUAUAUAGAAUUUCCUUAUGUCAAAUCUUUUCAACAUAACAUUCAUAUAUGUUCUAGACUAAAUUUGAUUAAAAUCUCAAUCUAAACUUUUAGAAUUAAACUGAAGUAUGAGUUCCUCUCCCUUAAUUAUAGUAAAACAACUUUUCAAACUCUGCAACUUUGCGAAUUGAAACUUUUGCUUCUUAUACACAGUAUUGCUAACUCGCAACACUCACCAUAAUAAUUAUGCUCCUACUAGCAAAAAAAAUUAUUUUGUUACUAGGAUAACAUUCAUGCUCCCACUAGCUUUAACAUGUAUCCAAAAUUAGUUGGACGUCUAGAAAUCAAUACUUUAUUGACUUCCUCACCAAAGUUUAGAUUUCUGAGACGAGAUGCUUCGAUAAGCUUUAUCUAAGCUCAUAUACCUUUUUAUUAGAAAUCUCAUAUGUGUGUCUAAACUAUUCAGAACUUACAACAAAAAGUUCCGAAUGCUCAAACUAUUUUCCAUUUCUCACAAUCCGAACUAUGAAGAGGGAUGUUGUAAUCAUAAUCGAAUUUGAGAAUGAAAUAUCACAAUUGCUAUCUCCUUAAAACCUACUUAGUGAAAGCGUUUCCUUAAAAUCAUUUUCUUGAAUUGGAGAGAAACCUUAUGACACUUAAUUUCAUGGUGUAUAUGUUCCUAUCAAUGUGAAUUUGUUAUAACCAUAAUCACAAGACAAGGUUAGUGAUAAAUCCAAACCCAUAUGGACUGAACUUUUUCAAUCUUAAUUUCUUGCCACCUGGCAGCACAAGGCCUACCAUUGCUUCCAAGUUGUUAAAAAAACAAUUGACUACUCAUAGAACGCACAUGCAUAGUCAACUUUAACUGGAAUGGGCACAAAAGUAAGUAUAUAUCAACACGAUAGGUUACAAACCUCAAGUCGUGUGCUAGUGAUUAACAAUAGGUUUAUUCUUGAUUAGUUCUUGAAACUUGUCAAGAUCUUUAAGACACCCACUGACCUCUUAACAUAUAAGACUCUCUUUGUCAAGAAACAUUGCUUGACAAAUAAAUAUUCAAGAGUUAGUGCAGUUUCUUAUGAAGACAAAACACUUCACACAAUUGGUUUUAGUUGGUCUUUGUCUUACGCAAGACAUCACAAUUUACCAAUUUCAAAUGUGUAGGAGUAAGAAAACACCUUUUCUAUUGCACAUUUGAGUGUGUUAUAAACCUUCUUAAGAUUCUGUCACUCAAGGCAAAGUCUUGGAGUAUGACUCUACGACUUGAUUUUGGAACGAAGUAUGAUUCACCUUAAUUGAUUUAACCAAUUCAACAAUUCCCGAUUCCUCUUCUUAGCCAUACAAGUGUACUAAGGUGUCCUUAGAGGAUCAACUAUGAUAUGAUUUUCAUAAUCAUUAAGAUGAUCAUAAAACACGAUAGCAAAGUACUCUCCUUUCCUUUCAGAUUGGAGAAACUUUUAUCUUUCUGCCUAAUUGAUUGUUCUUAUUCGUUCUGCUACACAUUAAAACUUUUCCAAUGGUUCAGAAUUACACUUAAUCUUGCAAGUAUAACCAUAUUUACUAAACUUUAUUAAAUUAUGACGAAUAGUCUUAUCAUUCUUUGUGGUGGGCCUGACCAGUGCACAACCAAGUGUAUCUGAUCCCCUAGUCUUUCACUUGACUCACAUACAGAUAUGAACAAGGAAUCAGUCUUAAUUUCCCAAAUAUGAAGGUUCUCAUGCAUCACACAAUACAAACUGCACGAUUCCAAGUUUCUAGACAAUUGAAACUUGGGUGAUGAGAAUCUUUCCUAAUUUGGUAAAUUAUGACACUACCACAAACGAAAGAAUCAAAUCCAUAUUGCUAAAAGUAGAAACAUACAAACAUCAAUUCUCACAAAUGUCAUUGCAAGGAAAUCAAAAUUAUUUCUUUAUUUAUGAAACACGGAAAAUCUUAUCCUUAAAAUGCAAUUACAUAUGAAAACUAUAUUUCUAAAUAUUUCUAAGCAAUCUAUCCCAACUCCUAGCAUCAGCUCAAAAAUCCGAUCAUCGAACCAUGCUAUCGAUAUCCAUCUCUUCGUGAUCAGACUCAGCAUGCUUUUCCUUUAAGCUUCCUUUGAUCCUACAAAACCUCAAAAUGUAAUCUUAUCACAUAAUGUAAUAAGAAUCUACUAAUAGGAACUUAAUAGAGUUAGAUAGUUGACUUACCUGAAGCACAAUCAAACUUUUUGACUUUACCAUCCUUAUGAUCCUUCAGGUAGAUACGGCAGCUUCGCAACCAAUGCCCUUUCUCUUGGCAAUGGAAACAAAUAGACUCUUUCAGAAUGGUACAUGGGUACAUGGGACAAUAUCAGACUUAGCCUUUCCCUUUCCCUUGGGAAGAGAAAUCUUUUCUGGACUUCCAAUGUUUCCAUUGUCAUUGUCCAUGGAAGUUUGGGAAGUAGAUCUUCCAAUCAAAUUUGCUUUACCAGUGCGACACAUCAUUUUUGAUUCGACAACAAUUAGCAAAUAGGUAAGAUCGAUAAGGGACACGUUGCGGUCAAUCAUAUAAUAGUCUUUAACAAAUUUACUAUACGACUCGGGAAGUGACUAAAGAACCAAGUCGACAGAUAACUUCCUUGACACAAUGACUCCUAACACUCCCAGCCUGUCAAUAUGUGAAUUCAUCUCCAAGACAUGUGCACACACAAACCUUCCAUUUUGGUGUUGGUUUGCCAAUAGGGUUUGAGUGACCUUGAACUUUUCAAGUCUUUAAACAUGUAGGUUAUGAAGAACUACUGGAGGAGGUGGAGGAAGUGAAGUUCCACUACAACACGAAGAAGGGAUUAAUCUUUCACCUUGAUUGUCUUGUAAAAUAUAUUAUCCUCACGAGUAAAGCUUUUUCCAAAAGAUUCAGGAAGACCAUGGUUGUCUGACCUAGACAUCUAUACUGGGAGAAAUACAAGUUAGUUGAUUUAAGUCCUUAAUAUAACACCCAAAUGAAAUAUUAAGACUAGGAUCCAACACAAUAUUCUACAAUUUGGAAGAAGGAUGUCGUAAUCCAAUUGUAAAAUACUUGAAGGUAGGUAAAUGACGAUUUACCAUUUUCCAUCAUGAAAAACGAAAUUGAUUAUUAAGCUUUAAAUGAAUUGAAAUUCCUAGCUUCUUUUGAGAUUCAUUGAACUUUUCAAUGGCAUGUUUAAUCUCGAUUAUGCCCUUCAAGUUUGUGACUGGGAUGCCGAGGAUCACAAACAAGGUGUGAAUAACCAUGCAAAUUAGCUUGGUACACUUAAUGUUACAAAUCAUCCAAUCAAUGUACCACUUUACCACAGAUGCUCCAUUGAUCCAUGAUUAACAUCAAGCUACACCUUGCCACACAUUGUUAGUCCUAGAUUAGUGUGUCGGUUAACCACACACGCUCCACUAACGACUUAACAAGGUGCAAAGUGCAAUUUCAUGGGUUAGCACCAAAUUCACAUUUGUUCUAAGUAACUAAGAUUGGGAAUUUAUAAGUGUUUAGUUACUUCAUAUUUUCAAUCUACUUUUAAUGAGAAUUAAUGUCCUAUCCUACCCGUUCGGCUAACGACCCUCCACCAGUCAAGGAGGUGGUGAGUGAGAGUGGACACCCAUUAAACCACCAUUUCAUAAGCAGUAACCUUAUACUCCCUUAUAGAACGGCUUCGUGAAUGAGGCCUACUAACGGUAAGACUGACCUUUUACUUAUACUUAUAAUAUAUUAAACUUUUUAAAUUUAUAUAGUAUGAAGGUGUAUUUUACACAUUUAAAAUACCUGGUGGUUUAAUCUAUUAAUAAAUAAUACUCUUAAUUUAAUUAAUCUUAAACCAUGUUAUUAUGGAUUUAUUAAACUUCUCUUUUAAUUAAACACUUUAAUUAAUUUAAUAAAGACCAUAAGGUGUAAUUGAACUAUUCAUGGCAUCUAAGUUAUUAAAAAUUCAAAAUGAAUAAUAUUUAAUUAAUUUUAAAAUUAUGAACCCAAGAGAUACAUCUUUUGAAAUCCUUCAAUUACUAGAUGUUUUGGAAUUCAAUAUUACAAAUUAAAACCUUUUAAUUACACUUUUAAAAUUCCAAAGCUUAAGGGCAAGUUUUGAAACUUUUCAAAAGCUUUUGGAUUCCAUCUAAGACUCUUGAAUUUCAUAACUUAUGAGUUUAAUGUUAUUUUAAUGGAUGAGACUUUUCAUGUUCCAAAAUUUGAGGACAAGUUAAGGAACUCAUUAAAAAAACAUUUAGAUCAAUUUUAACAAAUAGAAUUAUCAUAUAAUCUAGGAUUGAUCUAUUUUAACUCAUAAGGCAAGAUAAUUCAUAUCAACAAUUUACGAGUAACUUUUUUUGUCAUAUAACCAACAAUUAUCUUAAAACUUUGACAAUUAUCUUUUCAUUCGAUGGGUUUAAUGACUACCAUAUCAGAAAAAAUUGAUUUUAUAAUACAAAACAGUUUGUGGUAGUGAUCCCAAUCCAAUAUAGGCCAAAAAACUCGAAAAUAUGUCAUCUGCCAGUGCAACUCGUCGAGCCAGGCUUUGGACUCAUCAAGUUCAUCAUGAACUUGUCGAGUUCAUCAAUGGAAUCGGUGAGUGCAGCCUGGCAGAAGGCCAUUUUCAUGUUUUUUUUUCAACAUUGGGCAAUUUCCAUAUGCAACUAUAAAACAGAAAACUACCCAUGUCUCUGAUACCACUGUUGGGUUUUGUGUACUAUAAUACACCUAUGGAGCACAUACAACCCUAAUAGCUUUGGAUCUACGUUUUAUCUAGUUAUACAUGCAAUAAAACUUCCAAAGCAUGAAGCCUACAACUAGCAUACAAUUUUGGUACAUGAAUCAUAAAACUAGUUAGAAUAAUACCCCUUUAUUGUAGCUUGUACAUUUUGCCUUUCAAGAGCUUCGCACCUCAAGUGUGAUGUCUCAAAUGGUUCACAAACACCAUGAACAAAGGAAUACUUUGAGAGAGAGGCUAGACACACUCAAAUCGUAUGAUUCUCUUAGAAUGCAUAGGUCAAUCGAUUUAGGCUAAGGGGUAACAUAUAUAUAUAUAUAUAUAUAUAUAUAUAUAUNNNNNNNNNNNNNNNNNNUAUAUAUAUAUAUAUAUAUAUUGUAGGAUUCUAAGAGUCAUGGAUAACCCAUAAUCCAUACACUUGGGUUAUUAUCCAUAUCUCAUGUGGGCUAACUCUUCAUGGAUACUUACAUAAACUUAGCCAAUGAUGCAUCAAUAGCCCAAACAAUAUGUAUCUCGGAUUUACAUAAUCAGUCCCCAUUAAUUUAAUUAGUGUCUUUUGAUCACUAAAUUAACAUCAAAUUAAUUCUUGAUCAAUACUAAUUAAAUAUGAUGAUUUCUCAAUUAGUAUAUUAUACUUAUAAUAUAUUAGUAAAUCAUAAAUAACCUCUUUCUCAAAUAUCUAUCCUAUCAGAUUGUUCUAGUGAAGGCAACCCAAAUGGACCAUGCUACUCUUGGGUCAAGUACAUACCAAUUAUAGUUAUUGGCUUAGAUACCUAAUUUAACACUUAUAUCCAUGGAAAGGUUACGAGAAGCCCUACACUUCUAUCGAUUUAUACCAUCCUUAAUACCUUCCGAACAAAAAUCCAAUUUCCACAAAAGCCCGAACUGACAGUUUACCGAAAUACCCCUAGGCUCCAAAACACGAACCGAACACCCGAAUCACUUCAAAUACAUCGCUCGCACCAAAUGGGCCUAACUCUUACCUUUUCAGAGGUCCUAAUCCUUAUGAUGACCGAUCUUCAUACACAGCCUCGAACUCGGAAUCGAUCACAAAUAUGUCACGCGAGACAGCAUCGUGCGGAGAUGGAUCGGGCUUAGCAACUAGCGAUCAUGAAUAUGUCACAUGGGAUGGAAUCGCGUGGAAGAAGACAAAAAAAGUUUGUGAGCCUUCAAUCCUUCUUUGCAGUGUGCGUUAUGAUAGUGGGGUUAGGUUGAGAUACCAAGCAGCUCAAGGCGAAGGUUAUGUUUGAACCUAACGAGCAGAGCUUGCCACUACAAUGGAGUCGUACUGAGAAAUCAAAAAACUCAAGGCAAGGGUUAUGAACCUUCUAAACCUUUAGUCAGAUUGGGUUUAUUAGUCCACAAUUUAUGUUGGCAGCCCAGGUGGUCGAUUCGGCAAGAAUGUAAAGGCACUCGAUGCUUUAAUACACCAUUAACUGUAGUGACAAUUGAUGCCCCACAGUCUUGGGCUUUUAUUGAGAGUCGAGACUAAUCCGAACUGGACAACAAGGUUGUGGAGAGCCGGGCAGCACAACUACUAAGAGCUAGCACAACGAGAUUGUUGGGAGUUGGUUAACAUAACUGUUGAGAUCCGAGAGGCGAUAUUGCCAUGCACUAAUCGUCGCAACUGUUGGGAUCCAGGCAACAUGCCGUUGAGGAUUCGGACAUGAAGUUGCUCCUUCAAUAAUAACACUAAUAUCUUCCUGGAGAUGCACAAUCAUAUACAACGCUUGCUUGUCAUGUAGUCCAGCUCUUUGCUUCAAAAUAGAGUUCACACUUUUGCAUAGUGAUGUUUAACUUGUUCACUGCUUGAUUGUUAUCAACAAGGCAAUGUUUUGGCAGUUUUGUUGUAUGCAUGGUUGUAUGGAGAUUAGUAUCCCAUCAAACCUCGCCAUUUGUGUGGGUGUUUUUCUUAUACUAGGUACUAGAGUGGCUAUACUUGAGUCAUUUUGUAUGCAUUGGAUAUAGCUUGCAUAUUUGAGCGUCGUUCGCUUGUAGAUGCCAUUGUAAUUAAACAAUGAUAGCUAGUUAUCUAAGUCUAUACUAUUUAAGUAAUAGUAAGAUAAAAGCAUAAUAAUGGAAAGUUAAGGUGUAUACAAGCAUGUGUUUUGGAAUUUUUUCACAACAUGUGCCUUUGUGUAAGCUUGUAAGGUAAAAUACUUGUAUAUUGGGUAAAAAUGUUUCAGUGGCUAAGCACCGAUGAUAACAAAAUGGUUUGAUUAAAUCAAAAAAUAUUUAUCAAAAUGUGGAAUCUUCGCAUAUAGAAAUAAAAUGUUAGUAAAAAGAUUUUUGACUAAGUAUAGAAGGUUAGUAUUUGUUGCAUAAAUGCUUUAACUUCCUGAAGGUAAAUGCAUGCCAUGAUUGCCAUGAUAAAGUUUUGGUAAAUAGUUUUUGUUUACUAGAUGGAGAUAAUAUGUAGAUUUGUAUGAUAUUGAUUUACUUGAGAAAAGAGAGAUAGGUAGACCUUGUAUCUAAAGUAGGUUGAUGUGUCUCUGAUGUCAGUUUUAAAUUUGAGCCUUUCUACCAUGCUAAGAAGCGUGAUCUUGCCAUUCAGUCUUUGAGAUUGUUAUCUGACGUGGUAGUUGUGUCGAGCUCCGAAGUCCAUAGAUAAAUGCAACGUGCUUCGUCUGUGGUUCCUUUGGUCCAAUAACAAUCGAAAGUUGUUCAUAGAAACACCAUUAAAGGAAAACCGCAUGCGCCCUGAGGAUGUGGAUGGGAUCCACAACCAACACCGGGUAGAGGAUUAUAUUUCGAUGCCCAUUGGGGAAACUUUGGGUGACUAUCUAGCAGUGCACACUUCCUGAGUCCCCUGCACAUGUUUUAAUGACCGAGCUUUACUCUACGGGCUUGUCGUCGGCAAGCUCUGAGUGUUGUGGUGCUGGAGCGGUUAUCUUGAAAAGACGACACACUCAUGUUUGAUAGUUAGUAUGUUUUCUUGAAAUCAUAAAAUGAUUUGUGAUCACUUCAAAGCAUUUCGUUGAGUAGUAGCAGAAGCGUACUGCUCUCCUCCCUUCCUUUUUUUUAAAAAAAAAUAGAAGGGGUUGGAUCGCAACACAUAUUCUUGAUACUUGUUUUGUCGAGCGAAGCUUGCGGUUUUUGAGUGCCAAGUGGAUGACUGUUAACUUGUAAUAUGGGCAUUUUUAUUUUUGAACUAACCAAUUAAAAAUGUGCUUUAAUGGGAGCCCAGAAAAUUGUUGAUGUCCAAAAACUGUUGGGCUCAAAAAGGAAUUGUUCAGCUCAUUUGGAGGAGCCCAAAAUAAAAUAUAAGGAGCCCAAAAUAAUUUAUUGGAUCCCAUUUAAAUACUUAGCCCCAUUAUUCUCUUUUUUUGGAAUUGUCGGGUGUAUCAGACCGCAAUGCUUAUUAUGAAAGCAUAUUUUGUUGAGCGGAGCUUGUGGCACGUGAGCAUAAAUGGCUGAUUUUUAUUUUGUAAAAUAAGCCUAUUGUAUUUUUUUGGGUGGCCCAAUAAAAUAGGUAACUUAGGAGGAGCCAAAUUUGCUAACUAUUAUCUCAAUUUAUUUUUUGAUGAACUAGCCCCAUAAAAUGGUAAAGCUAGUGUGGGAGGAGCCCGAGAAUAAAUGGUGCAACCCAUUUAUGAUAUAAGGAGCCCAAAAUGACUCUUUCGAGACUUAUUCCCAGAUGUAAGCCCAAUGUAGUUGUUGGCAGCGCAGAUGCAAGUUGUGAGCCCAUAUGUUAAUGAUCAGCCCAAGUUGAUAUGUGGUGGCCCAUUUAUGACUUGUAAACGCUAGUCAUUAUCUUCUUCUUUUGUUUCUUUUUUUCUUUUUUGUGUGAAAUGUAUAUGUAGGAUGUAUUGGUUACCAAGGGUGUCACAUGUGUGGGCCCACCAUCUUCUUAUCAGGUUUUAUCUUUGAGGAAAAGUGCUCCAACUGCAUCCCGUUCUCACGAUCUGCCAUGGAGAAGGGAAAUCAUCGACGAUUGUUGGUUGGAGAUCCAGUUGAUGAUGGUUGGUGGUAACAUAUUUCGGACAUCGCUGCCAGUGGGGGUGAAGGUUGUUGAGACAUUUCGCCAAAAGAAAAUGGCGGAUAAGGGUGUCGUGGUUCUAGUACAACACAAAGUCGAAAAGACAUAGACCUGGCGGUCGUUGCUGGAGGUGUUACUCUGUCAGCCGCCGUUGGCUAGGUAGGAACAACCGUCGAGGUUGUUACCGUAAAAUAUUUUGUAGUCGGAGGCGACUAGUGGGAGACCGAAGACGCGACUUCGGCAGCGACGCUGAUCAGUUGGAUUGUUUGGUCGGAAAAUGCGAUCACAUGGAUGGCUUGGAGAGUUUUGAACAACUAAUGGUGUCGAUGGUGUAAGUUGCAGACGAUAAUUAUCGGCGACGAUUCAGUUCUGACAGUUGUCUUGGUGGCGUUUCGGUGACUGAAAAUGGGGUUUCAAAAAGCUCCCAUAAGGUGCUUAUCGCCUGGAGGCGACCAAAGAUAGUCGAGAUGCGUUGUCAGUGACGCUAGCUCAGAAGAGGUAUUCGGCCGGUAGUGCAACCAGCGAUGGUUAAUCCUUCGGUGAGACGAAGGAAUCACAAAGUGGGGCCUAGUUUUUUUGUCCUUUCUCGAUGCUGAUGAGUUGUUCACUUGGAUCGGCUACUUUCCUUUUUUCAUUUGCGUUUGUUAGAUCAAAAGAGACAAUAAUGUCAUUUCCUAUUGUAAUAUUUUUAUAGAAUCAUUUACUGAAAUGAUAGACUAUUGAUGUUUCAUUAUGCACAAUAUGGUGCAUUUGCCCUUCUUUUUUGUUUUGGUCAGAAAGACAUAUGUACACUAUUCUUGUACAUUUUAUUAUCCUUUGAACAACCAUGAGCUUUAAAAUUAUCUAACUUUUGAUGUUGGGUUUGAUUUGAUGGAUUUUUCAAGUGUACAAACACCACAACUAUGUAUACAAGCAGUGGCUUCAGAGAAUGAGACUAGUUGCUCUCUAUUUUUUCUUUUGUCCAUUGAAAUUAGACAAACCCAUGUACUUUUCUUGUAUUCUUAAUUGAGCGGUAAAACUUAUGAGUUGUAAUUUUCGAGUUUCAUUUCUAAUAUGUAUUUUGGAGAGAGUGGUAAAUAUAAACAUGGUUCUUGGAAUUUUGUUGACUUUUAUGAGAUGUAAAAGUUUUGCAGAUGUAUGUACAAACAAUAGUUCAAAGGAUGAUGUCUUGCAUAGAAAAUCACCAAUUGAAAGAGAUUUCCAUGUGAUAUAAACUGCUAAGAGUUUAAAAACUCAUAAAACUUACUUUCUUCUUCCCACUUUUCUAAACAAGUCCCUAAAAUAUGAACGAAAACUGAUCUCAAAGGCUUUUCUUAUGCUUGAAAAACAUUAUAAUUAGCUGAGAGUGGAUUUUGUUGAUCAUAUUAAAUGGAAAUGAUGUAAGUGUUGGAUUUGGUGUCUAAGCCCACAACUAUAACUUGGAUGUACUUGACCCAAUUGAAGCGUGGUCCUUUUGGGUUGCCUUAACAAAUGCAAUUUGAUACGAUGGACUUUUGAGAAUAAGGUUAUUUAUGAUUUAUUAAAUAUUACAAGUAUAAUAUAUUAAUAUGAAAUCAUAUUAUUUAAUUAGUAUUGAUCAAGAAUUAAUUUGGAAUAAAUUUUAUGAUCAAAAGAGACUAACUAAACAUAUGGGGAUUGAUUGUGUAAAUAAAUGAUUCUUAUAGUAUGGGCUAAUGAUCCAUGGUUAUUUAGGAUGGGCUAAACCAAUGAGAUAAUCCAUGGAUAGUCCAUGGAGGUUAACCCAUGGAUCCUGAAAGGUCAUUAGGGUUUACAAAAUGUAACCCUAGCAUUUGCUACACUAUAAGUAAACCCCCUUAGAGCCAAAAUCGGUGACAUGAGUGGCUACAUUCAUUCUAAGAGAGUGAAGUUGAUUUUGUGCUAAGUAACCUAUUCUCUCAAGCCUCCUCUUUCAUAUUGGUGUUUGUGAACCAUUAGAGACAUCACACCUGAGGUGCUCAAGCUUUUAAAAGUCAAGAACUACAAUUCCUUCUAAAAGGUAAGUCAUCUAACUACUUGUAUCAUUCAAUUGUUGAAAUGUAUGCUAGUUCGGACAAUGCUUUGGAAAAUUGAAAAUAUGCAUGUAUAAAUAGAGAAAACAUAGAUCCAAAACAUUUAGGGUUGCAUGUGCACCAUAGGAGUGUUAUAGUGCUAAAACCCAACAGUGGUAUCAGAGCCUAGGGUUGUUUUCUAUUAUACUUGAUGCCUAUUAUUUUUCAAAGAUAAAAAAAAAAGUGGAAUUUUUGGCCUCUGACUGAUGAACUUGCCAAGUCCACUGGCUGACUCGACGAGUCCAUUCAGUAGCAGAGCAACUCGGCGAGUCAGUUCAUGCACUCGACGAGUUGCAUGCUCUGUUUGUAGAAAUUCGAUUUUUUUGGCCUAGUUUUGAUUAGAAACACUACCACAAACUGUUUGGAUCAUUAAAAAUGCUUUUUUGACUUGGUAGAGCUUGUACUCAUCCAACCACAAGAUAAUUGUCAAAGUUUUGAGAAAAUUGUUGAUUUAUAUGAUAAACAAAGUUGCUUGCAAAUUGUUGACUUGUAUUAUCUUAUUUAUGAGUUUAGCUAGAUCAUUCUUGAAUUAUAUGAUAAUUUUAUUUGUUGAUAAAUUGAUCUAAAUGAAUUUUAAUGACCUCCAUAACUUGUCCUCAAGUUAUGGAAAAUGAAAAGUCUCAUACAUUAAAAUGGCAUUAAACUCAUAAGUUAUGGAAAUGAAAGGACAAUUGUAAAAUACUAAGAUAAUAGGUUAAUUAUUUGUAUUAUUUGAUAUGAAUUGCCUUGCUAUAUGAGUUAGAUUUGAUCAAUAGAAUAUUAUAUGAUUAUUUUCCUUGUUAAAAUCGAUCUAAAUGUUAUUUAAUGGAUUCCGUAACUUAUCCUCAAGUUAUGGAACAUGAAAAGUUUUAUCAUAAAUAUUUUAAUGAACUCCAUAACUUGUCCUCAAGUUAUGGAAUAUUAAUAGUCUUUUCAUAAAACCAACAUUAAAUCAUAAGUUAUAGAAUUGAAGAGUUUUGACAAGUUUCAAAACUUGCCCUCAAGUUUUGGAAUUUGUAUAGUCUUACUAAUGAAACUUUAAUUCCAAACCCUAGAGUUUUAAAGGUUAAAAUUCAAUACUUAUACUAUUAUUAUAUUAAAAGUUNUUAUAGUUUUAAUAUUUAUAUAUAUAUAUAUAUAUAUAUAUAUAUAUAUGUAUAUAUGUAUAAGACAAGUCAGUCAUACCGUUAGUAGGCCUCAUUCCCGAAGUCGGUCUAUAAGGGGGGUAUAAGGUUAUUGUCUAUAAAAUGGUGGUUUAAUGAGUGUCCACUCUCACCCACCGCUUCCUUGACUGGUGGAGGGUCGGUAGUCGAAUGGGUAGGAUAGGACAUUAAUUCUUCCUCAUUAAAAGUAUAAUGAUAAAAAAUAAAUAAAGUGAUUAAACUUUUAUUAAAUUCCCAAUCUUAUUCACCUUAGGAAAAUGUGAAAAUGGUUCUAAUCCAUGAAAUUUCACUUUGCACCUUGUUAAGUCGUUAGUGGAGCGUGUGUGGUUAACCGGCACACUAAUCUGGGACUGAAAAUGUGUGGAAAAUGGUAGCUUGAUGUUAAUCAUAGAUUAAUGGAGCUUGUGCGGUUAACCGGCUCAUUGAUUAGUUGAUUUGUAACAUUGAGUGUACCGAGUUAAUUUGCAUGGUUAUUCACACCUUGUUUGUGAUCCUCGGCAUCCCAGUCACAAACUUGAAGGAUAUAGUAAAGAUUUAAAUAUGCCAUUGAAAAGUUUAAUGAAUCUCAAAGAAUAUAGGAAUUUCAAUCCAAUUAAAACUUAAUAAUACAUUUUGUUUUUCAUGGUGGAAAUUAGUAAAUUGUGAUUUACCUACCUACCAAUAUUUUACAACUGGAUUACGGCAUCCCUCUUCGCAAUUGUAAAAUAUUGUGUGUGGGUCCUAGCCUUAAUAUUUCGUUUUGGGUGUUAUAUUAGGGAUUUAAAUCAACUAACUUGAAUUUCUCCCUUUAUAGAUGUCUGGGUCAGACAACUAUGGUCUUUAUGAAUUUGUUGGAAAAGGAUGUCGACAUGAAGAUGAUAUUCCACAAUAUCAUACUUCACUUUCUCCACCUCCUCCAAUUGUUCUCCCUAACCCACAAGUUCAAAGCCUUGAAAAGUUCAAGGUCACUCAAGCCCUAUUGGCUAGAAAACACUAAGAUGGAAGGUAUAUGUGUGCACAUGUCUUUGAGAUGAAGUCACACAUUGAUAAGCUAGGAAUGUUAGGAGUCGUGUCGAGGAAGUUGGCUUUUGACUUGGUUCUUCAAUCACUUCCCGAGUCGUAUAUGAUGGGUUUUACACAAAAGAACAUUCUUAUGUGCACAUGCAAACCCUAAUUACUUGGAUCUAGGUUUCUCUAUUGUACAUGCAAUUCAUCCAAGUUUUGAAACCCUAGAUCUAGCAUACAUAUUACAAAACUAAUGUAACUAAUGAGAUCUAGAUGAUUACCUCUUUUGGAACUCUUGAUCUUUCAUCUUCCUUGAGCUUCGAGUCACAAAUGUAACUCCUCUAAUGGCUUACAAACACCAACUAGCAAGAGGGUAGCAUAUGAGAGGGGGAGGAGGCACACAAAAAUCGGCUCUAGGGUUCUUAGAAAGCAAGUGGCCGAUUUCUGUACCCAAGGGAUCUUGUUUAUACUAUGAGAAGCUAGGGUUUCAGUCAAAACCCUAAUGGACAAGUUAAACCCUAAGCAGCCCGUGGUACCUUCUAGAAUAAGGCCAUGGAUGAAAAUAUGAUGGGCUCCCAUCAUAAUUUUGUUCAGCCCUUGCUCCAUUAGGUUUCCCAACCCAAAAUUCCACUACCACACAUUUGACAAUUUAAGUCCCCUUUAUUCAAUUAAUCUCUUUUAGUCACCAAAUUAAUUCCUAAUUAAUUUAUGACUAAUAUUAAUUAGAUAAUAUGAUUUGUCUUUUAAUAUAUUAUUUUUAUAAUAUAUUAAUAAACUAUAAUGUCUUCUCUCUCUGCAUAAGUCACCCUGUCAAGUUGCUAUGGUAAAGGCAAUCCAAAAGGACCAUGCACAAUCGGGUCAAAUACUUACCAAAUAUAGUUACGGGCUUAGACACAAAUCCAACGGUCUCCCACUUGGAUAAGUCUAGUUACUACAAAUGUCAGCACAAUCCGAUUAGCAAUAAUAGCUCUCAAAGAUGUUUUUGAACUCUGAUCUUAUCAGUAACCUAUCCUUUAGAUAAGGGAUCGUAUAGUCCUCUAUUAUAGAUAUUGUGCAGACAAUUACAUGGAACAUAGUCAUACUUAUUGUCCAGUAGUUUGUUUCUCGAUCUCUGAUUCGUUUGACAUAGAAAUUAAUUGAACACAUCAAUUUAGUCUUGAUUGGGCCCGACACAUAAGUCAAACCAAAUCGCCGAGGGGCCCUGAUAUCGCUUUUACUCUCUUAGGAUAAAAGGAACAGAUAAACUUCGACUUGUAUUCAUUAGUUAUUCACUAAACAAAUCAUACACAACAAUGCAUUUUAUAACAUCAAGUUACUGAUGCGUUUUCGCAUUAUCAAUGCAUAACCAAUUACCAAACAAUAAACCAUAUAUAUAGGUUUUAAGACCAUAUGAUAUUAUCGUCUUGCGAUCACUCGAGACAAAUUCCAUGAAGUGAUUCCAGCAAGCGUGGGUUUAUUUCAAUUCUUAAAUCAAACUCAUAAGCACUCAUGAACGUUGUAGCAAACUUUUUCUAUGUCUAAUACAUUUUAGACAAUCUACACACCAAUUCAUGACGGUCUUCAUUCAUACCUACUUCCAACAUAUGAACGAUUGUGGACGGUUCGAAUAAUUCUUAUUAUUUAGGAAGUCAAAACAGGCAAUUUGAAACAAUAGGUAAACAAUUAACAUAAGACAGUAACAUUACUAAUAAAUAAUACUCUUUUAUUUAAUUAUCAAAUGUCAAUUACAAUUUAUCUAUUACACAUUUCUAAACUAUCUAAUCUAAACUACUAUCAUCCUUCAGCCCGAUGCUCCUAGCGUGCUGCAAGUGCUAAACCCUGCUCAGUCCUUUUGUAAGCGAAUUUGCUAGGUUAUCCUCUGAAGAUACCCUCUUUACUACGAGGAGUCCUUCUUCCACCCGAUGUCGAAUAAAAUGAUAUUUUCUAUCGAUAUGUCGAGAUCUGUCGUGAUCCCUCGGUUCCUUGGUCAAGGGAACCGCUCCUUCAUUAUCACAGAAAAUUUACAUGGGCUCGUUUAUGGAUGGCACAACUCCAAGGUCUCCAAUGAAGUUCUUCAACCAUAUUGCCUCCUUUGACCCUUCGCUCGCUGCAAUGUACUCUUAUUUGCACGUUGAAUCAGCUACGGUCUCUUGCUUGGAACUUUUCCAAGUCACUGCUACUCCAUUAAGGGUAAAGACCUAACCCAAAUACGAACGGUAGUUGUCCCUGUCGGUCUGAAAACUGGCGUCACUGUACCCUCGCACCUUUAAUUCAUCACUCCCAUCGAGGACUAGAAACCAUUCCUUGGUCCUCCGAAGGUACUUAAGAAUGUUCUUGUCUGCGGUCCAAUGCGCUUUUCCAGGGUUCCCUUGAUAUCUGCUGACCAUGCUCAAAGUGAAGGCCACAUCAGGGCGAGUACAAGUCAUAGCAUACAUAAUCGAGCCAGCUACGUAAGCGUAUGGUACUCAGCUCAUUUCUGCUAUCUCGACUUCGGUAUUCGUACUUUGAGUCUUACUCAACUUGGUAUUACUUUGAAUCCGUAACUCUCCUUUCUUUGAAUUCUCCAUAGUACAACAUUUUAGUAUCUUAUCCAAGUAAGUAUUCUGACUAAGUCCUAUUAGUCUCUUACUUCUGUCUCUCACUAUCCUUAUUCCCAAAAUAGAGGAAGCCUCUCCGAGGUCCUUCAUAGCGAAGCACUUCCCGAGCCAGGACUUCACCUCCUACAGUUUCUGGAUGCCGUUUCCUGUGAGUAGUAUGUCAUCGACAUACAAUACGAGGAAGCUAACUAUACUCCCACUUGCUUUGACAUAUACACAUGCUUCGACAUAUACACAUGCUUCAUCCUUGCUUUGUAGAAACCCAAACUCUUUGAUUUUCUUGUCGAAACAAAGAUUCCAUCUGUGAGACGCUUGCUUAAGUCCCUAAAUGGAGUUCUCAAGCUUUAACACUCUAUUGGGAUGCUUCGCAUUGACAAAACCCUCUGGCUGAGCCCUGUAAACAUCCUCAGCCAACUUCCGAUUAUGGAAAGCGGUUUUGACAUCUAUUUGCCAUAUUUCAUAAUCAUGAAAUGCAGCAAUGGCCAGCAUCACCCUAAUAGAUUUUAUCCUAGCAACCGGUGAGAAGGUUUCAUCAUAGUCAACUCCGGGAGUUUGAGUGAAACCCUUCGCGACAAUCGUGCCUUAUAUGUGUACACAUUUUCAUCCAUUUCGGUCUUCUUCUUGAAGAUCCACUUGCACCCGACCGUCUUACGUCCGAGCACAUGGUCAACCAAAUUCCAAACCUGGUUGUCAUACAUGGACUGAAUCUCAUUGUCUAUCGCCUCUUUCCACUUCGCAGACUCUGGGCCCGCCAUGGCUUCCUUGUAGCUGUUAGGUUCGUCCAAAUUUAUUAUUGUACUAUCACUAAUAUACGUAUCACCCGUGUAGUUAUAUGAAAACCAUACAACACGGGUGGAACACUAACUCUACUGGAACAUCUAAAAGGAAAUGAUUCGUCAAUCAGUUCAACCGGAGUUUCCUCCUCGGGUUGAACGCCAGCGUUAUAGGUUCCUUCAUUGCUCGAUUAUUGAAUCUCUUCAAGAUAGAUUUGCCUCCCACUGUCCCCUUGGCUUAUGAGUUCUCGCUCUCAGAAAACCCCUCUCCUUGCAACGAAGACAACACUGUGACUCAGCCUAUAGAAGAGAUAUCGAAAGGACUUCUGUAGGUAGCCAAUGAAUAUACACCGCUCACUACGAGGUUCGAGCUUAUCGUGAGUCUCUCGUCUUACGAAAGCCUCGCAACCCCAAACCUUGAUAUGUGCCAACGAGGGAGCUUUCCCUGUCCAUAUCUCGUGAAGUGUUUUGGCAACCUUCUUCGUAGUGACUAAGUUAAGGAUAUGGGCGGCAGUCUCCAAGGCAUACCCCCAUAAUGAGAUAAGUAGUGAAGCACGACUCAUCAUGGAACGAACCAUGUCUAACAAGGUUCAAUUACGCCUCUCAGCCACACCGUUUAACAGCGGUGUCCUAGGUGGCGUGAAUUGCGAAACGAUUCCGCAUUCCUUAAGAUAGUCGUGGAAUUCAAGACUUAGGUACUCUCCUCCUCGAUCGAAUCGAAGCAUCUUGAUUUUCCUGCCCAACUGAUUCUCCACUUCUUGUUUAAACUCUUUGAACUUUUCAUAGGUUUCUGACUUGUGCUUGAUUAAGUAGAUAUACCCAUAUCUACUAUAAUCAUCGGUAAAAGUCACAUAGAAGCGGCUCGCAUCCCUUGUGGUUGAUCUAAAGGGACCACACACAUCGAUGUAUUUGAGAUCCAAUAGACCCUCACCCCUCUCACAAGUGCCAGUGAAGGGUGACUUGGUCAUCUUUCUAAGCAAACAAGACUCUCACACGUCAUCGUCCCUAAGAUCGAAUGAGUCCAACACUCCAUCCUUUUGGAGUUGGGCUAUGCUUUUCUUGUUGACAUAUCCAAGAAGAAACUGCCACAAGCAUGCUUUAUCCAAACCGUUGGAUGAAUCAAUACACAACACAUCAUUUCCUAAGUUAUCUACAACCAUCACAGUUUCAUAUAUUCCAUUACAAGGCAAUGCUUCAAAAUAAAAUACAACAUUAAGAUAAGCACUAAUAGAACCUUUUUCAUUAUCAAAUGAAUAUCUAAAACCUUGUCUAUAUAAACCAUGAAAUGAAAUGAUGUUUCUCGCCGUAUUUGGCGAAAAGCAACAAUUGUCUAAAUUUAAUUCUAAUCCACUACUGAGCAUUAAAGAGUAAAUUCCGAUCUUGGUGACAGGCGACGAUCUUCUGUUCCUCGUGAUCAAAUUUAUCUUCCCAUGCUCCACAUCCCUAUCUCUUCUUAGGCCCUGCAAAUCAGAACAAAUGUGAAAACUACAUCCUGUAUCAAGAACCCAAGAAAUGGAAUGUGAUGAAUCAUUAGAUUUAAUAGUGUAAAUACCUACGUAGGAUGGCUUAAUCUUUCUAUCCUUGAUGGCAUGCAGAUAUUCUGGGCAAUUUCUCUUCCAAUGCCCUAUUUUGUGGCAGUAGUGGCACUCUGCCUCUAUUGGGUUAGAGUUGGGUUUAGCAUAACCAACUUUGGUUCCACUAGAAGCAGUACCAUUUUGGGAUUUACACUUAUGGUGGCUCUUUGAGGGAGCUUUCCUCUUCUUACCCUUCCCUUGCCUAAUAGCAACACAGGGGCAGCGGUUGGAGCGGGAGAUGAUGCAACAGACUUAUCCUUGAGAUUUCUCUCAGCAGUCCUAAGCAAGUCUUGAAGCUUGCUCAAGGUGACCUCUUCCUUAUUCAUAUGGUAGGUCAUGCGGAACUGGUUGUAGCAGGGAGGCAGGGAGUGAAGGAUGAUGUCAAUCGCCAGCUCUUCAUCAAAGUUAACAUUUAACUUUAGCAGACGAUCAACAUAUCUCUGCAUCUUUUGCAGAUGAGCGGUAAGGGACUCUCCAUUACCCAUUCGGGUAGUGAUCAUCGAAGUGAUGAUCUCAUACCUCUUUUUCCUCGCACUUUGGUGGUACCGGUCCAGCAAGUCUUGAUGCAUCUCAUAGGGAUACAUCUUCUCAUAGGACUUUUGGAGUUCGGAAGUCAUUGUCGCCAGCAUGAUGCAAUGGACUUUAGUGGCAUCACGCUCGUGGGCCUCAAAGGCAGCGUUCUCUUCGGGAGUGGAAGUGGUCAUAACAAUCUCCUUCAGCUCCUUAUCAAGGACAUACUCUUUGUCCUCGUAACGGGUGACCAUUCUUAUGUUACGGAUCCAAUCAUUGAAAUUGUUUCCGUCAAAUAUCACCGUCCCACACAAGUUCAUGAGUGAGAAAGAGUCGGAGGAACUGGUGCCAGAAGAGUUGUUGUUGUUCAUGUUUGACAUUUGAAAAGGAAAAGAACAAAGUUUGAUUAGAAAUGAAUCCCAAAUUAAACACCCAAAUGAGAAAUUAGGGCUAGGAUCCAACAACAUUAUUUACAUAUUAGAAGAGGGAUGUCGUAAUCUAACAUUCAAAUAAUUUGAAGGUAAGUGAAUGACGAUUCACUAAUUCUCCACCAUGAAAAGGAAAGGAAGAUUUAAGUUUUAAAUGUAUUGAAAACUUCUAGAUCUUUUGAGAUUCAUUGAAAUUUUCAAUGGCAUGUUUAAAUCUCGAUAUGCCCCUCAAGUUUGUGACUGGGAUGCCAAGGAUCACAAAGCGGGUGUGAAUAACCAUGCAAAUGUACAUAGUGCCCUCAUUGUUACAGUCGCCUAUUCGAUGUGCCGGUUAACCACACACGCUCCAUCGAACUAUGACAAACAUUGAGUCACCCUUUGCUCCCUUUGCUUAGACCCAAUUAGUGUGUCGGUUAACCACACACGCUCAAUUAACGUCUUAGCAAGGUUACAAAGUGCAAUUUCAUGGAAUUGCAUCAAUUCACUUUGCCUAAAGUAACUAAGAUUGGGAAUUUUUUGUAAAAAAACAUUUAGUUACUUUAAUAAUUCAUUAUACUUAUUAAUGAGAAAGGGUUGCCCUACCUUACCCGUUCGGCUAACGAUCCUCCACCAAUCAAGGAAGCGGUGGGUGAGAGUGGACACCUAUUAAACGGCCAUUUUAUAGGCCAUAACCUUAUACCCCCUUAUAGAUCGGCUUCGUAAAUGAGGCCUACUAACGGUAAGACUAGCAUUUUAGGUUAUACAUAUAUACAUAUUAAUCUUAUAAUAUUAUAAAGUAUAAGGUCGAAUUUUAAACAUGUAAAAUUCUAGGGUUUGAAAUUUAAAUAGUUCAAAUUAAACAUUUUAAUCGCAAAAUUUAAAUUUCAAAACUUGAGGACAAGUUUUGAACUUUUCAAAACACAAAGGAUCAAAUAGCAAAUAAUUUUAAAUUAAAACAAUUAAUUUAAUGAUUAUCUAAAUUUGACCUAAUAAAGAUUAUUUACAAGAUAAUUUACCAAAUUAAUUUAAAUAAUCAACUUUUAUCAUAUAAGGAAAUUAUUAUUCAAAUAAUUAGAAAUUAUCUUUUGUUUUGGUAAGGAUAAUCACAUAGAAACAAUAAAAUUCAAAUUUUAUUAUAAUAAAACAAUUUUAGUAAUUAUCCUUCAACAAAACAGCAAUAAAUCCCGAAAUAUCCUCUGUCUGACGCUCCGACUCGCCGAGUCCUCUUAUAGACUCAUCUAUUCAAUCAAGCAGAUUGCACAAAAACAAUUUUUUCAAGCAAGAUCAAAACAUAUAGCAUCAAAUACAAUUGAAACCAGACAUAGCUCUGAUACCACUAAUGGGUUUUACAAAAAAGAACAUUCCUAUAUGCACAUGAAAACUGUAAUUACUUGGAUCUAGGUUUCUCUAUUGUAGAUGCAAUUCAUCCAAGAUUUGAAACCCUAGAUCUAGCAUACAUAUUACAAAACGAAUGUAACUAAUGAGAUCUAGAUGAUUACCUCUUAUCGAACUCUUGAGCUUUCUUCUUCCUUGAGCUUAGAGUCACAAGUGUAACUCCUCUAAUGGCUUACAAACACCAACUAGCAAGAGGGUAGUAUAUGAGAGAGGGAGGAGGCACAAAAAAAUCGGAUCUAGGGUUCUUAGAAAGCAGGUGGCCGAUUUCUGUACCCUAGGGAUGUUAUUUAUACUGUGAGCAGCUAGGGUUUCAGUCAAAACCCUAAUAGACAGCCUAAACACUAAGCAGCCCAUGGAACCUUCUGGAAUAAGGCCAUGGAUGAAAAUAUGAUAGGCUCCCAUCAUAAUUUCGUUCACCCCUUGAUCCAUUAUGUUUCCCAGCCCAAAAUUCCAAUAUCACACAUUUGACAGUUGAAAUCCCCUUUAUUCAAUUAAUCUCUUUUAGUCACAAAAUUAAUUCCUAAUUAAUUUAUGACUAAUGUUAAUUAAAUAAUAUGAUUUGUCUUUUAGUAUAUUAUUCUUAUAAUAUAUUAAUAAACCAUAAAAUCUUCUGUCUCACCAUAAAUCACCCUGUUAAGUUGCUAUGGUGAAGGCAACCCAAAAGGACCAUGCACAACUGGGUCAAGUACUUACCAAAUAUAGUUACGGCUUAGACACUAAUCCAACAGUAUAGUCAGUUUGUUAAAGACUACUAUAUGACAGACCGCGACGUGAACCUUACUGAUCUCACAUAUUUGCUAAUUGUUGCUGAAUCAGCAAUGAUUUGGCACAUUGGUAACGCAAAUUUGAUUGGAAGAUCUUCUUUCCAAACUUCCAUGGACAUUGACAAUGGAAACAUUGGAAGUCCAGAAAAGAUUUCUCUUUCCAAAGGAAAGGGAAAGACUAAGUCUGAGAUUGUCCCAUGUACCAUUCCCAAAGAGUCCAUAUGUUUCUAUUGCAAAGAGAAAGGGCAUUGGUUGUGAAGCUCUCCUAUCUACCUGAAGGAUCAUAAGAAUGGUAAGGUCAAAAAGUUUGACUCUGCUUCAGGUAAGUCCAAUAUCUAACUCUAUUAAUUCCUACGUAUAGAUUCUUAUUACAUGAUGUAAAAUUACAUGUUGAUGUUUUUUGUAGAAUCAGAGAGAAAGAAGGAGCUUAAAGGAAAUAGUAAGGAUGAAUUUGAUCGUGAAGAGACGGAUUUCGAUCGCAUGGUUCGAUGAUCGUAUUUUUGAGCUGUUGCUUAAGAGUUAUGAUAGAUUGCUUAGAAAUUUGUAAUAACAUAGUUUUCAUUUGUAAUUGCAUUGUAAGGAAAAGUUUUUUCGCAGUUAUAUAAAUAAUGAAAAAUUUGUUUUAUCUUAUUUUAUAUUUCCUUGAAAUGGCAUAUGUGAAAAUUGAUGUUUGUAUUUUUUUUAGCAAUACGGAUUUGAUUCUUUCAAUUGUGGUAGUGUCUAAAUUUACCAAAUAAGGAAAGAUUCUCAUCACCCAAGUUUUAAUUGGACAUAAACUUGGGAUAAUGCAACUUGUAUUGUAUGAUGAAUGAGAACCUUCAUCAUUGGGAAAUUAUGACUAAUUCUUUGUUCACAUGUAUAUGUGAGUUAAGUGAAGCGCUGGAGGAUCGGGUACACUUGGUUGUGCGUUGGUCAGGUUCAACAAAAAGAACGAUAAAACUAUUCGUUAUGGUUUACUAAAGUUAGUAAAUAUGGUUAUGCUUACAGGAUUAAGUAUAAUUCCGAGUCAUUGAAAAGUCUCAAUAUAUAGCAGAACGAAUAAGAAGAAUCACAGUCGGCAAAAAGAUAAAAUUUUCUCCAAUCUGAAAAGAUGGGAGAGUACUUGAGUAUCAUGUUUUUUGAGCAUCUUAAUGAUUAUAAAAACCAUAUCACAAUUUGAUCCUCUAAGGACGCCUUAGUGCAUUUGUUUGGCUAAGAAGAAGAAUCAGGAAUUGCUGAAAUGGUUAAAUCAAUUAAGAUGAAUCAUACUUCAUUCCAAAAUCAAAUCUUAAAGUCAUCCUCCAAGAUUGUAUAUUGAGUGACAUAUCAACAAAUCUAGAGUAAAAUAUUUCUUACUCUUGUACAUCUGAAAUUGGUAAGUUGUAAUGUUUUGGAUAAAACAAAGAUCAACUAAGACCGAUUGUCAAAAGUGUUUGUCUUGAUAAGAAAUUGCACUAACUCUUGAAUAUUUGUUUUUCAAGUAAUGUUUCUUGAUAGAGAGAAACUUGUAUGUCAAGAGGUCAGUGCGAGUCUUCAAGAUCUUGAAAAGUUUUAAGGACUAAUCAAGAGUAAACCUAUUGUUAAUCACUAGCACCCGGCUUGAGGUUGGUAACCUAUCGUGUUGACAUAUUCUUCUUUUUGGUGCACAUUCCAGUUAAAUAUGACUAUUCAUGUGAGUUCUAAGAGUUCUCAAUUGUUUUCAUAGGGCAAAGCACCUUGAUCAGUGAAAGUUCAUUGAUCUGUAAGGAUGAGCUGCUCAAUAACCUGGAUGUAAUGGUAGGCCCUUGGGCUGCCAAGUGGCAUGGAAUUAAGAUUGAACAAGUUCAGUCCAUAUGAGUUUGGAUUUGUCACUAACUUUGUCUUGUGAUAAUGGUUUUGACAAAUUCACAUGGAUAGGAACACAUACACCAUAAAAAUCUAAGUGUCACAAGGUUUCUCUCCAAUUCAUGAAAAUGAUUAUGAGGGAACGCUUUCACUAAGUAGAUUUUAAAGAGUUAUCAAUUGUGAUACUUGAAUUCUCAAAUUCGAUUAUGACUACGACAUCCCUCUUCAUAGUUCGAAUUGUGAGAAAUGGAAAAAGGUCUAAACAUUUAAGACUUAUUGCUAUAUGUUCGAAAAUUGUUUACACACGCAUAUGAGCUUUCUAAUAAAAGGUGUGUGAGCUUAGAUAAAUGCUUAUCGAAGCAUCUCGUGUCAGAAAUCUAAAAUUUCGUAAGAAAGUCAAUAAAAUAGUGAUUUCUAGAAGUCCAUCUGAUUUCUGGAUUUAUGUCACAGCUAGUUGGAGCAUAAAUCUUAUGCAAGUAACAAAAUGAUUGUUAUGCUAGUGGGAGCAUAAUUAUUAUGGUAAGUGUUGCAAGUUAGCAAUGUUAAUUAUAGAAAACAAAGGUUUCAAUUCACAAAGUUGUAGGGUUGAAAAGUUGUUUUGCUAUAAUUAAGGGAGAGGAACUUAUGCUUCAUUUCAAUUUUAAAAGCUUAGAUUCAGAUUUUAAUUAAAUUUAGUCAAGGAUUUAUAUGAAUACCAUGUUAAAAUGCUUCAACAUUGGAAAUUCUAUAUAUGGAAAUAUUAUAGCAAAAGACUGGUCAAGUAUCAUGUCUUUAUGUAAGACAUUAUGAAUCGUAUCCAAUAUGCUUAGGGUAUAGGAUCGAUUGCAUAUGCUAUAAUAUUCAUGUGUUCUAAUAUUCCAAAUGCCUAGGGAAUCAAGAGGAAAAACGAUUAGAACUGGAUAUGACUAAAGUUAUUAAACAACUGCUAAGAACAAUCCAAGGUUCGCCAAAGAUUGGUUGCUUAUGGAUAGUUAGAAGUAUAGUAAUGGAUGGACCGUAUUGACAUUAUUAUGAAUAAACAGUAUUCUAUUAGCAGUGAGUUGUCAUAUGGCAAAUAUGGAAAUGUUUCCAUAAUGGGAGUUAGAUAUCAAGAAUCUAUGAGAAAGUUAGAAACUUUUAUGCAAGAAGGAUGUUCAAAGGAAUGUGCUUUGAAUAUGAGACUUCGGAUCUAUGGAAUUUUCUUGUAACAAUCUCCAAUGGAAAGUUUUGUAAUUGUCAAAGUCUAUGUACAUAGUCAUUACAAAAAGGAUCAUCGCAUAUAAGUUUAGAAUUCAACAAAUUACACCAAGUGGCAAGAACUUGGUUUUCUUACACUUAUGAUAAAGAUAUGAAAUUGUGAAAUGAGUAUUGUUGAAAAUGAUUACAAUUGAUCUAUUUCACAAAGUAAGGACCGUAGGUAAACAUAGUGUCUAUUCUUGGAGAAUGGGAUAGCUAUUGUUUUAAUUCAAGUAUUAGUUGAUAAAUCGAAACAAUAUACAAUGAAUAUUGUGUAAUCAAUAUGAUCAUUAAAUAAAAGGUGUUUUAUUUACACUUAAAAGUUAUGGGGCCAUAUAGGAUUAGUAUUAUUCUUGUGUUUCACUUUGCAUAUUUUGACUUCCCGAAUAAUAAGAUUAUUCAAACCUUCCGCAGUCGAUCAUACAUUGGAAGUAAGUAUGAAAUAAGAUUGUCAUGAAUUGGCUUGUAGAUUGUCUAAGGUGUUAGACAUAUCAAGAGUUUGCUACACCAUUCAUGAGUGCUCCUGAAAUAAGAUUUGAGUAUUGGAUUCAACCCAAUCACCUGAAUUACUUCAUGGAAUUUAUCACGAGUAAUUGUGAGACGAUAAUAUCAUAUAAUCUUCAACUAAGAUAUACGAGUUGUUGACUACGAAUUCGUUGUGCAUUGAUAAUACUAAAACGCAUCAGUAACUUGAUGUUAUAAGACGUAUCGUUGUGCAUGAACUAAUGAGUAGUUAGUACAAACAUAUAAUGUCAAAGUUUAUCUGUUUCUUUUAUCCUAAGAGGAUUAAAAGCGAUAUCUUGGGCCUCUCGGUGAUUUUGUUUUGACUAUGUGUCGGGCCUGAUCAGAACUAAAUUGAUGUGUUCAGUUAUGUUUUAUGUGAGACGAUUCGGAAAUCAGGAAACAAAUUGCAGGACAAUAAGUAUGACUAUGUUCCAUGUGUUUGUCCACAUAGAUAUCUUGAGAACAGAGGAAUAUAUGAUCCCUUAUUUGAAGGACGCGUCACUGACUAGGUCAGAGUUAGACAACAACUUUUGAAAGCUUACGAUUGCUAAGUCGGAUCCUGAAGUUGCAUUAACAGUUAUAGUUAUUAGACUUAUCCAAGUGGGAGACUGUUGGAUUUGAUGUCUAAGCCCAUAACUAUAACUACUUGACCCGAUUAUAGCAUGGUCCUUUUGGGUUGCCUUCACUAGUGCAAUUUGAUAGGAUGGACUUUUGAGAAUAAGGUUAUUUAUGAUUUAUUAAUAUAUUACAAGUAUAAUAUAUUAAUAUGAAAUCAUAUUAUUUAAUUACUAUUGAUCAAGAAUUAAUUUGGAAUAAACUUUCUGAUCAAAAGAUACUAAUUAAAUAUAUGGGGAUUGAUUGUGUAAAUCCAUGAUUCUUAUAGUGAGGGCAAAUGACCCAUGGUUAUUUAGGAUAGGCUAAACCAAUGAGAUAAUCCAUGGAUAGUCCAUGGAGGUUAACCAAUGGAGCCUGUAACGACGUAAAGUUUACAAAAACUAAAACUUUCAUUUAAAAUCACUUCAUUCAUAAAACACUGUUCAUAAAAUCUCAUUUUUUGUAAUUUACAAUACACAUCUCCAUAUUCAGAUAAUUAAUAAUCCAGGAUCUUCAAAAACAUAACUCUUCCUCAGGUGUGUACAAUCGAGCCGGUGCCAUCCCGUGAUCUUGAGAAAACCUGAAACACAUAACACAUAACACGGUAAGCACGAAGCUUAGUGAGUUCCCCAAAAUACCACAUAUAACACAUACUAGCCACUCGAGGCUAUAACUCUGUGGGACCUUGGGCCCUAACUCUGUGGACCCUCUGGUCCUAACUCUGUAACUCUCGGAUACACACGACAUAAAUCACAUAGAAAUAAUGCAGUGCAAAACAUCACAUAUAUAACAUACAAGAUACUCUAUCACAUAACUCUAGUUACCACUCAUGGUAAAGUAUAGUGAGAAGACUCACCUGGCAAGCAGAAAGCAGUUAUCCUCACUCUUGAAUCUCGAACUCGCCGGCGCCUAACACAUAAGGCAAUACCUCUAAUUAACACUCGUGAUCUCAACUCUAAUUAAACCGAUGAUUACUCUUUCCCUCUCUAAUCAGGAAGUGGGUAAAAGACCAUUUUACCCAUCUGAGGUCCCUAUUACUUAUAUUGACCAAAACCCCAAAGUCAACAGGAGUCAACUCAAGUCAACAGUCAACACUUGACCCUACUCGUCGAGUGCAUCCUUGCGACUCGUCGAGUCCGCUUGUAUUAUCAGAACUCUACUCAGGUCUCACUCAACUCGCCAAGUUGACCCCUAACUCGAUGAGCCAACACUGGGUUAAGGCUACUCAAUCAAACCCGCUAUAACUCGUCGAGUCACCUCAUGGACUCGGCGAGUUGGCUCCUACAGAUUGCUCAUUCUGCCAUCUAAGGUCAGAUCUGCAACCCAAACUCAUAAAUCUAACCUCCCACUACCCAAUAGUCACGUAAAGGUAUGAACUUGAGGCUCAUGCAUGGUGUAUUUUGCUCAAUACACCAUUUGGACUCCAUUGAAGCUCCAUAGCUUCAAAGCUCCCAAACAACUCUUUCAUGGCUGCCUACUUUCUGAUUCCCUGGACCUCACAAGGUCCAGAUCUACACAUGACUUGAAAAAGCGUUUAGAUGCACCCACAACCCUAUCUAAAUGGUGAUCCAAGCCCUAACUUAAUCAACCAAGGAAAUCCAUACAAAACAAAGAAGGGAAGAGCUCAUACCGGAUCUGGAGCUUGCAAUGAAGAUGAAAUUGAUCUUCUAACUCUCCUCUGAGAUCCUUGCAACACCCUUGCUCCUCCUUUCCAUGAAUCAACCUCCAAUAAGCCAUUUUCUUCUCUAGAUCACCACACUCUAGGGUUUCUCUCAAGGAACGAAGACUCUGGUGGGGAGGGGCCAAGGAGGCUAUAUGUGCCGUUAAAUAGGUCCCAAACCCCGAAAUUUAGGGUUUCUCUGCCCAACACCUACUUGGCGAGUCCCUCCUCAGACUCAUCGAGUCCACCCAUUAAACCUGCGAGAAAAACCAGACUUAACUCGGCGAGUUGGACCCUCAACUCGUUGAGUCUCUCCUAUAAUCACAAAAUUAACUUGCACAAUAAUAACCCUGAAAAUCCGGAAUGUUACAAUUCUCCCCCACUUGAAUUAGAUUUCGCCCUCGAAAUCAUUUCUCAACUACACAUAGAUUGAAAUCAUCACCUGAAAGGCACCACCGAAAGGAUCUCAUACAACACCGAUAUCUUUCUCUAUGGACACCUAAAACCACACCGAAACUUCCAAGACCAGAAUUUAACUAACUCUUGCAUCGCUAAAAUACUCUUUCCUAAUAUCGGGAAACUCUGGUGGCCUGACCCGCCGCCAGACCGCCCACUCGAGCGAUCACCAUAAUAUUCGAUCCUCGAAUAUGAAACCCUGAUCAUUCACUGGCUAUCUGAUUCCCAUAAGUCCAAAUCCAACAACCGUAUUGCCCGCCCAAACCGAUCAUGCUAAAUCAUCCGAAUCACGCCCCAAGAAAGAAAGGGCACACCCACUAAACUGCUAUCAGCACCGAUCCAAAAAGAACCCCUAACACUUUACCCUCAGAAUACAAAAGAAUAACCAUGCUCGUUCAGAAGUGUCCUCAUACAUCACACUCAUAAGCCUCAGCUUCAAUUCCCAUAUCCCUGUUGACACCACACGAGGUCUAACCUCAACCCAACCGUUGAACCUCUAUGGUUACCAAUAACAUGAUCCAAAAUGUCUCACUGAAGUCCUUCUCAUAUCAACUCUCUCGGCCCAGUGACACACAAGUCACAAAGUUCUCUUUAAUCCAAACGGAUACUAUACUCUCAACUAGAAUCGUCUCAUGUAUCCCGUGAUAUUUCCCGUGCCCACUAACUGACCCUGCUCAGGUCUACGAUAUUGGGUGACAAUGAUAACUCCCCUCUUAGCACGGAAUCCAUCUCUAAAUCCAGAACUCGUACCGCCUACCUGACGCAUCGCCAGAGCCAAACUCAACUUGAGAGUUUGGUCUGCCCAAAAGUUGGAAUUACUCAUCCCAACGAAACACUUAUCUCAUAACUCAUGACUCGCAACUUGCACGCAAACCACCUCUCUAAUUCCCUUUGGUUGCAACAACCACCACUCAAAUCGGAAUAUAGCGAUCCCCAACAAUUGGAAACCUCAGCCUCGCCCCUGUCUCGACCGCCAGGCUCCCACAACUCAACAAUUAGGGCUACCCAAGCCUAAACUCUUCUACUUCACUCUGAUCAAAGAGUACUUCCUCAUAACCACCUCUCGCUGACUAGUGAGUACUACGGCUCCCCGUAGCAUCACGACACCCUCUGACUAGUGAGUGCUACGGCUCCUCGAAGCAUCACAACAACCUCCAUCUGACUAGUGAGUACUAUGGCUCCCCGCAGCAUCACAACACCCACUGACUAAUGAGUACUACGACUCCUCGUAGCAUCACAACACCCUCUGACUAGUGAGCACUACGGAUCCCCGCAACAUCACGACACCAUGUUCACUAACUCAUGCUCCGUGGACUAACAUAGGUAGAUGCCUACACUCAUUCAAAUCAUGCAUCCUCAUUUCUGAUAACAACCUCCAUAACCAAAACACCUUCUCCCGCUGCAACCUUCAUUCCUAAAUAAUCCCUCUUGAUGUCAAUACCCAAGGAGAUCCCUCUGGAAUCAUAGAUACUCGAUACACUACUUACAGACACAACCAAGGAGAAUUAAUUAAUUCGGCAAUCAGGGCAUUAUUCUCGGAUUCCUCGGAACACUAUCACAGAACAUCACAAUGUCCUGCCUCAACCACUUAUCUCCUACCCCCAGCAUCAUACAUAUACAACAAUACACUCCCACCGAAUCUCGUAAUUAAUCCUUCAUUUCCUUAAUGCGCAACUUCGGUGUAUCCAAACACUCAAUUGGAAUACGGAGAAAUCUCUAACGCUUCAGAACACGUUGACGACCAUCCGAAAUUCUACCUUUACUGCUCAACCCAUGCUAGAAUACACAUACCGACCAGGGAGUUGGCUGCCCGAUCAUCUCCUAUCUACCCCAAAGGGCUAGAUAACAAUCCAUUCAUCGAACCAUAUGUCCUCAAUUGCCAACACCCUCCUUACGAGCCUACCAACUUGAACAUCUCUAACCACCACCAGGUUCCUGACCAAUGGCCACCUGCCGUGGAGGCGCUCGCCCUUUCUCAAAACGUACCUCAUGCAUUAUCUCGCUCUGCACCUCGCCUCGACCACCAAUAACCCUGGUCUCAUGAAUUCGAACCGCAAGUCUCUAUAUCCAGAUCUCCAACCGCUCUUGAACAAGUCUCUGGUCCCCUCAAUAAAAUACUCAGUUCUCCCCCACUUAGGGUUCGAACCAUCACCAAUUGACGCACUAACAAUCUAUCCCACAGACUGUUUCCACCAGUAACAUCGCACCUACUCUUUGAAGGUGCUACACAACGCCCGAUGAUCUCCCCACAUAGAGAUCAAGCAACCCCAAAUACCCUGAAUCUCCGAUGAAAUCCUCAGGAACUUCUCAUCACGACUACCUCUAGUCCUUCCAAAAUCUCAUACUAUCCCACUACCAGACAUUUCCAAUGUCCACUAAUAACCCUAACUAUUGGACUGAAAAUACUGAAUCAUCAUACUCUUCAUUCUUGACUUCUCAACCAAUGUUCCAACGUGUGAAUCAUCAAAAGAACAGGGACUCCAUUCCCAUACCCAAUACCCAUCCUAGAAAAAUGAGCCACCGUCCCGAGAUACUCUUCUGGAUUACCCGUUGCUACAGCUAACAUAUGCCCUACUAUACUCAAAUAGGGUGCAUCCUGGUCCUUGACCAUCUCAAUCCCAACUAACAACUUGCUCAUGAUAUAUCAUCACUAAACGGCAGACAUGUUGCCAGAUGCUCUGGUGGAAGAUCGCCAUCAAUGUCAACCCGCAGGGUUUACUCCUAACCCCACAACCGAAGUCUCACACAUCUUAUGUUUCCUACAAGAAACGGUAGUAGCACCACUAAGGUCACAGAAGGUGACAUCUCUUAUAUCGACUGAUUGGUCAUCUCAGGCCGUAAUUCUCCAUGAAAUCCAUCUCUACUCAUCCUUGAGUCUUGCGACUCUAUCUGACAUCUCACCAAAUAUACCUUGGAAUUUAUAUUGACCUCCCUCUCAAGGGAUGCUUCUUUGAACUCAUUCAUCAUGGCCUUCUGGCCUCAUACUCUAUCGUAUUUGAUCUCUACCAAAUCAAUCAUGACCGAAUAACCGAAGAAACUCCAACAUCCUUUGCUACGAGUCAUGGUACUCAUUCCAGGACAUCACAUCUCAACCUGCUACAAUGCAUGGUACCCGAACCAUGACAUCACUCCUCAAUCUACUACACUGCUACUCGAACCAUGGCAUCACUCCUCAACCUACUACAAUGCAUGGUACUCGAACCUUGACAUCACUCCUCAAUCUGCUAUGAUGCAUGGUACCCGAACCAUGGCAUCACUCCUCAAUCUGCUACGAUGCAUGGUACCCGAACCAUGACAUCACUUCUCAAUCUGCUACGACGCAUGGUACCCGAACCAUGGCAUCACUCCUCAAUCUGCUACGAUCAUCACUUCUCAAUAUGCUACGAUGCAUGGUACUCGAACCAUGGCAUCACUCCUCAAUCUGCUACGAUGCAUGUUACUCAAACCAUGACAUCACUCCUCAAUCCGCUACGAUGCAUGGUACCUGAACCAUGGAAUCACUCCUCAAUCAGCUACGAUGCAUGGUACUCGAACCAUGACAUCACUCCUCAAUCUGCCACUUAGAUCCCCCGGUCUACUCCCUGUUUCGUGUAUGGGUCCUCUGCUUUCAGUAGUACGGGCCCAUACUACCUGCCACAUCUACCCAUGCUUUCCACACUGACCAUCCCAGAGUUUCUAAGUAGCUGUUCAACUUUCUCAAUCACCAAUCCCGUCACGUGUGCUCGCUCCCCAGCAAAAUGCUCUACUUUGCCAGCGUACUCAUCCAACUAAGGUCAUUCCUUAGGUUCUUCCCAGGUUCUCACAUUUUCUCUGCCAUCAGCUGCUGAAGAACUCCUAAGGAUGCCAGCCAUCUACCUCCUGAAUAUUGUCAUAUUCACUCAGUAGCUGUCUCCCAUCAUCGAGAGCUCCACAAAGCACAAAGAAAGCAGCAUUCGGGCAUCGAAGUACCUCCUCCAGCACGUAAAAACCUCCUUAGGUUAUUACCGACUCUCUCUCCUCAUACUCGAAGAAUAUCACCAAACUCAAACGACUUCACCCAACGUGGGUAUCUGGCUACCCUCUCGGUAGGCUCCUCCCAUGCUCGUCUAGGUAUCUCUCCUAGAUUACUCCUCUACUCAAAAUCCUCUAAACAUGGGAUUCCUGCUGCAUACUCUUACAUACUCGAAAGCACAUCACUGAUAACCGAAACACCUAGGCUAAGACAUCACAAAUCAGGCCACUCUAGUCCAAAAAUAUGGAAUACCUAGCUUAUCUCUAGCAUGCAUAAUAUCUCAUAACAUAUAUAAUAAUUAUCUCAUAACACAAAGUAAGGGUAUUUUGGGAAAUCACUGUUCGGGCUCUGGCUGAUUGUACACACUGCUCCUUCUCGUUUUCUCUUUGAACUCUUAUUUACUUUCGAAAAAUCAUUUAUUUGAAAAUUUUCUCAAUUCCUCAGUUUGAGUCCAGAUUUACCGGAAGGUGCAUCCGAAUCCCUCAAAUCAAGGCUCUGAUACCAACUUGUAACGACGUAAAUUUUACAAAAACUAAAAUUUUCAUUUAAAAUCACUUAAUUCUUAAAACACUCUUCAUAAAAUCUCAUUUUUGUUUAAUUUACAAUACACAUCUCCAUAUUCAGAUAAUUAAUAAUCCAGGAUCUUCAAAAACAUAACUCUUCCUCUGGUGUGUACAAUCGAGCCGGUGUCAUCCCGUGAUCUUGAGAAAACCUGAAACACAUAACACAUAACACGGUAAGCACGAAGCUUAGUGAGUUCCCCAAAAUACCACAUAUAACACAUAUUAGCCACUCGAGGCUAUAACUCUAUGGGCCCUUGGGCCCUAAGUCUGUGGACUCUCUGGUCCUAACUCUGUGGACCUUCCGGUCCUAACUCUGUAACUAUGGGAUACACACGACAUAAAUCACAUAGAAAUAAUGCAGUGCAAAACAUCACAUAUAUAACAUACAAGAUACUUUGUCACAUAACUCUAGUUACCACUCAAGGUAAAUUAUAGUGAGAAGACUCACCUGGCAAGCAGAAAGCAGUUAUCCUCACUCUUGAAUCUCGAACUCGCCGCCGCCUAACACAUAAGGCAAUAUAUCUAAUUAACACUCGUGAUCUCAACUCUAAUUAAACCAACGAUUACUCUUUCCCUCUCUAAUCAGGAAGUGGGUAAAAGACCAUUUUACCCCUCUGAGGACCCUAUUACUUAUAUUGACCAAAACCCCAAAGUCAAUAGGAGUCAACUCAAGUCGACAGUCAACACUUGACCCUACUCGUCGAGUGCAUCCUUGCGACUCGUCGAGUCUGCUUGUAUUGUCAGAACUCUAUUCGGGUCUCACUCAACUCGCCAAGUUGACCCCUAACUCGGUGAGCCAACACUGGGUUAAGGCUACUCGGUCAAACCCGCUAUAACUCGUCGAGUCACCUCAUGGACUCGGCGAGUUGGCUCCUACAGAUUGCUCAUUCUGCCAUCUGAGGUCAGAUCUGCAACCCAAACUCAUAAAUCUAACCUCCCACUACCCAAUAGUCACGUAAAGGUCUGAACUUGAGGCUCAUGCAUGGUGUAUUUUGCUCAAUACACCAUUUGGACUCCAUUGAUGCUCCAUAGCUUCAAAGCUCCCAAACUCUUUCAUGGCUGCCUACUUUCUGAUUCCAUGGACCUCACAAGGUCCAGAUCUACACAUGACUUGAAAAAGGGUUUAGAUGCACCCACAACCCUAUCUAAAUUGUGAUCCAAGAACUAACUUAAUCAUGAUGGGUUUUUGUCAUAAGACAUCCUACGUGCUCAUACAAACCCUAAUGCUUGGAUCUAGGUUUCUCUAUUGUACAUGCAAGUUAUCCAAGACUAUAAACCCUAAUUCUAGCAUUCAAGUAAUCAUAUUAACAUGAGAAUAGGUUUAAGAUGUUACCUUGAUUGUUAUGUAGCAAUAACAAUCCCAAAUCUCCUUGUAUUGACUUUAGAAAGCUUAGAGUCACAAUUGUCACUCCUCUAAUGGUUCACAAACACCAUAAGCAAGAGGAUGAAGAGGAGAGAGGAUGAAGGCUGCCCAAAACGUGUUCUAACCCUAGAAGAAUGCUUCACCACGUUUUUGGGUCAUAAGGGUCUUAUAUAUAGUUAGGCAAUUAGGGUUAUCUAACAAGGAAACCCUAAUUUGGAUGCUUAAGCCCUAAGCAACCCAUGGACUCCUUUAAUUAGGGCCUUGGACGAUUUCCUUAUGGGUUUCCCCAUAGAAUUCGUCCACUCCUUAAUUUAAGACAAUCCAUGGCCCAAAUUGCAAUUAUCUUAUAAUUACAAUUCCAGUCCCUUAAGUUUAAUUAAUCUCUUUUAGUCACAAAACUAAUUACCAAUUAAUUCUUGACUAAUAUUAAUUAAACAAUAUGAUUUCUCCUUUAAUAUAUUAUUCUCAUAAUAUAUUAAUAAAUCAUAUUUAAUCCUUUCUCUCCAUAAUUCAUCCUAUCAAGUUGCUUUGGUGAAGGCAACCCAAAAGGACCAUGCACCAUCGGGUCAAGUACAUACCAAAAUAGUUAUGGACUUAGACACUAAUCCAACAGUCUCCCACUUGGAUAAGUCUAAUAACUAUUAUGCGUAUGACUUCAGAUCCUGAUCUGCAAUCGUAGCUUUCCAAAGCCGCUGUCAACUCUGAUCCUAUCAGAUACGCGUGUCCUUAGAUAAGGGAUCAUAUAUUCCUCCAUUCUAGAUAUCAUAUGAGAUAUGAUUUCAAAUCAUUCUCUUUGUACUAUAUCUCGAUUCCCGAUUUAUGACGACUGACUAAUUGAACAAAUCAAAUUAGCCCUAGCCCGGCCGAGCAUUUACGUUUGUCAUCACUAAAUCAUCGAGGGGCCCAAAGAUAUCGCUUUUAUCCUACUUUGGAUAAAAGGAACGGAUAAACUUUGAUACAAUGCUUGCUUGCACUCACUCACCGAAUCACACACAACAAUAUGUUUUAUAACACCAAGUUACUAGUGCGUUUACAUAUUAUCAAUGUGCAACCGAUUUGCAAGAUACAACUCACACAUCUCGGUUUCAAGAAUAUAAGAUGUUAUCGUCUCACCAAUCACUCGUGAUACAAUUCAUGGAGUGAUCCAAGUGAGCGUGGGUUUAAUCCAAUGCUCAAAUCAUAUUCAUAAGCACUCAUGAACGUUGCAGCAAACAUUUGCUUAUGUCUAAUACUCUUUAGACAAUCCACACACCAAUUCACGACAGUCUUCAUUCAUAUCUACUUCCAACAUAUGAACGACUGUGGCCCGUUCGAAUAAUUCGAUUAUUCUUAAUAAACUCAAUUAUUCUGGAAGUCAAAACAUGCAAAUGUGAAACACAAGAAUAAUACUAAUCCCAUAUGGCCUCAAACCUUUGAGUAUAAAUAAAACACCUUUUAUUUAUCACCAUAUCGAUUACUCAUUAUUUGUCGUUUCGGGUAAUCAACUUCUUACUUGAAUUAUUACACUUGUCCCAUGCUCCUAGCAUGCACACAAUGUUUACCUAUGGUUCUUACUUUGUGAAAUAGAUCAAAUUGAACACAUUUCCAAUCAUUCUCAUUUCACAACUCCAAAUCCUUUUCCAAAGUGAAAGAAUAUCAAAUUCUUGCUACUUAUAGAAUAUGCUAGAUUCUAACAUUUUAUGCAACGAUCCUUUCGUAAUGUCACUGCACCAAAGUCACAAAGACUAUUGCCAAUGAUAUUACAAAGUCCUCUAUCGGAGAUUGUUACAAGACAAUUCCAUAGAUGUGAUGUCUCUCACUCAAAGUACAUUCUUUGAACAUCCUUUUGCAUAGAAGUUUCUAAUCUAGUCAUAGAUUUCUCAAUAUUCAAUUCCCAAUAUGGACACACUUCCAUAUGUUCCAUAUGACAACUCAUUCUUAAUAGAAUCUUAUCUAUUCGUAAUGAUGUCGAUAUGGUCCAUCCAAUAUGGAAACAUUUCCAUAUUUUCCAAUACUAUACUUCCAACUACUCACAAGCGACCAAUCCUCGUCGAACUUGGGUUGUCCUUUGAUAGUUGUUUAAUUAUUUUAGUCAAAACCAAUUCUAGUCCCUUUUCCCUCUAAAUGCGCUCGACAUUUGGAAAAUUUUAGAAUGGUCAAACAUUAAAGCAUUUGCAAUCGAUCCUAUACCCGAAGCGUAUGGGACACGACGCAUAAUGUUUUAUUUGCUAUGUUCUCAAAAUUCGAAUUGUGAAGAGGGAUGCCGUAAUCAUAAUCGAAAUUUUAAGAACACACUAUGUACCUUUGACUAAAUUUAUUAACAUUUCUCAACCUAAUCCUUUAGAUUUGAAAUGAAGCAUAAUAUUCUCUCCCUUAAUUAUAGCAAAACAACUUUUCAACUCUUACAACUUUGCAAAGUAUGACUCUUGUUUUCUAUAAUUAAUAUUGCUAACCUUGCAAUACUUUCCUUAAUAAUCAUACAAUCAUAACUUUUAUGCUCCCACUAUCAUGAUGAUUAUUAUAAAACAUAACACUUAUGCUCCCACUAGCUUCGACAUGUAUUCAUAAACAUCUUAACUUUCAGAAAACAAUACUUAUUGAAUUUCUUAAGUUCAUGUUUCUAAUACUUAGUGCUUUGAUAAUCUUUUAUCAAGGCUUCUUGAACUUAUACACCUUUGCCUUCGAUAGUUCAUAUGUGUGUCUAAACAAUUAAGACUAAUUGCCAAACCUCACAAUUCAAAUUAUGGAAAGGGAUGCCGUAACCAUAAUUGAAUUCGAGAAUGCAAUUUUACAAUCACUAUCUUCUUAAAAUCUUUCUUAGUGAAAGCAUUUCCUCACAAUCAUUUUCAUGAAGGAGGAAAUCUUAUGACACUUAGAUUUAAACGGUGUAUGUGUUCCUAUCCAUGUGAAUUUGUUAAAACCAAAGUUUACGACAAAUUCAAACUCAUAUGGACCGAACUUUCUUAAUCUUGAUUUCUUGCCUUAUGGUAGCACAGCUGCCCACCAUGUCUUCCAAGUAGUUAAGCAGCUCACCCUUUCCUAUCAAUGUACCUUUCAUUGAUUAAGGUGCUUUGCCUUUUAUGCGUUCAAAAUGAGAACUCAUAGAACUCACAUGCAUAAUUAACUCGAUUGGAUUGGCACAGAAUCAAAAUAAUGUCAACACGAUAGGUUGUAAACCUCAACUCGUGUGCUAGUGAUGAUCGAUAAGGUUUAUUUGAUUUGUUCUUGAAACCUUUCAAGACCAUUAAGACUCCCACUGACUCCUUGACAUAUAAGAUUCUCUUGUCAAUAACCAUUUCUUGACAAACAAAUAUUCAAGAGUUAGUGUAGCUUUUAUCAAAACACUUCAUAAAUUGGUCCUAGUUGGUCUUUGUCUUAUCCAAGACAUCACAACUUUCCACAUUUGAUGAAUGUUAUAAACCUUCUUAAUACUUUUCACUCAAUGUCACAAUCUUAACUUUAAGACUUGUUUUGGAACGAAGUAUGAUUGACUUCUUGAUUUAACCAUUUCUUCAAUUCUUGAUUCCUCUUCUUAGACAUACAAUUGUACUAAGACUCACUUAGAGGAUCAAUUGAGAUAUGGUUCUUAAUCAUUAAGACCUAUCAUAAAGCAUAAAAGGUACUCUCCCUUCUUCUUAGAAUGGAGAAACUUUUAUCUUUCUGCCUACUUGAUUCUUCUUAUUCGUUCUGCUAUUGAUUUAAACCUUUUCAAUCAAUUCAGAAUUACACUUAAUCUUAUAAGUAUAAUCAUAUUUACUAAACCUUUAGUAAAUCAUGACGAAUAUCUUUGUUACUCUUAUGGUGGACUUGAUCAACACGCAACUUUGUGUACUCGAUCUCCUAGUCCUUCACUUGACACUUUGUCAAUGAAUUAGUCUAAUUUCCAAAUAUGAAAUUUCUCAUUCAUCGUGCAACCAAGUUGCAUGAUUCCAAGUUUCUGUCCAAUUGAAACUUGGGCGAUGAGAAACUCUCCCUAUUUGGUAAAUUCUCGACUUUCCAUAAAUAACAUAAUAAGAACCAAAUCCAUUAUUGCUAAUAAUAGAAACAUUUUAACAUCAAUUUUUCAUACACGCCAUUGUAAGGAUAAAUAAAUAAAAUUUAAAAUCAAAAUUUAUUUUAUUGCGGAAAAAUUUGUCCUUACAAUGCAAUUCAUUGAAAAACUUAUGCUAAUACAUCUUUCUUAGCAAUCUAAUUCUAACUCUAAGUAGUAGCUCAAGAAUCUAAUCUUCGAGAAAUGCGAUCGAAAUCCAUUCCUUCACGGUUAGAUUCUGCUCACUUCUUCCCUUAAGCUUCCUUUCUUUUCUUCGAUCCUACAAAACAUCAAUUGUAAUCUUAUCACAUUAUGUAUUAAGAAUCUAGAAUAGAAGCUUAAAAGAGUUAGUUAAUGGAUUUUACCUAUAUUAGAGCCAUACGUUUCGACUCUCCCAUCUCUUAGAUCUCUUAGGUAAAUGGGGCAGCUUCGUCUCCAAUGCCCUUUCUCUUGGCAAUAAAAGCAAAUUGACUCUUUUGGAACAUGACAUGGAACUACUUCAGACAUUGCCUUUCUCUUAUGAUCAAACUUUUCGAUCAUAGCAUGUCUUUCGUUGCCAUUGUCUAUAUCCAUAGAGGUCUUGAAGGCAGAUUCACCAAUCAACUUUGCUUUUCUAUUGCGCCAAACCAUUGCUGAUUCAGCAGCAAUAAGCAUAUAGGUGAGAUCUAUAAGGGUCACGUCGUGGUUCAUCAUAUAGUACUCUCUUACGAACUCACUAUAUGAGUUAGGAAGUGACUGAAGAACCCAAUCAACAGCCAUUUCCUCACAGACAACGGAUCCCAACAUUCUUAACCUAUCAAUGUGUGACUUCAUCCCUAGGACGUGUGCACACACCGACUUUCCUUCUUUAUGUUUACUUGCCAAAAGGGCUUGAGUGAUCUUUAACUUUUCAAGCCUUCGAACUUGUGGGUUAGGGAGAAUAAUUGGAGGAGGAGGAGGAAGUGAAGUGUGAUCUCUUGUUUCUCGAUCGAAUCGUAGAAUAUCAUCUUCAUGUGGAAAGCUUGUUCCACGGGAUUUGGGAAGACCAUAGUUGUCGAACUUUGACAUCUAUAACACGGGAGAAAACAAAUUCAAGUUAAUUGAUUGAUUGAGUCCUUAGUAAAUCACCCAAAUGAGAUACUAAGGCUAGGACCCAACACAAUAUUCUACAACUCGGGAGAGGGAUGCCGUAACCCAAAUUGCAGAACAUUUGAAGGUAAGUGAAUGACGAUUCACUAAUUUCCACCAUGAAAAACGAAAAAGAAAUUUAAGUUUUAAAUCUAUGAAAACUCCUAGAUCCUUUGAGAUUCAUUGAACAUUUCAAUGGCAUGUUUAAAUCUCGAUAUGCCCCUCUUGUUUGUGACUGGGAUGCCGAGGAUCACAAAGCGGGUGUGAAUAACCAUGCAAACUUACAUGGUGCCCUCACAUGUUACAGUCACCUAUUCGAUGUGCCGGUAAACCACACACGCUCCACCGAACUAUGACAAACAUUGAGUCACCCUUUGCUACCUUUGCUUAGAACCAUUUAGUGUGCCGGUAAACCACACACGCUCCACUAACGUCUUCGCAAGGGCACAAAGUGUAAUUUCAUGGAAUUGCAUCAAUUCACUUUUGCCUAAGUAACUAAGAUUGGGAAUUUUAUGAAAACAUUUAGUUACUUUUAUAAUUCAUUAUACUUAUAAUGGAAGGUUUCGUCCUAUCCUACCCGUUCGGCUAACGACCCUCCACUAGUCAAGAGUGCGGUGGGUAAGAGUGGAUACCCAUUCAAUCGCCAUUUUAUAGGCAAUUUCCUUAAACACCCCUUAUAGACCAGCUUCGUGAAUGAGGCCUACUAACGGUAAGACUGACUUUUACUCAUACAUAUAUAUAAUGUUAGACUUUUAAUGUUAUAUAUAGUAUAGGGUGUAUUUUACAUUUUUAAAAUAUUAGGUGGUCAAAUUUAACAAUUAUACUUUUAAUUCAAUUAAAUUUUAAACCAAAAAGUUUAUGGAUUUAUUAAACCUCUUUUAAUUAUACACCUUAAUUAAUUAAUAAAACCAUAAGGGUGUGAUUUGAACUUUUUCAAAACAAUACUAGGGUUUUAGAAUUUAACAUUCCUAAUUAAACUUUUAAUCAACUUUUAAAUUCCAAAACUUGAGGGCAAGUUUUGAAACAUUUCAAAACAUUAGGGUUUAGAAUUUAAAUAUACAUCAAAAUUAAACAAUUAAUCAAAAUUUAAAUUCCAAAACUUGAGGGCAAGUUUUGAAACCUUUUUCAAAACAUUAGGGUUUUAACUAUUUAAAUUUCAAAACAACAAAACUUUUGGGUUCAAAUUUAAACUAUAAAACCUAAAGGGGAAAAUAUGAAACUUUUCAAAGUACAAGUAUCAAAUAACAAAUAAUCUAAAUUAACAUUUAAUCACAUAAUUAUCCAUAUUUGAUUUAUUUAAUGAUUUCUUGCAAAACAAUUUACCAAUUUAAUCAAAAUAAUUAAUCAAUUAUCACAUAAGGAAACAAAUAUUUUAUUAAUUGAUAAAUAUCUUCAAUUAGAUCAAGAAUAUAGUCAAAUAUAUCAUAAAAUCGGAUUAAUAUUGAUCUAAUAUGAUAAGGCAACUAUCCUUAAGCAAAAACAGCAUGAAAUCCCGGUUUUCCCUCCAUCUGACCAGCCGACUCGCCGUGUCAGGCAUGGACUCGUCGAGUCACCUUGGACUCAGCGAGUCCAGCCUCCAGAAACACAAAAUUCGAAAUUUUCAAUCAUACAAUGCAUCAAUUCAAUAGAAUCCAGUCUAGGCUCUGAUACCACUGAUGGGUUUUUGUCAUAAGACAUCCUAUGUGCUCAUACAAACCCUAAUGCUUGGAUCUAGGUUUCUCUAUUGUACAUGCAAGUUAUCCAAGACUAUAAACCCUAAUUCUAGCAUUCAAGUAAUCAUAUUAACAUGAGAAUAGGUUUAAGAUGUUACCUUGAUUGUUAUGUAGCAAUAACAAUCCCAAAUCUCCUUGUAUUGACUUUAGAAGGCUUAGAGUCACAAAUGUCACUCCUCUAAUGGUUCACAAACACCAUAAGCAAGAGGAUGAAGAGGAGAGAGGAUGAAGACUGCCCAAAACGUGUUCUAACCCUAGAAGAAUGCUUCACCACGUUUUUGGGUCAUAAGGGUCUUAUAUAUAGUUAGGCAAUUAGGGUUAUCUAACAAGGAAACCCUAAUUUGGAUGCUUAAGCCCUAAGCAACCCAUGGACUCCUUUAAUUAGGGCCUUGGACGAUUUCCUUAUGGGUUUCCCCAUAGAAUUCGUCCACUCCUUAAUUUAAGACAAUCCAUGGCCCAAAUUGCAAUUAUCUUAUAAUUACAAUUCCAGUCCCUUAAGUUUAAUUAAUCUCUUUUAGUCACAAAACUAAUUACCAAUUAAUUCUUGACUAAUAUUAAUUAAACAAUAUGAUUUCUCCUUUAAUAUAUUAUUCUCAUAAUAUAUUAAUAAAUCAUAUUUAAUCCUUUCUCUCCAUAAUUCAUCCUAUCAAGUUGCUUUGGUGAAGACAACUCAAAAGGACCAUGCACCAUCGGGUUAAGUACAUACCAAAAUAGUUAUGGACUUAGACACUAAUCCAACAAAUCAACCAAGGAAAUCCAUACAAAACAAAGAAGGGAAGAGAUCAUACCAGAUCAGGAGCUUGCAAUGAAGAUGAAAUUGAUCUUCUAACUCUCCUCUGAGAUCCUUGCAACACCCUCGCUCCUCCUUUCCAAGAAUCAACCUCCAAUAAGCCAUUUUCUUCUCUAGAUCACCAAUCACUCUAGGGUUUCUCUCAAGGAACGAAGACUCUGGUGGGGAGGGGCCAAGGAGGCUAUAAGUGCCUGUAAAUAGGUCCCAAACCCCGGAAUUUAGGGUUUCUCUGCCCAACACCUACUUGGCGAGUCCUUCCUCAGACUCAUUGAGUCCACCAUUAAACCCGCGAGAAAAACCUGACUUGACUCGGCAAGUUGGAUCCUCAACUCGUCGAGUCUCUCCUCUAAUCACAAAAUUAACUUGCACAAUAAUAAUCCUGAAAAUCCGGAAUGUUACAAUUCUCCCCCACUUGAAUUAGAUUUCGCCCUCAAAAUCAUUUCUCAACUACACAUAGAUUGAAAUCAUCACCCGAAAGGCACCACCGAAAGGAUCUCAUACAACACCGAUAUCUUUCUCUAUGGACACCUAAAACCACACCGAAACUUCCAAGACCAGAAUUUAACUAACUCUUGCAUCGCUAAAAUACUCCAUCCCUAUAUCCGGAAACUCCAGUAGCCUGACUCGCCGCCAGACCGCCCACUCGAGCGAUCACCAUGAUAUUCGCUCCUCGAAUAUCAAAACCUAAUUAUUCACUGGCUCUCUGAUUCCCAUAAGUCCAAAUCCAACAACCGGCUAUUGCCCGCCCAAACCGAUCAUGCUAAGUCAUCCGAAUCACGCUCCAAGAACGAAAGGGCACACCCACUAAACUGCUAUCAGCACUGAUCCGAAAAGAACCCAUAACACUUUACCCUCAGAACACAAAAGAAUAACCAUGCUCGUUCAGAAGUGUCCUCAUACAUCACACUCAUAAGCCUCAGCUUCAAUUCCCAUAUCCCUGUUGACACCACACGAGGUCUAACCUCAACCCAACCGUUGAACCUCUAUGGUUACCCAUAACAUGAUCCAAAAUGUCUCACUGAAGUCCUUCUCAUAUCAACUCUCUCGGCCCAGUGACACACAAGUCACAAAGUUCUCUUUAAUCCAAACGGAUACUAUACUCUCAACUAGAAUCGUCUCAUGUAUCCCGUGAUAUUUCCCGUGCCCACUAACUGACCCUGCUCAGGUCUACGAUAUUGGGUGACAAUGAUAACUCCCCUCUUAGCACGGAAUCCAUCUCUAAAUCCGGAACUCGUACCGCCUACCUGACGCAUCGCCAGAGCCAAACUCAACUUGAGAUUUUGGUCUACCCCAAAGUUCGAAUUACUCAUCCCAAUGAAACACUUAUCUCAUAACUCAUGACUCGCAACCUGCAUGCAAAACACCUCUCUAAUUCCCUUUGGUUGGGACAACCACCACUCAAAUCAGAAUAUAGCGAUCCCCAACAAUUGGAAACCUCAGCCUCACCCCUGUCUCGACCGCCAGGCUCCCACAACUCAACCAUUGGGGCUACCCAAGACUAAACUCUUCUACUUCGCUCUAAUCAAAGAGUACUUCCUCAUAACCUCCUCUCGUUGACUAGUGAGUGCUACGGCUCCUCGCAGCAUCACACAACAACCUCUCUCUGACUAGUGAGUACUACGGCUCCCCGCAGCAUCAUAACACCCACUGACUAGUGAGUACUACGACUCCUCGCAGCAUCACAACACCCUCUGACUAGUGAGUACUACGGAUCCCCGCAACAUCACGACACCAUGUUCACUAACUCAUGCUCCGUGGACUCACAUAGGUAGAUGCCUACACUCAUUCAAAUCAUGCAUCCUCAUUGCUGAUAACAACCUCCAUAACCAAAACACCUUUUCCCGCUGCAACCUUCAUUCCUAAAUAAUCCCCCUUGAUUUCAAUACCCAAGGAGAUCCCACUAGAAUCAUAGAUACUUGAUACACUACUUACGGACACAACCAAGGAAAAUUAAUUAAUUCGGCAAUCAGGGCAUUAUUCUCGGAUUCCUCGGAACACUAUCACAGAACAUCACAAUGUCCUGCCUCAACCACUUAUCUCCUACCCCCAGCAUCAUACAGAUACAACAAUACACUCCCACCAAAUCUCGUAAUUAAUCCUUCAUUUCCUUAAUGCGCAACUUCGGUGUAUCCAAACACUCAAUUGGAAUACGGAGAAAUCUCUAACGCUUCAGAACACGUUGACGACCAUCCGAAAUUCUACCUUUACUGCUCAACCCACGCUAGAAUACACAUACCGACCUGGGAGUUGGCUGCCCGAUCAUCUCCUAUCUACCCCAAAGGGCCAGAUAACAAUCCAUUCAUCGAACCAUAAUUCCUUAAUUGCCAACACCCUCCUUACGAGGCUACCACCUUGAACAUCUCUAACCACCACCAGGUUCCUGACCAAUGGCCACCUGCCGUGGAGGCGCUUGCCCUUUCUCAAAACGUACCUCAUGCAUUAUCUCACUCUGCACCUCGCCUCGCCCACCAACAACCCUGGUCUCAUGAAUCCGAACCGCAAGUCUCUAUAUCCAGAUCUCCAACUGCUCUUGAACAAGUCUCUGGUCCCCUCAAUAAAAUACUCAGUUCUCCCCCACUUAGGAUUCGAACCAUCACCAAUUGACGCACUAACAAUCUAUCCCACAGACUGUUUCCACCAGUAACUUCGCACCUACUCUUGGAAGGUGCUACACAAUGCCCGAUGAUCUCCCCACAUAGAGAUCAAGCAACCCCAAUUACACUGAAUCUCCGAUGAAAUCCUCAGGAACUUCUCAUCACGACUGCCUCUAGUCCUUCCAAAAUCUCAUACUAUCCCACUACCAGACAUUUCCACUGUCCAGUAAUAACCCUGACUAUUGGACUGAAAAUACUGAAUCAUCAUACUCUUCAUUCUCGACUUCUCAACCAAUGUUCCAACAUGUGAAUCAUUACAAGAACAGGGACUCCAUUCCCAUACCGAAUACCCAUCCUAGACAAAAGAGCCACCGCCCCGAGAUACUCUUCUAGAUUACCCGUUGCUAUAGCUAACAUAUGCCCUACUAUACUCAAAUAGGGUGCAUCUUGGUCCUUGACCAUCUCAAUCCCAACUGACAACCUGCUCAUGGUAUAUCAUCACUUCGCGGCAGACAUGUUGCCAGAUGCUCUGGUGGAAGAUCGCCAUCGUAGUCAACCCACAUGGUUUACUCCUAACCCCAAUACCGAAGUCUCACACAUCUUAUGUUUCCUACAAGAAACGGUAGUAGCACCACUAAGGUCACAGAUGGUGACAUCUCUUCUAUCGGCUGAUUGGUCAUCUCAGGUCGUAAUUCUCCAUGAAAGCCAUCUCUACUCAUCCUUUAGUCUUGCGACUCUAUCUGACAUCUCACCAAAUAUACCUUGGAAUUUAUCUUGACCUCCCUCUCAAGGGAUGCUUCUUUGAACUCAUUCAUCAUGACCUUUUGGCCUCAUACUCUAUCGUAUCUGAUCUCUACCAAAUCAAUCAUGACUGGAUAACCGAAGAAACUCCAACAUCCUUUGCUACGAGUCAUGGUACUCAUUCCAGGACAUCACCUCUAAACCUGCUACAAUGCAUGGUACCCGAACCAUGACAUCACUCCUCAAUCUACUACACUGCUACUCGAACCACGGCAUCACUCCUCAACCUACUACAAUGCAUGGUACUCGAACCUUGACAUCACUCCUCAAUCUGCUACGAUGCAUGGUACCCGAACCAUGGCAUCACUCCUCAAUCUGCUAUGAUGCAUGGUACCCGAACCAUGACAUCACUUCUCAAUCUGCUACGACGCAUGGUACCCGAACCAUGGCAUCACUCCUCAAUCAGCUACAAUCAUCACUUCUCAAUCUGAUACGAUGCAUGGUACCCGGACCAUGGCAUCACUCCUCAAUCUGCUACGAUGCAUGGUACUCGAACCAUGACAUCACUCCUCAAUCCGCUACGAUGCAUGGUACCCGAACCAUGGCAUCACUCCUCAAUCUGCUACGAUGCAUGGUACUCAAACCAUGACAUCACUCCUUAAUCUGCUACGAUGCAUGGUACUCGAACCAUAACAUCACUCCUUAAUUUGCCACUUAGAUCCCCCGGUCUACUCCCUGUUUCGACUAUGGGUCCUCUGCUUUCCGUAGUACGGGCCCAUACUACCUGCCACAUCUACCCAUACUUUCCACACUGACCAUCCCAGAGUUUCUAAGUAGCUACUCAACUUUCUCAAUCACCAAUCCCGUCACGCGUGCUCGCUCCCCAGCAAAAUGCUCUACUCUGCCAGCGUACUCAUCCAACUAAGAUCAUUCCCUAGGUUCUUCCCAGGUUCUCACACUUCUCCGCCAUCAGCUGCUGAAGAACUCCUAAUGAUGCUAACCAUCUACCUCCUGAAUAUCGUCAUAUUCACUCAGUAGCUGUCUCCCAUCAUCGAGAGCUCCACAAAGCACGAAGCAAGCAACAUUCGGGCAUCGAAGUACCUCCUCCAGCACGUAAAAACCUCCUUAGGUUAUUAUCGACUCGCUCUCCUAAUACUCGAAGGAUAUCACCGAACUCAAACAACUUCACCCCACGUGAUUAUCUGGCUACCCUCUCGGUAGGCUCCUCCCAUGCUCUUCUAGGUAUCUCUCCUAGAUUACUCCUCUACUCAAAAUCCUCUAAACAUGGGAUUCCUACUGGAUACUCUUACAUACUCGAAAGCACAUCACUGAUAACCGCAACUCCUAGGCUAAGACAUCACAAAUCAGGCCACUCUAGUCCAAAAAUAUGGAAUACCUAGCUUAUCUCUAGCAUGCAUAAUAUCUCAUAACAUAUAUCAUAAGCAUCUCAUAACACAAAGUAAGGGUAUUUUGGGAAAUCACUGUUCGGGCUCUGGCUGAUUGUACACACUGAUCCUUCUCGUUUUCUCUUUGAACUCUUAUUCACUUUAGAAAAAUCAUUUCUUUGAAAAUUUUCUCAAUUCCUCUGUUUGAGUCCAGAUUUACCGGAAGGUGCAUCCGAAUCCCUCAAAUCAAGGCUCUAAUACCAACUUGUAACGACGUAAAUUUUACAAAAACUAAAAUUUUCAUUUAAAAUCACUUAAUUCUUAAAACACUCUUCAUAAAAUCUCAUUUUUGUUUAAUUUACAAUACACAUCUCCAUAUUCAGAUAAUUAAUAAUCCAGGAUCUUCAAAAACAUAACUCUUCCUCUGGUGUGUACAAUCGAGCUGGUGCCGUCCCAUGAUCUUGAGAAAACCUGAAACACAUAACACAUAACACGGUAAGCACGAAGCUUAGUGAGUUCCCCAAAAUACCACAUAUAACACAUAUUAGCCACUCGAGGCUAUAACUCUAUGGGCCCUUGGGCCCUAACUCUGUGGACCCUCUGGUCCUAACUCUGUGGACCUUCCGGUCCUAACUCUGUAACUCUGGGUUACACACGACAUAAAUCACAUAGAAAUAAUGCAGUGCAAAACAUCACAUAUAUAACAUACAAGAUACUCUGUCACAUAACUCUAGUUACCACUCAAGGUAAAGUAUAGUGAGAAGACUCGCCUGGCAAGCAGAAAGCAGUUAUCCUCACUCUUGAAUCUCGAACUCGCCGCCUAACACAUAAGGCAAUAUCUCUAAUUAACACUCGUGAUCUCAACUCUAAUUAAACCGACGAUUACUCUUUCCCUCUCUAAUCAAAAAGUGGGUAAAAGACCAUUUUACCCCUCCGAGGUCCGCAUUACUUAUAUUGACCAAAACCCCAAAGUUAACAGGUGUCAACUCAAGUUAACAAUCCACACUUGACCCUACUCGUCGAGUGCAUCCUUGCGACUCGUCGAGUCCCAUCGUAUUAUCAGAACUCUACUCGAGUCUCAAUCAGCUCGCCAAGUUGACCUCUAACUCGGUGAGCCAACACUGGGUUAAGGCUACUCGUUCAAACCUGCUAUAACUCGUCAAGUCACCUCAUGGACUCGGCGAGUUGGCUCCUACAUAUUGCUCAUUCUGUCAUCUGAGGUCAGAUCUGCAACCCAAACUCAUAGAUCUAACCUCCCACUACCUAAUAGUCCUGUAAAGGUCUGAACUUGAGGCUCAUGCAUGGUGUAUUUUGCUCAAUACACCAUUUGGACUCCAUUGAAGCUCCAUAUCUUCAAAGCUCCCAAACAACUCUUUCAUGGCUGCCUACUUUUUGAUUCCAUGGACCUCACAAGGUCCAGAUCUACACAUGACUUAAAAAAGGGUUUGGAUGCACCCACAACCCUAUCUAAAUGGUGAUCCAAGCCCUAACUUAAUCAACCAAGGAAAUCCAUACAAAACAAAGAAGGGAAGAGCUCACACCGGAUCUGGAGCUUGCAAUGAAGAUGAAAUUGAUCUUCUAACUCUCCUCUGAGAUCCUUGCAACACCCUUGCUCCUCCUUUCCAACAAUCAACCUCUAAUAAGCCAUUUUCUUCUCUAGAUCACCAAUCACUCUAGGGUUUCUCUCAAGGAACGAAGACUCUGGUGGGGAGGGGCCAAGGAGGCUAUAAGUGCCUUUAAAUAGGUCCCAAACCCCAUAAUUUAGGGUUUCUCUGUCCAACACCUACUUGGCGAGUCCCUCCUUGGACUCGUUCAUUCCACCCAUUAAACCCGCAAGAAAAACCCGACUUGACUCGGCGAGUUGGACCCUCAACUCGUUGAGUCUCUCCUUUAGUCACAAAAUUAACGUGCACAAUAAUAAUCCUGAAAAUCCGGAAUGUUACAGAGCCUAAGUAAUAUGAAAGGUCAUUAGGGCUUACAAAGUGUAACCGUAGCAUUUGCUACACUAUAAGUAAACCCCUUCGAGCCAAAAUCGGUGACAUGAGUGGUUACAUUCAUUCUAAGAGACUGAAGUUGAUUUUGUGCUAAGUAACCUAUUCUCUCAGGCCUGCUCUUGCAUGUUGGUGAUUGUGAACCAUUAUAGGCAUCACACUUGAGGUGCUCAAUCUAUGAAAGGUCAAGAACUACAAGUCCUUCUAAGAGGUAAGUCAUCUAACUAGUUGUAUCAUUCAAUUAUUUAAAUGUAUGCUAGUUAGGACAAUGCUUUGGAAAAUUGAAAAUAUGCAUGUAUAAUUACAGAAAACAUAGAUCCAAAGCAUUUAGGGUUGCAUGUGCACCAUAGGAGUGUUAUAAUGCUCAAAACCCAACAGUAAGAACUUAUGGAAAUUUCAGUUCUUUCCAAGUUGUUGGAUAAAACACCAAAAUAUGAACAAAGAAUGGGUAAAAACUCAUAGAAACUUGUUGUCUUCCUAUCUUGUUGAACAACCCGCCAAAGCAUGAACGAAAAUUGAUCUGAGAAGAUCUUUGAAAGCUUGGAAAAUGUUCAACUGAGCAAGAAACGGAGCAGAUCUAGAGAUAUAAGGCUUGAAACGAAGCAGGUCUAGAGAUCUGAGCAUUCGGUAAACAGAUCUGGUCAGAUCAUAGCGAGAGCUAAACGGAUCUGAACAUAUGAUGGUUGAAAUGAACACAUCUAAGUAGUCAUGAGGCGAAGAACAACAGAUAUGAACGUUUGGUAAGUAGAUCUGGGCAGAUCUUGGCGAGGGUCGAACAGAUAACGGUUCAAAUGAACGGAUCUGAGAUGAAGAACAUCAAAUCGAAGAUGAAACUGAGGUUGAUACCAAGAGACGAUAACAAUUCGUUAUUGGUCCUACUGAUGGCGAAAAAUGUUGCGAUAUCUCACCUGGUCUUCGGGUCUUGGAGUCUUGGAUCUGGAUCGGAGAUCGGGGUGUGAUGUCGUUUGCGUAUUCCCGACUUGAUAUCUGGCUAGAAUUACAACAAAUCGUUAGAGCUUCCGCAAGGCCUGAUCCAUGGGAGCAGGCUAUGGCGAUCGAGUUAGAUUGGUGUUGAGGAUGCACGGGUUUCUCCUAGCCGGAGAGAAUGACUUUGGUGUGUGGGAUGUGAAUUUAGCCAUGUCAGCUGGUUAGAGGCUAAGAGACUAAGGGAAAGUCCUAGGGUUUAGAUCUCUAUGAAAAUUCCAAAGGAAGCUCCCUUCCAUAGGGGAGAACAUGUUCUAUUUAUGGGGGACACUUAGGUUUAAGGAGAGUUAGGUCAGGCUUUGGGCCGGCCCAACUCAUGCCAAACUAGUAAGGAGUUGGGUAAGGCCUUAUGGGAUCGUUAGGCGAGCGUCAGGAGCGGGCACUAGGCGAGUGCUUGACAAGGAUGACAGGCGAGCGCCAGAAGAGCGCCAGGUUAGGUUCGCUUGCCAAGUCUUGACGUCUGGACCAUGCUAAUGGAUCAUACGUGAACAGACAUCUUACAAAUAUCUUUGACAAAUUUAACAUAUAAUUAUAACAUUAACACUAUUUUUGUCCCAUCUUUCAAAUGUACAUUUCCUAUUCAUAGCAUUCUUUUCACUUAAUUCCUUUAUAACAAAUAUCAAUAUUUCAUUUUUACUCUCAAGUUCUUCGAUAUUAUAAUAUCUUCGACAAUUUACAAUCUAUUCCUUAAAAAUCUUUACUCAAACACCACACUACAUUUGGUUGCAAAGUUAUUAAGUUGAUUUUUUACCAAAACAAUAUCUUGUUUGUUUUUGUUUUAAGCACGUAGUUUCUAUUUAAUUGUUUAGUUGUUGUGGUAAUUUUGGUUGAAGACAUUUCUGUGUGGUCAACAUCGAUAGGAGAACCUUUUUCGACAUUGUGCGUUAUUAUAAUAAGAAUACAUUUUAUUUGCAAGUUAUUUUAGGAAUAUCAUAUAAAGAGGUUUGCGCAUUUUCGUUUUUUAGUAAUAGAUUUUACAACCUCAAAAUAGUAAAUAAGAUCAAUAGACAAACUAGGAUAUUAAUCAUGAGAUAACAUUUAUCCUAUGUAUUGUCGGAUGAGAGUUUCAAGAGACUUGAAGAUAAAGUUGUAUGCUCUCUCAGUUGGAUGAAAAGAAUCCCAAAAAACGUACUUUGAGACAUUAGUGCACACCGGAGAAUUUUGAUUACACAUGAAGUCAGCUUCAAUUAGUCCACUCCCACAACAACCUCUAUGGACUUCUUCAAAAUCUUUUAGGUUUACAACAAGAGAAAAGUGAGCUUAUGUUAAACAAGCAAACAUGAUCCUUAUACCAACAAAAUCGAAAACUAUGUUAUGUAUCAAAUAAUUGUAAUAUUAACAAUGGUUAAUAAAAAAGGUUUGAAUUGCAUGCUGGGUGGUGGCAACAUGCGCGAUAAAUAACAUACUAAACUCAUUUCUGUAUUUUUUUAGUGGAAAAAUUGCUUAUAUUUUUGUUUUCUCCUAGAAAAUUAUUAAAGCAAAAUGAUCAUUAUAUAUUCAUUUAUAGAGCUGAUCCGUAUACCAUAAUUUUUCUCCAUCACAACAAUUGGUGUUUUAAAAUGUUUUAUUGUACAACUAUGUAAUAAAUAAAUUGUUUUGUAUGGCAAAAACUGUUAUAUACGAAUCACUUCUCAUUCAGUUAUAUAUAUAUAUAAUAGUAAUCUCCAAUCAUAUACUUACCAAUUUGACGGUUUCUUGUAACCAUAUCCAUGACUGGCUUGUAUAUAUCAGCAUAAAUAAUCCUCGUAUUCCAUCUUUGAAGACCCUUUAAGUUAUUUUCCAAAAGUUUAUUAUAAUCUAUUGAAAUAGAAUUAAAACGUUCAAUGCAUUUACGGCUAUGAAUAGGGUCCUUGGAGUUAGCGGUAAUGAUAGCAGGCAAACAUCCAAUUGGAGGCGCACUCACCACCCCUAUUUUCUGUGCACCCUCAACCAUCAAGCCCUGUCAUCCAAAAUAACAAUAAUGAUCAGCUUUUUAGGUUAACUAUCUCUUAUUACAAUUAGUGUACCAUUAUAUAUUUUGUUAACUAGAAACUGAAACUGAGAAGAAGUUUCUUAUAUGUAUUCUCAACUCUUUGUUAUUAUAUAUAUAUAUAUAUAUAGNNNUAUAUAUAUAUAUAUAAAUAAUGUGAGGUUCAAUAGAGAACCAUAAUUAACCAAGGAACCAGUUUUUUUUUUUCAAUUUUUAGAACUUAUUUUUUAUUAAAAAAAAACUACAAAUUCAGAAAUUCAUAUUUUUUUUAUCCUUUUUUACAACGAUAUCAAAUUCGAUUAAAAAAAAUUUCGUCAAUAACACAAUGUGAAUCUUUAAAAAUUCACAAUUUGAAUUUAAAUUCACACAGUGAAUCCAAAAAAUAUAUUUAAUAUUAACAAUGUUAAGUUAUGAAUUUAGAUAUUUUUUUGUUCGAAAAAAAUAAACUCUAAAACUUGAAAAAAAAAAAAAUUGGUCCCUUGAAGAACCAAUAAUUAUAGUUCGUUAUUGAACUUUUUCCCUGGACGUUAAGCCCUAUCUUGCGGCAUAGUAAACUAAAUUUCUUUUGUUAUCAAAUAUUUUUAUCAAGAUUUUCUAACAAAAGAUUAUAGUUAUUUGUUUUAGUUAUUUUUGUGUUUUUAGAACCUCAGCUUGUACAUUUUGGUAUGAAAACUAGAGGUUUUUCUUUAUUAACCGAAAGAGGAAUCGCGCGAAAAGGGAAAGCAAAACUUAAAACAUUUUGAUAGAAAUAUUCUAUCAAAAUCAUAUACCAUCUUUAAGUGUGGUUUCACAUUUCGUAAAAAAAAAAAGAAAAAAAAAUUACUCUACUUUUUACCAAAUGGACGUGAUAAUUCAAAGUUCCCUGUAUGGGAAAAAAUAAACGAAAAAAGGCAUGUACUUUUCUUCCAAUGAUAUUCCUACUUAUAGAUUUUAAAUUAGACAUGUUUCCACGAAUAAGCAUAUGCUUAUGAGGCGAGUUUAAUGUUUCACUGCUCUUUAUUAAAAGUCUGCUGCCUCAGCAUCCGGACGUAAUUAAUGAACCAUAUUAAUUAAAGAAGGGAUAUUUUAAUAUGUGCCCUAAGGGCACACAUAAAAGGUAUUAAUUAUGAAAAAUAUUACCAUAAUUAAAUUCGAAAUACAUUUACUAUGGAAAUUAUUAAUGCACUUAAUAUUUCUUGAUAUUAAUAUAUUUUAUAAUUAAUUAUGGUAAUAUAUAUCAUCAAUUAAUGCUUCUUAUAUGUGCCCUAGGACACAUAUUAGAAAAUCUCAUUAAAGAAUUGUAUAAAUAUUUUAGAAAGAAGGAAAUAUGAAACUGCAGACCUGUAAGAAGCUUUCAAUGUUCUGCCACAAGAAAUUCUGAUAACUAGAGAUGGUUGGAUAGGCUGUUCGUCGAACAACAAUGGCCCCAUAAUAGUUGAAAGCGAAAUCGUUUGUUCCUGAACUCACGAUGUAUACUGCUUUCCUAAUCAAAUCAUCUGUUCUCUCUUUGCCAAUAGCCAUCGACACUUUUCUUUUAUAGUCUCUGAAUAAGUCCAAUUGCUGUGAUGUAGUGAGUGCACCCUGAUUUGAUAAUAUCGGCAUAAUAAGAAACAUAAUAUUUAUGGAAACCAUAUAUCUUCACUAGCAUAGAAAAUAUUUCUCUGUUACAAAUUUUUGUACAUACGAUCAUGGAAAUCAUUAGGAAAGUAAUAUAUCUUAGGGAACUAAUAUAUCCAUCACAAGAUUGCAUUUUGUUUGCUAGCUAGGAUUCAUGCGUACAAUCUUUUUUCCAGAAUAACAUGCUUCGUACUUUAUUAAAUAUGGUGACCAUGUGAGUCAUUGAUAAAAUUGACUUGAUUGUGAUAGAGACAUAGAGUACAAAUAAAGGUACCAAUCACGAACACGCAUGAGAGAGAGAGAGAGAGAGAGAGAGAGNNNNNNNNNAGAGAGAGAGAGAGAGAGAGAGAGAGAGAGAGAGAGAGAGUUACACUUAGCUGCGAUGUAAAUGGAUCAUAACCACCACCAGAAGAGGCAAAGCUAACUCCAGUCAUCAGAUCGUCAAUUGUUAAAGUUGGAUCCAAGAAAGGUGGCAAAUUCUCCUUAACACCCAAAAAUGAAGCUGACAUUUGACCAAAUCAACACAACCAUAAAAACAUAAUUCAUGCAGUGCGCAAAACAAAGAUCCACAACUAUAAUUAAAGGUGUGCUGAAAAAGCGUGUGUUCGAAGCUCUUGGUGUAUAACUUUUCUAUUAUAAUACACGUCAAAAAAAAAUAAAAAAUAAGUUAUAAAACAUACCAAUGAAAUCUGUAACAAGACGACCAUUACUAAACCUUCCAGUAGGUUUAUGAUUCACGAAAUCCUUCCCGUAAGGUGGGAAGUUGGCUCUAGCAACGGUUGGAAGGUAGUUAUUGUUACCCGGGUCAACGGUAGAAUCUCCAAACACAAAUACAGCAGAGACUUUUUCGCUCUCAGCAUUACAAAAUUGAUAUAGUAGGGAUACAACAUUGAUCAAGAAAAGUAAAAAGACAAUAUUAGGGAUGGUGUAUCCUAUUUUAGACCUCAUGAUAUUCCCGAAGAGAAAUAAAAGAGCCAAUACUAUCAAGUAAUGUAGCCAAAAUUGGUUUUAUGUUUCUUUAGGAAUUAGGAGUUCCAAGUUUGGAUCCCUUUCAAGCCAAAUUAUUCAUGUAUAUAUUGUUGUGCAUGGGACAUGCUCCAACUAUUUUAAUUUAUUGCUAGUAUUAAAUUUGUUUAAGUUUCAGAUUUGGAGGUUGUUUGUUGAGCACAUUUAGUGUACCCCAUGCUGUUGUGGUUGUGCUAGCUGCUUCAAGAAAGGUUACAUUUGAAGAAAAAAUUAUGAAGAGGUGGUGGGCGUUAAAGAAAGAUCGUCGUAUUUGUUUUUUUAAUCAGUGGAUCAGUAGACAAUGAACACGAAUUGACGUGUCAUUUUUAAAAUACUAUUUUUUUUUUAAACGGCAAACUAACUAAUCUACUCCUAAAUAAUCAUCUAUGUAGACAAUGAACAUGAAUUGACGUGUCACUUUUAAAAUAUUAUUUUUUUUUCAAACGGCAAACUAAGGGGCUGUUUGGCAGGAUCUGAAUUUUUAAGAGCUGAAUUUUUAAGAGGUCUGAAUUUCUAAGAGGGUCUGAAUUUUUAAGAUCUGAAUUUUCAAAUUUUGUUUGGUUGGAACCUCUGAAUUGCGGUGCUGAAUUAUAAAAAUGACCAUUUUACCCUUUUGUGUUUUUUUUUAUUAAUUUUUGUUUGCUGAAUUUAAUGUUUUUGUUUAUAAAAUAAUUGAAUCAACUUAUUAAAUAAUUAUAAAGUAUACAAACAUCAUAUAAAAUCUAGAUUAAACAAAAAUCCAAAUCAAACAUAUCAAUAUCAUUUCUUGAUUAUACCCAAAGCUACUGAUUGCAAUAAUACAAGAAAAUCAAGAUUUCAUAUCACAAAUGACAAACCUAUUUCUUAAUUGUUGUAUCCAAAACAAUUAAAAGCUCAAAAACAUUGAUAACCUAAAACAUAUCUAAAAAGUAAAUAUCUUCUCUUCUCUUGUCAAUUUUCACUUGUUCCCCAAAAUACCCUUUUGGUGUAAACCACAUAUUCUUUACUUAAAUUCACAAUUUCUUUACUUAAAUUCACCACCUGUUCAAGAUAUAGCAUCAUACUUUCAUUUAAUGAUUCCAUGACAAGCUAAUAUUCAUAUUUUAUCAAGCAAAACAACAAAUCAAAGUAGAACAACAAAGCAUAGAAUUUCAUCAGCAAAAUUAUGAUCACAUUUCAGAUUUCAUCAAACAAACAACAAGCAUAUGAUUUCAACAAUAUUAUCAAACUAAUAAAAUUAGCACAAUUUCAUAGAUUUCAGCAUAAUUUCACAAGAUUCCACAGAUUCUCACAAAUCAUAUGCAUACUUUCAUAACAAAAUUUCAGAAAAACAACAAAUCAAAAAAAAAUACUUCAUGUGUUCUUGUUGGAAAGAGAACAAACAGCAAAAACCAAGAUUUCACAGCAAUGUUUUUUUGAAUAUUUCAGCAACAUUUCACAAUAGAAACGAAGAGAAACAAGAAAUUAGCAAGAUUUCAGAGAAAACCAAUAGAAAACAAAGAUAAACAAGAUUCACAGCAAAGACAAAGUAAAAAAAUAAAAAAGAAAACCCAACAAUUGCAUAAAACUAUACACCAAAUCUGAUUUCAGGAGAAAAAAAAAAACAAGUUUUCACCUCAAUUCCAUUCCUAUGCAACAAAAUUGGAAUUGGUCAAACAACCCUAGCAGUCGAUCAGCCUUCAAAAUCAUGUAUCAUAGAUAACAAAAAAUUAGGGGGGAAAAUGAUUUCAUGUGUAGACUUCAAGAACAGAUUUCACAGAAAUCGAUUUUUGGAAAAAUUAGAGAAAAACAAACCUUGUGUGCCAAGGCGGUUCCGUUGCGGUCGUCAGCGCUGUCGAUGACCGAUACCACUGGCGACGAUGGCGUUGUCGAAGAAGCGUUCGAAGAUUAGUGCCAGCGUUCUGAUCUUGGUGGUAGGAGUGAAUAUAAGAAGUUGUCGGAAACUCGUGUGUGUGAGGUAGAAGAUAGGGGCGGCUACGUUGUCCGAGGUUGAUGAUGGGAGGGGGUUGACGGAGUUGGUCGCCGAUGGGAGGAGAUGAUCGGAGUUGGAGUUAGUCAAAUGUGGGGAAAUACAAAAGGGAUGAUGAAUCACAGAACGUAUAUGAGGGCAAAAGAGGGAAAAACGCGUUUCUUUUCUAUUCAGAUAUACGUUGAAGUCUGAAAGUUUAAGAGGCUUCUAAAAGUUUAAGAGGCUUUAAUUCAUAGGCAACCAAACACUCUUAAUCUGAAUAAUUAAGAGGUUGCCUCUUAAUUUGUCAAUUAAGAGGCUACCAAACAACCCCUAACUAAUCUACUCCUAAAUAAUCAUCUAUGUCUCCACUGAGACUUGAACACAUGACCUCUCAUAUGAGAUGGUCACUCUAUACCGCUAGGUCAUUGGCCCUUUGGUUUAAAAUACUAUAUAAUUUAUAUUUUCAACACAUAGACUAUUAGAACACGAAUAUCAAAACUGAAAAUAUAUAUAAACAACAAAAGAAGAACGUAAACGUAAAACAACGGGGGAUGGCGUUCACGGUUUGCAGCGGUUAUUAAGAGUUCUUGCAAAAAUGGUGUUGUUUUGGAAACCCUUUGUAUAAAUGGGGUUGUUUUAAAUUGUUUUGCACAAAUGGGUUAUUAAGAGUUUUGAAAAAAAUGAUAGAUGUGUUGUUUCAAAUUCUUUUGCACAAAUAGCGUUGUUGUCCCAAUAUUUCGAUUGAUUUUUAAAAAGUUAUAUGUCACACCCCAAAACUAAGAACGGCGGAAACGUUCUAGGGCGGAGGACGUCAUGUAAAGUAUCACAACACAGUAUAACAGUAAAUAAGCAAACAACAUCAUCCAUUGCAUUAAAUAUAUAAUUUUAAUACAAGUGUGUUCCGUACAGUUAUAGACACCAAAAAUGUAAAUCAAAAUAAUAAGAUGAGUCUUGGAUGCGCUCCAUCUUCUCAAAAGCUGGCCUCGGUACCUAUCUACUGUCGAUCUGAGAAUACACGUUAUUUUGAAAGAGUUUAUCAGCAUUAAGCUGGUGAGUUCAUAAGUAUUUUAGUAUCGGUGUUUGUAUCAAAACGUUUGAACAUGGUUUUAAGUAUGAAUUUGUAAACAUUGGUGAUAAAAGUAUGUGAAUGUUUGUAAUUGUUUGUAAAAGUUUGAAUCUCUCAGAAAAACCUAUAUUUUCUAUUACAAGUAGCCUUCUACCAAGGCGUAACUGUUUUGUAUGUUCGUUUAUUGUAAAAGUGUGUAAUUUCCCAAGUGUAACUAUUAUUAACAAAAUAUAGAUUGUACAUUAAUGUUUAAGUGAAAUAAUCACUAAAUAUAUGUAAAGGGUAAAUUAUUGUAGUACUGUAGUGUUGUAUUAUAGGAACUACUGCUGUACUAACUACCUCAAACCGGAUUUAUAUUAAGGUAUCGUGUGAUUAAUUGUACCAUACUAUCGACUGGUUAACAACGAAAAGGUAGGUCGUAAAAAGAAAUGACGUUUGGCACCCGCAGACCUGCAGGUCCGGCUGUAGCUAGCAACAAGGUGUAGGAUAGUCAAUCCAGUAUAGAUCUAUACGCAAACUCACGCUCUCCCUCCAAGAGACUCUGGCUACAACUCGGGUCAUGACAUUGAAGGCAUGCUCUGAUACAGUGGAUCACAAUUUGUUAACAUAUUCAUGUAUAUGUAAUGUAUUGUUACUCGUUCUAGUAUCAUUGUAUAUGUUCUCUUUCUAGUAUAGUUGUAUAUAUUCUUCUUCUAGUAUAGUUGUAUAUGUUCUUCUUCUAGUAUAGUUGUAUAUGUUCUUCUUUUAGUAUAGUUGUAUAUGUUCUUAUAGUAAUAAGUAUCGACUCAUGAAUGAACUGACUCAUUGAACAUCUUAUUGAUCUAGCAAUUGUAUAAGUAUUAACCCGUGAUACCCAUAUGGUAACACACUAAUGAAGUAACUAGUACACAUGAAUAUGGAAGAACUUUUAUGACUAUAUAUGUACACAUGAUAUAUAAUUAAUAUUGAAACGACCUUCGGACGACUACCCGAUAUCCCACCAGACCACAUCUCAAGCGCGAAAAGGAAAUAGGGCGGACGGCCUUCCUAAGCCUUUUAAACAUUUCUUAUAUAACUAUACAUAUACGGGCAUGCAAUUUAUAAUAAUUAUAACAAAGUUUAAGUAGAAGUAUUUGAUAAGUAAAAGAGUUUGUAAAGCAGUUUGAUAAACAGUUUGAACAGUAAUAAAAUCAUUGGUUUUGUAGUUAUUAAUCAUAUGUGAUUGAUGUAAUAACUAUAAGUAUUCAACUUGUAUCCCCCCCCCCUCCUAUUAAAGGAUUUAAAACAUUUAAAAGUAUUUCAAAGGUUAGUUAAGGGGUAUGAACUCACUUGUAGUGAGUGGAUUGGAUUGAAGUGUCGGAUACUGUGCUAGGUGGCAAACGGAGACUUGUACACACGCACGAGCCUAGUUAUCAUAUAAUGAACAUAUAUAUAACUAAUUAGUCAAAUUAUAACUAAUAAAUUAAGUUGGGAUACUCUAGAACAUGAAAACACUUUGUAUAAGUGUUAUAAGUCCUAAGGGUUGCAUCUAAGUUGUUGUGGGACAAGGCUAAAGGGGUUUAGGGUUCCAAAAGACCCUAUACAUGUGUUUACUCUUCAAUAAACCCCACACAAGGAGUUUACGGUCGUAAAAUCUUGAGUUUACGGCCGUAGGCUCCCAAACUUAAUGAUAUUAUGUGUUUUGAAGUGUUACAUGAUUCCUAGGAGCAAUUCUACUUGGUGGUUUAAUCCUUGGAAUAGUUUAGGGCAUUAAGACACUCCUUUUAGGAGUUUUCGGCCCCAAGGUCAUUUCCUUUUGAGUUUACUGCCGUAAACUCAUAUGGAAAUGGGUAUUUUUAUGUUUUCAAGUCCCAUACUCAUUUAGGAUAGGUUCUAGACAAUUAUCUAAGGCUAAUGAAGGCAUUAGGCACAUUUUGGUACCCUUCCUUGAUGUUCAAGGCCCAAGAACCAUUUCCCUUAGAGAUUACGGUCGUAAUCUCUCAUGGGGAUGGGUUUUUGAAGUUUUAAGGUCCCCAAAUUAACUAGGAAUAAAUAGAGGCUAUUGUCCAAGGUUUUAGGAGUGAUUAAAACACUCUUUGGCCUUUGAUUUUUGGAGUUCACGAUCCAUGAACUUCUUGGGCCGUGAACACCUAAACCUUGGUGUUCUUGAAUGAUUUCUAGUCUUAAAUACACCUACAUAUAAGCCUAAGAUAGUUACUUAACAAGGGGAAGGGACUGGGCAUCAUUUAACCCUUAUAAAAGAGUUUACUCCCCAAGAACGUUCUUGGGCGGUAAACUCUUGAAUCUUGCAGUUUUGCUAUGUAAUCUAUGUUAUUAAACACGUUAUAAGCCAUAUAAUACAACUAGAGAGAGGUACUCACGAUUUGGGAUGAAAACCCGAAGAUCCGUGAGAGAGAAAAUGGCUUUUCUCUAGUUGGAAAUGUAACUAAUGAAAUAAUUUGGUUAAGAAUUAUAUAUAUAGUCCUGGGAUUUUUGGCAGAAAAUAUUAUUUUUCAGGAAUUGAACUCUAUUAUCAUAAAGUUUUGAAAUAACCGAGUUGCACAACCCAUGUGCAUCCACUCUCCUGAUAUCUCCUUAAAUGUAAACCCUGAAAUACUCAAACUUAUUCGGAAAAGUAUGAAAAUUUACUGUAACUAAUUUAACUUCUAUUGACUUGAUAAUGUUCGUACAGAAUGGAAAUUUUGGGUUGUCACAUUAUAUAAAUGGUAGGGGUGUUUGCGGUACGGUUUGGUGCGGUUUAUCCUCAAAACCGCAAACCGCACCGCAUAUGCGGUUUGUUAUUUUCGGGAACCGCAGACCGCACCGCAAAGGUAAUAAACUGCGUUAUGCAGUGCGGUUUUGUGCGGGCGGUUUUGCGGUUUUUGUGCGGUUUAUGCGGUUUCAUAAACAUAAAUAUUAAAUUUAGUUUUAAAGAUAAUAAGUGUGUGGUGUUUUAUAUUCUAUGAAGAAAAGAUUAAUUGUUUGUAUAAGCAUCUUCUUUAUGUAUAACAUCAAAAUAUUUUACAAUAUUUUAAAAUUAUAAUAUGAACUUAUGGUACUGUAAACACAUAUUUUUUAUAUUGUUGGUUUCCCAUUUUGACUCAUGUUUAUCAAUCGAAAUCUCAUAAACAUUAUUAAGGGUAAGGGUAUUAAAAGUGGUAAACAUCUAGCAUGUUAUAUAUAUAUAUAUGGUAUGUUGCAGUGCGGUUUGAACCGCGGUUUGGUAACUAUAAACCGCAAACUACACCGCAUAGUGCGGUUUGAUGCGGUGCAGACGGUUUAUGCAGUUUGUGCGGUUUAUUGCACACCCCUAAUAAAUGGUGUUUAUAUGUUACAAUUCCAGCUUUAUUUUAUAUAAUAACUUAUAAAUAUAUCUUUAAACUAUUUUUUAAAUAACUCUCAUAUGAUCAUAUUUUUAUAAAAAUUAUUCAUUUAAUGUUACACAUUUAACCAUUUAUUUUAUAUAAUAUGUUGUAAACAUAUCAUUAGUAUUUUUAAUUUUUAUUUUAUAACUUUAUUUAAAUUUUACAUAUAAUCUUAUUAUAUAUACUUACUAAUUCUAAAGGUACAGAUGAACAGGACUUCUCUAUGAUUGGUUGCAUCAUUGGCUAGGACUUUUUUUUUUUUUUGCUUUUCAUAUCAUACAUUUUUAUUUGUAUGUUAUCUAUACAGCCACCGACUACAACCACGUGUGUCUUACACCGCCUCUAACAUCCAAUACCGUANUUCCAUCACCACCUCGAUUUCUUUCGUCCACCGAUCGUUUCCUUCUUUUCUUCUUCAGUUUCUCAUUCUUUCCAAAAACCUCCGGUUGCUUCUCACAAGCAUUCCCACCCCACCGCUUCUCUUUGCUCCGCCUCCCAUUGACGUCUAACAAAUUAUCCCUUCAUAUUCUUACCCAUCAAUGUAGGUGAAAUCCCUAGCGAUAGUUCCAUGAUUAGGCCCUUCAAAGAUAGAAAUCUACUUUCGAUUGAAAGAUAGAAAUCUACUUUGGUGAAAAAGAAAUAUGCCAUGUUAGGUCUACCCGAAGGUCCAUAAACAGUGAAAAAUCGCAAACCAGUAAUUGAUAGAUCGUAGAUAUGAGUGUAAGCAUGAGCGAUUUUUUCACCGGAUUUCUUUGUGGCGGCGUAAAGGGUCACCGGUUGAUCGGUUCGAUCGAAGAGAGAGAGAGAGAGAGACGACGACGAAGAGGGUGAGGUCGAUUUAUUCGACUGAUACCGAUUGCGCUUUACAGGUUCGUUUUUUCUUCAAUUCUACUUUUGUUUUACUAUACGUUUCCGAUUGACGCCUGUUUUGAUUCCCGCUGCUUAUUUUUCAGAUUUUGUGAUUGAUUUGUUUGUCUCUGGUGAGCCGGAUCUUCCACCGCCUCCGAUUCAAGUAUCAAAUCCACCCAAAGAUGUUCUAUUUUUCGAUCACCUGCACAACAACUGCACAACAACUGAGGGUCACUUAAGUUAUAGCUAUGUCAUAAUUAAAGGUCAUUACUGCUCAUAAUUAUAUUUCCAUCUUAAAGUAUAAUUUUCCCAUUUGAUUUUAAUUUCUUAUUUCCAUGAGGUAAAUUAAAGGUUGUGCCAUUGUUAAAUGCAGGUAUCUCUUAUUCCCUCUAUCAAAUUCCAUUCACAAAUUUAGGAUUUUUUUUUCAUAUAUUAAUAUGGAUAACUUGAUCGUUUUGUUUAUUAUCCUGGGUAUUUGUGUUUGUGAAUUUAUUAUUCGGAUGAGGUUAAAGGUAGUCUUUUGCACUUCUUAUUUUCCAUUUUAUAUUAAGAAGAAUUUGUUAACUAACAAGUGAUGUGGAAAUACAUCUAAUCAGUCAACUUAUAAUAUUUUCUGCCUUUCUUUAGUUCAUGAAUUGGCUCUGUGAAAUUGGAGCUGGCGUCUGUGACAUGAUGAAUGGGUGCUUAUUUAGCAUGUUGAAUGUUGGAUUUUGUCCUGGCAAUGGGAGCUUUUAUAGAACCAGCAGGAUGGUAGUAGCAGCCAUGUUCAACUCUUUAAGGUUAGUUGUCUUUCCAAGGAUUAAAUACAAUGUACUUUUAUUUUAUUUGUGCAUUAUGUCAUUUUGUUUUCAUUCAUCUCUAUGCCUAAAUUCACUGUACAUUUAUAGCUUUUGUUACUAAAGCAUUGUAUUGUGAAAAAUAUACAAAUUAUAGCAUUGUACUUUCAACCUUUUUCUUAUUACAACAUUCUACAGUGAUUGUUUAGCCAAUUAUUUUUUUCGCUUUAGUUACUUGAAACUUUUUUUUUUUCUGUAACGAUUAAACCGUUAUAGUUUUUUGACCAUUUUUUGGACUAUUUGUUUUUUGAUAUAAUUUCAAAAUGUAAAAAAACACAGCUUACUUUUACCGUUUGUCAAUCUACCUAUUGUGAAUUACUCUUCUUAUCGAUUUAUUCUAAACUAUUAUUUUUUUUCUCCAUUGAGCCUCAUAACUGUUUUCUGUAGUGAUUAAUCCAAUAUUCUCUGCUGACUAUAUAAUAAACCCGUUUAUUGUUGCUGUGCGGUUUUGAUAUCGGUUUACCUGUUGUGCUAUUUUUUUAAACAAUUUAGCCACUAAACUGUUGCUCUUUUGCUGUGGAAAUGGUUUUCCAAGAUUUCUAACACGAAACUUUAAAAAACAUGAUUUUUUUUUAAUUUCUUCGCAAGUAAAAUUUGAUUUUCACAGGUAAAACCUGUGAAAAUCUUGGGAAGUGGAUAACUGGAUUAGCAUGAUUUGUCUUUUUCUCUCUUAUUUAUCAUUUUAGGUUUUUAACUACUUAACUAUUUUAUGUAGUGAUUAAAAUACUAUUCUUCUUUUGACCAUUUAGAAUAACCAUCCAUUUUCAAAUUUAGUUUCUGAAGUCGUAAUGAUCCUAUUUGAAAAGGCAACUUAUCAUUCAUACUUUACCAUAAGGUUGAUUCCAUAUAUUUAUAUAAGGGUAACCUGGUCAUUUGGCAGGAAAAGGGUCCAUGGGAGAUGGAUGCUCAUGAAAGAGUCGAAGCAGCUGGGAAGAAGAAAGAAGAAGGAAAUAUUCUUUGUAGGUGCUUUCAAUUCACCAAUUUGUUUUACCGUUGAAAGUUUCUUGCUGUUUUGGAAUAAUUUCAAUUGUUGAACUUUUAUUUCUGGCUUGAGCGCUGAUGUCCUUAUUAGUGGUUGUAUAAUUGUAUUGGGGUGCUGAUAUUUUGAGCCUCCUUAUUUGAUCUUUAUUUGAUCUCAUAACAAACGGUUGAAUUGAAAUCUAACCCCGCUAUUUGAUCUCAUAACAAACGGUUGAAUUGAAAUCUAACCCCGCAAAGCGGGACACUUCCCUAGUUUGUUUUAAAUACAUUCUUAAGUUGUAUAUAUUAUUUUUAAUAUUUAAUAUUAUUAUAAUUACGUAAUGCAAGAAACACACAUAAUUUAUGUGACAUUCUCAAUUUUCUCGGCCAGAAAAUACCGAUUUGUUUAUACUUUGUUUUAUAAAAUCAGAGUAAGUAUUUGAAUAAAAGUGUUGCGGAAUUUGUUCCCAAAACAAAAUAUGAUAAGAAUUUAUGAAAGCAUUUCUUUAAAGAAAUGUAUUUUCAUUAUAUAACAAAAUCUCAGGAUGUCAUGUUCAAUACAAACCAAAAGCAUAAACAGAACAAAAUAGACCUUACAACAGUUAUUCAUAACUACUGNCACAAUGUUAUAUUACACACACAUACAUACACACACACACACACACAUAUAUAUAUAUAUAUAUAUAUUAGAACUCACAAAUUUAUAUAAUUUCACCAUAUAAAAGCAACUCUUAUCUCACCCCAUCGAUCCUCACAACGACACGAUCUAAACUCUCGUAUCUAAAAUUUUCUUCUUUACUUGAUCCCUACUCAUGGAUCUAAAACUAAUCUCUUCACCUGAUCCAUACUCCUGGAUCUAAAACUAAUCUCUUCACAUGAUCCAUAUUCUCGGAUCUAAAACUAAUCUUCUGAUCUGAUCCAUACUCCCGGAUCAAUAAGUGUGCCCAAUCCAUACUCCCGGACUAGGGACAAUUAACUUAGUCUUAAUCCAUACUCCCGGAAUAAUAACAAGUUUAUCUCUUUACCUAAUCCAUACUCCCAGAUCUAAAACUAACCUCUUGAUCUCAUUAUCCAACUCAUCUUUUAUCACACACCAACUAUCUUAUCUACCCAUCUUCUACCCAACAUAUUUGUAGAUAUAAAAUACAUAUACAGUUUAACUCAUUUAAAUAUAAAACAUCCAUUCCGCACUCAUCUUAAAUAAACGACAAUAUAUAAACACAUAGCAUGUAUUUCGUAGAAAAUACUUCAUAUUUAUGUGUUAGAAGAGAGGGACUACAUACUCACCCAAAACAUAUACUUAAUACAUUCAAACAAUACUUGUAUUAAAAUCGUGUUUAUGAAUGGGACUAUACACUUACUUGAUAAGAGGAUAAUCAGACAACACUACGGCUCUAAAAGCAGUAUUCUUCGGUGACACACAUCGGGAUUCUCGCAAGCAGAGCUUCGGCUCGGAAACUCUUUUCGUCUCGGGAUGUCCGGGCUUCGGGACUCGCUUCGGGUCACGGGAUAAUACCGGGGCUUCAGGGGUACUUCUUUUGUGACAACCGUUAAUUUCCGGUCAAGUCAAAGUCAACUGAAGUCAACAAGUCAAACCAUUCGACUCAAUUUGCCCGUGGGUACUAGAGUUUACGUUAUGUAAUUUCUAAACAACUCGUUAUUCUAAUGAGAGAUCAUAAAUCUAAAAGUGCGUAUAUCUAGAUCUCUUCAACCUAAAACCGUGGUACGUGGCAAGCCAAACCGAUAAAACAAUGUUGCAUACUCAUCGGGAGUGUGUAAGAUCCUUAAACAAGGCUUAACAGGGUUUACGGACCUUGCAUUGCGAAGCCGGACACUCACANNNNNNNNNNNNNNNNNNNNNNNNNNNNNNNNNNNNNNNNNNNNNNNNNNNNNNNNNNNNNNNNNNNNNNNNNNNNNNNNNNNNNNNNNNNNNNNNNNNNNNNNNNNNNNNNNNNNNNNNNNNNNNNNNNNNNNNNNNNNNNNNNNNNNNNNNNNNNNNNNNNNNNNNNNNNNNNNNNNNNNNNNNNNNNNNNNNNNNNNNNNNNNNNNNNNNNNNNNNNNNNNNNNNNNNNNNNNNNNNNNNNNNNNNNNNNNNNNNNNNNNNNNNNNNNNNNNNNNNNNNNNNNNNNNNNNNNNNNNNNNNNNNNNNNNNNNNNNNNNNNNNNNNNNNNNNNNNNNNNNNNNNNNNNNNNNNNNNNNNNNNNNNNNNNNNNNNNNNNNNNNNNNNNNNNNNNNNNNNNNNNNNNNNNNNNNNNNNNNNNNNNNNNNNNNNNNNNNNNNNNNNNNNNNNNNNNNNNNNNNNNNNNNNNNNNNNNNNNNNNNNNNNNNNNNNNNNNNNNNNNNNNNNNNNNNNNNNNNNNNNNNNNNNNNNNNNNNNNNNNNNNNNNNNNNNNNNNNNNNNNNNNNNNNNNNNNNNNNNNNNNNNNNNNNNNNNNNNNNNNNNNNNNNNNNNNNNNNNNNNNNNNNNNNNNNNNNNNNNNNNNNNNNNNNNNNNNNNNNNNNNNNNNNNNNNNNNNNNNNNNNNNNNNNNNNNNNNNNNNNNNNNNNNNNNNNNNNNNNNNNNNNNNNNNNNNNNNNNNNNNNNNNNNNNNNNNNNNNNNNNNCCGAACCCGAAGGGUCCUCUCGAGCCCGAACCUCGCACAAGACCCGAACCCGAGCCUCGGUCUAUUUCGCUCCUGAUGACUUCGGACCGAGCCUCCCCUUCGCUUCCUUCUGUCUCGCCUCGCUUCGGACCCAGCAUCAGAAGGGACUGAACCUUAGGCCCCCUUUCCGAGAAGCCUCACUGUAAUGCCUUUUCUUCCCGGUUUUCGACUACGACUUCGAUUUAGCUUCGUUUUUAAUUAUUUUAACGCGGUAUUUUCACCCAAAACUUUAUUUUAACAUAUAAGGCCCCAUAUUUAUUAAUUAUCCACGUUUUUGGGGAUAAACCUUAUCCAAGAAGAGUGGGUGAAGUACAAGAGGUGGAGUGUUGACUUUCCUUUAUUCUAUGACACAAGCAACCACUCUCAUACCCACUCCAUGUCACUAUUCACCAUCAGCCCAUCCCUAGUCACUUCAUAAGUCCUUUGUCAUUAUUUCCAGCCAUUUCCCACGUUCUUAGAGCUGCAACAUCCACCCUCUCUCCUCACACUUCAUUCAUUCUCUCAUUCUUCCACCAAGAAUCACACUCCAAACUCUCUCAUCUUUCUCUCUCAAAUUCGAGAACUUCAAGGCAUACUCCAAGACUUUUCUCCUUCAUUUAGUAAGUAUCAUCAUCUUUCUUAUGAUUAUUACACAUCCUCCUACUCAAAAUCAGAGAUUGCUUACACAAACAUCAUCACAUUCUUUUUAGAUCUUCGAAUCUUCAAGUGAUUCUUCAAGUGUUCUUGAGUUGGACACUUCUCUUCUUCAACACUCAUCUACUAAAACUACUCGAUGUGAGUUCAUACCCCUACAUUUUCAUGUUUUCUCAAGUUUUUAGGGUGGGAAUACAAGUUAAAACACCAAGAACAUAACUAAACUUUUCUAACAGCCUUCAUCAGAAAAGUUCAACUCCAUUCACGGCCUGUUUUGGACAAAUUAAACAUUUUUGUUUUCAAAACUAUUUUUGUUAUAAGUAGUUCCAGUUCUUAGCUUUAAAAUGACUACUUGCACAUCUCCAUACGAUUUUUCUACAAUUUAUGGUGAUUUUUACAAAACUGCCUAUCAUUUCAAACACCAAUCCGGACCAGUCUGUGAUUAUGGACUUUUUCACCCAAGUUGGAGGUCAUUAAAAAUCAUGAUAAAAAUUAUGAGUAAACUAGACACAUUUUGGGAACUCUCAGAAUUUACGGAUUUAGUUUUCAACUUCGUAUGAUUUUUCUAUGACUUUUCAAAAACAGUGUAGAAAGGUUGAAAAUUUGUUAACAGCUUAUAACUUUCAUAACACUUUGUAUUAUGUUGAGCAAAGUGUAUAACGAUAAGUUCCAAAUAUUGAAUGUGUUUCCUUGUUAGUUUAUCAUCAUAAACUGAAAUAUAGUCAUUCAUGAUAAGAUUAUUCAUUCAUUUAGAACACGUAUAUUAAGCUAUAAUGAGCAUAGUUUAUGGAUUCAUAGCAUUAAAGCAUUCAUAAAAGAAUUCUUAUACAUUACAAACGUUUUGGAUAAACUAUAAUAGGUAUAGUUUAUGUAUCAUUUACUUCUCAAACUUAUUUACCAAAGGUUUUCAGUUUAGUUCACGUAAAUCUGUUAAUGAAUAAAUUUGUGAGUCAUUCCCUUCGGGUUACUUCCAAAGUAACAAAGUCAAAAAGUCCUGUAAAUUGUAACCAGAGUCUCUUGUAGGGAGAACGUGAUAGUUGUGUAUAGAUCUAUAUUGGGUUUGACAAACCCACACCAGAGCUGCUUGCAACAGCUAGACCGGCAGGUCUGUGGUGACAAGUGUCAUUUAACGGCGACGCCUGAAGAACGUCGUAUUACGAGGCCGUCUAUGUCAAGUAUGGUUAUGAUAGCUCACAUGUGGUAUUAACAAUCAUAAGAUUUACGGGUUCUAACUUUAAAUUAGCGAGUUAUGUCUAUUUAGCUCACUGAAAUUACUUUAAGUAUGGAAAAAUACUUAUACGCCUUCAUAUCAAAAAGGGUUUUAUGUCGAUUUAAAAUCACUUUUUACAUCAACAAUUACAUACUUUAUUGUAUACUUUCGGUCUUGGUAUUUAAGACUACACAUCAUUCAUUACGGGAUUUUUCUCACAUCAGAAAGGGUUUUAUGCCGAUUUAAAACCACUUUUAUAUCUUUAAGUAUGACAAAUAGUUGUUCAUUUUCGGUCCUGGUAUUUAGGACUACAUAACUUUUGUAAGGAAAAUAUUGGAUUUUUCUUGGUAACAUACAUCUCUUUACAAAGAUCGAUUUUCAAACUCUUACUGUCAAAAGCUUAUGAACUCACCAACCUUUGUGUUGACACUUUUCAAAACUACUUGUAUUCUCAGGAAUUCAGUGAAACAGGAAAUCAACCACGUUUUGAGGAUGGGACGAUAAAUCGUCGAACAGUUCAUUUUGUAUCAUAAUGUAAUUGAUUUGAAUCAUGUAAACAUAUACUUUGGUGUAACUUUUUCAAUUAUAUUUAUGAUGGUUGUAUUUACUUUGAGCACUAUUAUACUCGUUGUUGUGAUACUCUACAUGAAGUCCUCCACCCCCGGACGUUUCCGCCAUCCUUGGUUUGGGGGUGUGACAGAUUGGUAUCAGAGCAUUGUUUAUAGUGAACUCAGUAUAUCGAACCACAUAAGAUAUACAAACUAUAAAUGCAUUGGGACUAGAGUCUCUGAUUUAAAGUUUUCAAAACAACUACACUUUUAGAAAUAAGUAGUUUCUUAUUAAAAGUAUACAGGCAUGCAUACAUACUAAGGUCAGCAUCAUUCUAGAACAAAACUAAAGUAAUGAUUGUUGAAUAUCACAGGUAAGCUCGGGGGUGUAUGAUCAGUCUUGGGAAUGGCAUAGCCUGAUCAACUAUGCUAGUCCGAGGAGUGAUUAGCACAUGCCCAAGAAUGGUUGUGAUAUGGCAACAAGUCUAAAUACUUACCAACACUACCACAAUGAGAACAUUAGAACAGAACACGAGUUUAAAAUACUAUAGGAGUAUUUUGUAAUAUCAUAACUUAUAUGAAAACUAAAUAGAUCCUUAAUAAUAGGUCUAUAGUCCCUAAGUGGAUACCCUAAGAUAUUAUAUAACUUAGAAAUCAUAGACUUAGAAUUUGUGGUCAUUGCCUUACUUCCUUUUCCUUGUUUGGAUGUGGACCUAGGGUAGGAUCACUUAUUCGAAGGUCUAUCAUAUCUUGUUAUAUGUAAUUAGUAUGCACUAUGUCAUUAUAGAAGUAACUAAUAAGGAUCACCCCUAUAAGUAAUUAAUUAUAGAGUUAGACGCCUAGUAAUUAUCUCUUCCACUCCUAUUCUCGCACGUACAACAUAGCAAGAUCCUACUUACCGGACGACCCCUACUUUCCCAAUCCGAACCCGAGAAAUGGUGAAUGGUUAUGAGGAGAAUCAGAAGCGGAACCGGAGGUAAUCAAUCCUCCAUGCAUAGCAAGGGUUUCCGCGAACCGUUUCGACUACAUCGAACCUGUGCCCCGUUGGGCAAUCGUGAUCGAGGGUUGAAUGUCGACAGCAAUGACAACAACCACCAUGAGGAGACCAACGAGGGUGCUAUGACCUCAACCAUGGGGGACCGACUGACAGAGCCCUCCUGGCGAAGACCUGGCAGAUCGCGAACAUCGGGGAAUAAAGCAGGUAGACUACAACCCGAGUUCGGAAACUGCGCGCUACUACAGACCCUACUGUCUCACGUACCCGAGACUCGGAAAGAGACUACUAUUUCGGAGACCUACUCUCUGUUUAGGACCUUAUCGCCACUCGGGCAGAGGCAAUAGAGUAACGGGGUAGACACACGACAUUCAAAGAGAGGAGGAUUGCAGCCAAGCAUCGAUUGAUAGAGCUGCAAGGUGCAUCGACUUUGCCCCAGGCAUCGCAAGGAACGGAUCGUCGUAAGUAGAGUUCAUACUGCUCACAAGACCUUGUAAAUUAGGUUCGUGAGUAUGCGUUGGUGCUACUCUAUUCUAGGCGUAAGCACGACACUGUGAUUUAAGCGGUCAUACUAAACGAGAGAUCUAGUUGCUAUCAAAACUUUUCCAUGCACAGAUGUGAGGUAAACCUACAUCUAGGUCAAAAAAAAAUUGCUGAAACCAGAAUUACUAGAAUCAUAUUAACAAGAUGGGCUUAGGAUAUACCUAACAGACUCGAAGGUCUAUUUAGUCUUAGCUAUAAAACUAAGCAUACUUCAAUUGGUCAUAAUAAGGACCUAGCUUGGGUCAAGUAUAAGGUUCCACUUGGAUACAGAACCACUGAAAUACAUGAGUUUACCAUAUAAGGACUCUCGUUAUGAAUUGUUUUCAGAACACCCUUAACAACCGAAUUACGUUACAAAUCGAUAUAAGGUGAACUUAGUUAGAAAACUCGCGACGUAUAACCAUUCUAAAAACUCAUUAUCGUCUCACCUUUAAACAAUUUAUUGAGAAGUUCCUUCUUUAUAGACCUAUGGGGUGCGAUCGUUCAGGAACUAAUACACCGGGUCCCAUCAAAACUCCUCAGCCAAGUGUGUUUGGACAAACAUGAUUCUAAGAUGAGUAAAGUUUAACGCCCGUAUGAAACCUACUCCUACCCACUGCUAUAACUCCAUCUCAGGAACGUUAGCGGAAACAAUAGGAAUAUUACAGUAAUGUGCAAAAAUUUAUAUGCGUAAAUAUAAAUCGUAAGGAUGCACUUAAGAUAAUCAUUUCCACUAACGAAGUCAUUUUUCAUCGUGGAACAGAGCUAUGUCUUCACCAAGAGGCAACCAACCAACUAGCAAGGCACCAACCCUGCAGAUAGACUCUGCUACUUUUCAGGCUGCAGUCACGGCAGUCGUGACAGCCGUCAUGGCGCAAUUCAAUACUAACAACGCCAGCAGAGAUGGAAUCGAUACUGAGAAUACAUAUUGUGGUAACAAUCAGAGACACCAACGGGUGUCUGCCAGCGAAAAUAUCUCAGGCCACAAACCUACGAACAAGAAGCGAAAGUUUUGGAACAAAAAGGAGCGCAACCAAUCUCAAAGAUCCACUAAAAGGAAACAACUCAUGGCCACCCCUACAAUUACAACAACAGUCACGACUCAUGCCUCGACACUAUCCAUGGGGUCUGCCAUCCAAACGCCGGCCAGACCAUAUAAUGGAUCACUCCCAAAGUGUAACCAAUGUGGCUUCCAUCACAAUGGGGCUUGUUGGGAGAUGCACUGUAAAAACUGCAACAGGAAAGAUGAUGAGUUUAUAAAACUCUUUGAUCGAUUAGAUCUUUAAAACAGGCGAAUAAAGAAAGCAAUAACAGUUAAACAAAAACACAAGUAUGGAUCUGAAAGAGUUGAAUGAUUUGAUUAACUCAAUCCUCAGUAGAGCUCGAUGAAGAACUUCCGUUGUAGAGGAUUCUAGGGUUACAAAAGAUAAGAACUUGUACGCUAUCAAAUCUCUAUCAAUCUUACGUUAAGAAUGCAUGCAAGCAUCUAUAUAUAAUAAACCCUAAACAAAACUCACGGAUGGACAGGCCCAUACCGGAGACAAAACUUGGACUAGCUAACGAGCCCAAAAGACGCAACACUAAACUGGACCUAACAAUCUCCCCCUUUGCGUCAAUUUGGAGCGAGACUAUCAUUUCUUCUUACUUGGACCAGCUGUUGGAACCUUCUUGGUUAUAUCAAACAGACGAGAGAUAAGUGCGAGAAUAGUCUGUCUGAAGCGAAUGUACCAUUGAAUCAUAUCAUCAAAGUAGUGCUUGUCAUCCGCCGAAUUUUGCUUGCACUGAUGAAUGAUCCCUAAGACGUGUUCCAGACAUGCAGUGGUAUAGAGAUGUUUUUCUGCCAAAGCAAACAGGCAUUUUUGGCCUUCGUUUCUGGUAAACAUAACAGAGUUUCUCUUCGGGUCUAUCUUCCCCAUCUGCAUCAUGUUUAGGUCACUUGCUGAGCCAACAGGAGAUAUGGUAGGCUUUUUCUUGAAUACAUUCACUAUCUCCUGAUCCAUCUUGGCGACUUCCAUGAUGUAACAAACAAGCAUCCUCUUGAAGUGGUCGAUGAUCGGACCAUAUUCUGCUUCAUUAGUAAGAAGGAUGUUGUGCAAAAUAAUCCAGUCGUGUGGAUUCAAGUUGGGAAGAUCAGCAAGCGAGAUGGCAUGUUCAGUCUUGGCAGAUCCUCUCAGCACCUUAAACCGAACGUUGGUGAAGUUUCCUUCCUUAUACGGCUUUAGAACCCGAACAUUGAUAAUCUUCUGAGCGCUCCAUGUUUGGUACUGUGGUUGAGCGGCCCUCAGAUAGAAAUCGACUAAGUCCCUAUCAACCUUUGGAUGCGGAUGAGGGAACUCAACAAUGUUGUCAAAGGCAUGGAAUACGAACGUCUUUCGGGUCAGUGACAUGUCAAACUGAGAAUCGACAGAAUUAUCAUGAUCAAGUGAAAUCACCGGUUCUAGCCACAAGAUGCUUGGAGUUUCUAUGGCUUCUUUCAGCAACUUCUCAAGAAUCCAAGGAGGAAAGAGAGUUUUCCUGCUCUCGAGAAGGUCGUGAGCUUUCUGUCUUCUUUCGGCUUCUUCAGCCUCUCUAGCUACACGAGCGCUGAUGUCAGCAUCUUUAUCUCGACCUUGCUUCUUCAGAAGGUCGGCAAUGGUCUCCUUAUCUUCAUCAUCGCUCUCUUCAGCAAUUUGCUUGCCCUUGUCUUUAACACCUGAACCUGAGGCUUGGCCUGUAGGAGGAGGUUCGGUUGUGUGUGUUGCUGUUGAAGAAGGAGGCGGUUGAGACACAUUUUCUUUUUCUCCCCCUUGUUUCGGAAUGGACACGAAAGCAAGGAGCCCUUCAAUCUUGCUCAGGAGAGAAAGGGCAGGAGCAAGUUUUUCUGCAAGAGUUCGCCUCACAGAAUAGUUGAGUAUCGGGUCAUGUGCUUCCAGGAUGUUUGAAAUGGCUGCGUAGACAUCCGAAACACACGAAGACACAAUCUCUCUUUCAGAUCGAAGAGACUCAAUCUCUUUUUGAGAAUUGGAGAGUUGAAGACUCUUGACCUUCAGAGCGGUGGUCUUUCUGGCAAGAGCAUCCAUAAGAUAAUUUUCGGCAGCAAGAUCCUCUUAGAGCUUGGUCAGUCGCUCCUCAAGCGUCGCCUUAAACGCUGAAUUGUCGUCUGAGAGAGUUUGAAGAAGAGAAGCAAACGACGUCAGCUCUAAUGCAACUGAGGUAGCCAGCUGGUUGACAAUUGGUUCCAGCUUUGUUUUGGUGGCUUCAGCAUUUUCCUGUAAUGACUGUAACAAAGAAGAAGCAUCAGUGAAUAGUUUAUCGGCUUUUUCGGUCGCUGUCUCACAGGCUUUGGUUGAGGCAUCAAUGGCUGCAGUGGCGGAGUGUAGAGAGACUUGAUGAGCUUUGGAAAAAGCAUCAACAAUUUUCUGAAUGGCAGCUUCAGAGAUGGUAGACUGGGAUGAAGAAGAGGAGGUGAUGAGCGAAUCUAUUUUAUCGUGAAGCUCCUUGAGAUGCUUUUUGGUAACGGGAGCAUCAUCAUCGUCAUCACUCUGUACCUGAAACGGACUGUAAUAGACCGAAUCAAAUGUCAUAUCCUCCCCACCGAGGAAUGGUUCUUCGUCCUCUGCUGCUUGAGCAAGAGAUGAGGGUGGUGGUGAGGGUGGAGGCUCGGUAUUUGUAGUAGGUUUGGGUUGGGUUGUAUGUUCGGUAUUUGGUGGGGAUUUGGGUGAGUCAGUAGGAACCCCUGUAUCAGAUACAUUGGUUCUUACUUCUGCGGUGGUGGUGGUUGCUUCGGUAAAGAUGGGAGGGGGUACUGGGAUGGAGGUGGAUGGUAUUUGAGUGGUAGAGGUUAUGGGGGGAAUGGAAAAAGGAAUGGUAACGGGUGGAGAAGAGAUAGGUGAAGUGGAAAUGUGAACUUCUGGGGUAGGCGAUUGUGGAGCAGUGUUGCCACGAGGAGACUCAUCAGAGUAUGAAUGAUCUUCCUCAGAUUCGCUUGAGGAGGAAGCGAUUAUCAGCUUUCGCCUUGGUUGGGUUUUUCUCUUCUUUAGCGGAGGAAACUGAACAGCCUGUGUAGUUUUACUCUUCUUGGGAGAAGGGCCUUUCGCUCCCUUGCCAACCUACUUGUCUUUGCCUUUGUCAUUCUUCUUUCCCCUUGNUCUUCUUUCCCCUUGGGGCAGGCUUAUCAGCUUCAUGGAUGGACUUGAUCAUCUCAGGAGUGAGCUCUCUCGGACCAGAGCGACGAAACUCCUUGUAGGUUUGGAUUAUCCGGCUGUCUGCAGGAACAUCUCCAUACAUCGACUCAGGGAUAGAGCCAAUGAAUUGAAACUUGGAUGCGUCGGAGACAAUGAUCUUCGUGGUAUGGAAAGUACCAAUCGAAGACAUUGGAGAACCAGCAACAAUGGGGACGUGGUACUUGUCCAUCACCCAUUGUGUGAUGAGAGUCCAAAAUCGAGCAUAGGAAAUCUCGGAAUGCCGAGAUGUAGAAGACAGACUCUGAAUGAGCUGUUGCCAGAGGACCGACCCGUAGUCCAAGUUGAUACCAUUGUAGACCCCAUAGAGAAGUCUGAUGAAUAGACGACUUGCACCGUCUGAUCCAGCACUGCGUUCAGACAGCCCCUUGAACAGCACUGUAAAUAACCCAUUCCACUGAGGAGGCAGGCACGAUUUCUUGAACUUCGUAACCGUUGUCAGCACCUCAGUAUACCCCAUGUUGUAGAACACAGAGAACAUGUGACCCACCGGAAUCGAUUCAAGGUUAACCCUAGUUGAAUCAGGUUCAAACCCUAAAAUUGAGCAAAACCUCUGCUUGGAGAUUUAUGCCUUGUGAUCGAGCACAUCGAAGAAGAUCCUGUCGACUGCCUUGUCGUAAUGAGCAGUGGCGAAAAUUUGAGGUAAGAACUCCAUAGGAACUGCUUCAACUUUGGUGAUAGUAGGAGCAAUCGGUGAGUACUUGAGGCAUUCGAUUAUCGGGAACAUGAAAGCAUCAUAGACCUGAGGAGUAAGAUCGAUGAUCAAACUCUGUUGGGGACGAAUCGGGAGGAUGUGGGAAGUGGCAUGAACUGAUGAUGAAUCCGCCAUUGUUGUGAAGAAGAUGGGAGAGAUGAUGAACAGUAGAAUACUUGAAGGUUUCUUGCUCUCUGAAAAUAUGGGUGCAGUAAAGAGGUAAACAAUGGUUUACAUUACCUUUUAUACUGUGGGUAGAGGAGAGAGAAGAAUUUGUCCCAAAUCUUCGAGGGAAAUACGAAGGGUUUUUCGUCCAGAAAACGAAAGUGUGAAGGGGCCCACCUCACUCAUCCCAUCUCCCCGGAAGUGAUGGAUGCGUGACAGUUGGUAGCACCGAUGAUUACGCAAGAGAGAGAGUGUCAGUCCUGAUUCACACGCCUUCCCAUCAGGCGCCAUUUUUAAACUAAACGAUUCCACUUCGCACGCCUGGCCUUCAAGCGCCGUUUGAAAAUCAAAUCGAUUGGACUCCCGCCUAAGUCAGCAUCUUAUCCUUUUAGAUUUAAACGUCAUCUUAAAGCAAAAUUGACCAGAUGGAUCAAUAUUAACCACAACUCCCUUAUAACUGCAAAUCCCAUUUAAAAAUUAUGCCUUGUAACUAAUGAAACCAGAAUUUUGGAAAAUCAAAAAGAUUUUCGUGCUUAGUGUGUAAAAGAAAAAGAAAUAAAGCAACACAUAUGAGGGAUUUUGUGAUGUCAGUAAAGACACGAAACAAAGGAUCCCGGGCACGAAUCUCUUCCUUCAAAGUCAAGAGAGACUUUAAAGUGUUUGUAUGGUUUCCCGUUGAAUAACGAUCAGACACUUAUUGAGAAGUGUUGAAAGGCUUCUUUUAAUCAGGCUAAUUUGGGUGGCUUUCGCUUCAAUUCAGAAUUCCUGAUCUUGAUAUAAGACAGAAAUCGAACGAAGUACUUGUGAGACCAAUGCAGUCUGUUGAACAAGUAGGUUUGAAAUAAUUUAAGUGGUUUAGAUAAAAUAGUGUAUGUAAAAUCUUAAUAAAAAUUUAAAACUGGAUUCCAAGGGAAGAAAUGUUAUUGGACUUAACAAUUUCAUAGGAAUCACACAAAAGAAAAUUAGAGAUUUGACUUUCCAUCCUCAUUGAUAAAUCCGUCAAUUCGUUAGUGAAAGCUUAGAGCAAAAUUGAUUGUUCACCGUCAAUGCAUAGUAGGUAUUGAAUUGUGGGUUUCACUUAGUACGUAGUGACACGAAGCUAAGAUCAUAAACACAGAAAUUGUGUAACCAUAAACCUCAGUGGUAAUUUCUGAGAGUCUCAAGGGUUACGUUUAUGAAGCGAAUGAGAUGGAGAAAAGUAAUGUAGAUGGUGUAAAGAAACCAAAGUACCUUUGCUGUUUAAAAUAGGGACCAAGAAGAAAACUCUUAUCUCAUGUGAGAAGAGAGUUAGGUAGCUCAUGAUUAGAAUAAAUAUGAGAGCCUAAUUGGGAAGACAAAGUUUGUUUAUACCAAGUCAGUAAGGCUAUUAUUCAGAAUCAGGUGAGGCUUUAGACACAUACUGCAGCAUGCUUCUAGGGACACUUAACUAAUGAAAUAAUUCCCCACAAAUAUCCACACAAAAAUAUAAGACACAAAACAAAAAUUAUCAAACUAAUAAAAAAAUAUUUUUGGAGUUUUUGAUUAAAAAAAAUAUAAAGAUUUUAGAAUUUUUUAUUUAAAAAAAUUUGAGACAAAAAAAAAAUUUGGACCCGAACCCGAGCGUUCGGUCUAUUUCGGCUAAAAAAAAUUUGGAACCGAACCCGAGUGUUCGGUCUAUUUCGGUUGCAAAAAAAAAAGUUUGAAAAAGAAAAGACUUUGAAAAUAAGUGAAAUGAAUUUGAGAAAAUGAUACAAAAGGUUUACAACCAAAGAAACUACCUUAGAGUGAUAAGCGAAGAUCAGAUGAUAGGACCGAACCCGAGCGUUCGGUUCAUUUCGGCACACAUGAGACCCGAACCCGAACGUUCGGUCUAUUUCGCUUCCAACUUUUAAUUUUGAGAAGUAGUCUUUGGUACUGACUCCGAUUCCAUCAUUCCUAGCCCUUGUAGAAUUUUAUUGAAAGAUGCUUCAGGAAGAGCUUUGGUGAAGAUGUCAGCCAGUUGAUCAGUGGUUCGAACAAAGUGAAUUUCGACGUUCCCAUCUUCCACAUGAUCCUUAAUAAAGUGAUACCUCAGUGCUAUAUGCUUGGUCUUGGAAUGUUGCACUGGGUUAUGACAGAUCCUAAUUGCACUUUCUGAAUCGCAAUAUAGUGGUAUCUUUUUCAUAUUGAGUCCAUAGUCCCGAAGCAGGAUUUGGAUCCAAAUCACUUGAGAUGUACAGGAGGCAGCUGCGAUGUACUCUGCUUCGGCUGUAGACAUAGAUACACAUGUUUGUUUCUUUGAUUGCCAGGUAACCAACUUCCCGUCUAGGAAUUGGCAGCCUCCAGUGGUGCUUUUCCUGUCUAAACCACAACCUCCAAGGUCUGCAUCUGAGUAGGCUUGAACGAAGAAACCUGAGUUUGAUGGAUACCAUAAACCGAGAGAGGUGGUUCGUUUCAGAUACCGGAGUAUGUUUUUCACUGCAAGCAUAUGUGGUUCACGAGGAUUCGCCUGAAANNNNNNNNNNNNNNNNNNNNNNNNNNNNNNNNNNNNNNNNNNNNNNNNNNNNNNNNNNNNNNNNNNNNNNNNNNNNNNNNNNNNNNNNNNNNNNNNNNNNNNNNNNNNNNNNNNNNNNNNNNNNNNNNNNNNNNNNNNNNNNNNNNNNNNNNNNNNNNNNNNNNNNNNNNNNNNNNNNNNNNNNNNNNNNNNNNNNNNNNNNNNNNNNNNNNNNNNNNNNNNNNNNNNNNNNNNNNNNNNNNNNNNNNNNNNNNNNNNNNNNNNNNNNNNNNNNNNNNNNNNNNNNNNNNNNNNNNNNNNNNNNNNNNNNNNNNNNNNNNNNNNNNNNNNNNNNNNNNNNNNNNNNNNNNNNNNNNNNNNNNNNNNNNNNNNNNNNNNNNNNNNNNNNNNNNNNNNNNNNNNNNNNNNNNNNNNNNNNNNNNNNNNNNNNNNNNNNNNNNNNNNNNNNNNNNNNNNNNNNNNNNNNNNNNNNNNNNNNNNNNNNNNNNNNNNNNNNNNNNNNNNNNNNNNNNNNNNNNNNNNNNNNNNNNNNNNNNNNNNNNNNNNNNNNNNNNNNNNNNNNNNNNNNNNNNNNNNNNNNNNNNNNNNNNNNNNNNNNNNNNNNNNNNNNNNNNNNNNNNNNNNNNNNNNNNNNNNNNNNNNNNNNNNNNNNNNNNNNNNNNNNNNNNNNNNNNNNNNNNNNNNNNNNNNNNNNNNNNNNNNNNNNNNNNNNNNNNNNNNNNNNNNNNNNNNNNNNNNNNNNNNNNNNNNNNNNNNNNNNNNNNNNNNNNNNNNNNNNNNNNNNNNNNNNNNNNNNNNNNNNNNNNNNNNNNNNNNNNNNNNNNNNNNNNNNNNNNNNNNNNNNNNNNNNNNNNNNNNNNNNNNNNNNNNNNNNNNNNNNNNNNNNNNNNNNNNNNNNNNNNNNNNNNNNNNNNNNNNNNNNNNNNNNNNNNNNNNNNNNNNNNNNNNNNNNNNNNNNNNNNNNNNNNNNNNNNNNNNNNNNNNNNNNNNNNNNNNNNNNNNNNNNNNNNNNNNNNNNNNNNNNNNNNNNNNNNNNNNNNNNNNNNNNNNNNNNNNNNNNNNNNNNNNNNNNNNNNNNNNNNNNNNNNNNNNNNNNNNNNNNNNNNNNNNNNNNNNNNNNNNNNNNNNNNNNNNNNNNNNNNNNNNNNNNNNNNNNNNNNNNNNNNNNNNNNNNNNNNNNNNNNNNNNNNNNNNNNNNNNNNNNNNNNNNNNNNNNNNNNNNNNNNNNNNNNNNNNNNNNNNNNNNNNNNNNNNNNNNNNNNNNNNNNNNNNNNNNNNNNNNNNNNNNNNNNNNNNNNNNNNNNNNNNNNNNNNNNNNNNNNNNNNNNNNNNNNNNNNNNNNNNNNNNNNNNNNNNNNNNNNNNNNNNNNNNNNNNNNNNNNNNNNNNNNNNNNNNNNNNNNNNNNNNNNNNNNNNNNNNNNNNNNNNNNNNNNNNNNNNNNNNNNNNNNNNNNNNNNNNNNNNNNNNNNNNNNNNNNNNNNNNNNNCUUUCGGGUGCUGUUGAGCUUUCGGGUGCUACUGGAAUAGAAUUCUCCCCCUCAAAUUGUGAGCUCGGUUGUUUUGAAGAAAGUGGAUUCUCCCCCUCAACUGAAGCGCCUUGCUGAGGAGGUUCGUUUGGAACUUGUUCUCCUUCACCCAUUCGUUUGGCGGCAUCUUCGACAAUUUGCUUCAGAUGGUCGACUUUGUUGUUUGCUGCCUUGGCUUCCGAGAGAGUAGCUUUCUCAAGUUCAUCGAAUAAUUCUACAAACUAAUCAAAUAGAUUAGCAAUUGAGGUCGUGACUUGACCUGUUUGAGUGAAAAUCUCUCCAAUUGUUUCUUCAGUAGCUUUUAGCUUUUUGAUGUAGUUAUCAUCGAAAGUCACAUAAUAUGUUUCUUCGAUCUUCCUAGAGCGCUUAUUUAAGACCCGGUAAGCUUUUGAAGUAAGAGAAUAUCCCAGAAAAAUUCCUUCAUCAGCUUUAACGUCAAACUUGUUACGAUGUUCUUUGGAUUUGAAGAUGAAGCAUUGUGAGCCGAACACAUGGAAGAAUUUUACGUUCGGCUUCCUGUUAUUGAUGAUCUCAUAAGGAGUAAGAGAGAAACGCUUGUUGAGAUAAGACUGGUUCUAUGUGAAACACGUUGCAACAAUAGCAUCAGUCCAGAAAUAUAACGGAAGAGAAGCGAAACUUAGCAUCGUUCGGGCCGCCUCACACAAGGAUCGGUUCGUCUUCCGACAAUUCUGUUCUGUUGAGGCGUAUAGGGAGCUGAGAAGUUGUGACUGGUUCCUUUUUCUACUAAAAAGUCUUCAAAUUCUUUGUUGUUGAACUCCAGUCCAUUAUCGCUCCUGAUGUAGCGAACGACUUUUCUCAGUUGCACUUCAACCUGCUUAAUAAACAUUUUUAGCUUAGGAGUAGCCUCAGAUAUGUGCUUCAGAAAGAAUACCCAUGUAAAAUGUGAGAAAUCAUCAACAAUAACAAGAAUAUACUUGCUACCGCCAAUGCUUUCGAUAGAUGAUGGACCACACAAGUCAAUGUGAAGCAACUCAAGUGGUUCAACAACUUUUGUGUUUAUAAUGGAUGGGUGACUUUGACGACUUUGCUUCCCCAUUUCACACGCAGCACACAAAUGUUCUCGAUCAAACUUGAGCAAUGGGAGACCCCGAACAUGACCUCCUGUGACAAGCUUGUUGAUGUCCUUGAAGUUGAGAUGUGAGAGCCUUCGGUGCCACAGCCAGCUUUCGUCAGAAUGAGCUUUGGAUAAUAGGCAUAUAGCUGGAUUACCUUUGAUUGGUUUGAGAUUGAGACGAAACAUUUCGCCUUUGCGUUCUGAUUUGAGAAUUACCCUUUUUGAUUUCUUCUCUAUGAUUUCUGAACCUUCAUCAUCAAAUUAAACUUUGAGACCGGUGCCUCCUACCAGUUGAGACACACUGAUGAGAUUAUGCUGUAGACCUUCAACAUACGCCACCUUUCUUAUUGUGAAGUCUCCAUUGUUUAUCAUCUCAUAGCCCUUUAUCGUUCCAUAAGAAUUGUUGCCGAACUUGACAUUCCCACCAUUCUGAAGAGAUUGAAACUCCCUUAGCUCUUCCUUCCUUCCUGUCAUGUGACGUGAGCAGCCACUGUCAAUGUACCAUUCUUCGUCGAACUGCUCGUCACUUGUAACCUGCAAAAAUUAGGCAGAUUUAGGAACCCAAAGUUUCUUGGGUCCACGUGAGCCUUUCACAGGAACAGGAAUAGUAAGAGAAACAUCAAUAAGAUAUGUUCUUUUUAUUAAUGUUGUUUCAUCUUUUCUUUUAAUGGUAAACACUUUGAUUUUGUUAGGAUUAGCAACAGUGGGUUUGGUUUCAGGUUUUGGUGUUUGGGCUUUAGACUGCUUUCGAUCUUCCUGGACAGAGGAAAUCUUCGAUUUUCCUUUCGGGUUUGUUGAUGAUUUAGAAUUUUGAGCAAGAAUAAAAUUGGGUUUAAAAGAGAAUUGAGAACUAGAAGAAUGUGAACGAGAGAAUUUGGACUUGGAGUCUUUCCUGACUUGAGGUUCUAAGUGACCCGUUUGUUUAUGAUCAUCAGUGGGACCGAACCUGGAUCUUCGGUAGUUGUUGCUUUCGGGACCAAACUUGUCCUUUUGGUUGUCGUUGUUCUUUGAACCGAACCUGUCCUUUCGGUUGCUUAUGCUCUCUGAACCGAACUUGUCCUUUCGGUUCCGUUCCUCAUGCGGCCUAAAAUCCUUUUUCUCUUGCUUUGAGUUCUUAUCGUGAUAGGAGAAAUGGGCGUUUUGAGAUCGCCAAAACUACUUUUGCUCUUAGAGGUUCUUUUUGUAUCUCAGAUUCCUCUGCUGCUUUUGAUCCUUCACUUGUUUUGGCUGUUUAUGGAUGUUAGCCUUUUGCUUUUGCUUCUUGUCAGCCGGAUCAUUUUUCACAGAUGAUGUUUCGCUUGUGGAAGUGACUUCUUCUAUAGGAACCUCCUUUGUACCACUAGUGCUUGGCACAUCGAAGUUGUCAGGCUUGUUUAGUGGUUCUGGUACAUAUCUGCCUUUGGUUUUCCAGGACGUCCGCUCUGACAGACCAACAGUUUCGUCGGCAUUAUCUAUAGGAGCAGACCAGAAAAACUCAUCACAGCCAUCUGCGGUAUCUUCAUUCACUAUGGCAGUGAGUUCGGCUCUUUGAUGCUCGGUUACUCCUGUGACCUUGUACACCUAAUUUGGUGUUGUUCUCACCUUUUGGUACACAACAGCCUUUUCUUCAAGAAUCGGGAACUUAUUUUGGGACAAACGAGUGAACUCCAUAGAAUUUUCAGAAAUAAGAUUUUUGUGGUUUUCGGGUUCGCUCUUGACAAACUCAGAACAGUCGACUACAUCCUCUACAGAAAUUUCACUAAUAUCAUCGUCCUCAUUAAGUUCAGAUGCGUUUUCAACAUCAAUUUUAUUUUCUGAACUUAAAUUGGCACUCAACGAGUCAAAUUUUUGUAUAGUUUCAGUCCUUAGUUUCAGCUUAUCGUUUUCAUCCAAAAGGUUUUUCAGCAUGUCUUUAUGGUCCUUGUACUUUAUGAAAGAUUCUAUUUUGUCCAGACCAUACAUGUAAGUGGGAUUCACAUCAUCAGACGAUACAACACUUUCGCAGUUAUAUGCUUCAGCAUCGAUUUCAUCCUCCUUAAACUCAAGGAAGGGCAAAAUCAUGCGAUGAAUUUUCUGCCCUAUUUCACAAUUCAGAUGUAGUUGAGUGAUGUUAGCAUAAAGUCGUUUAGCAAUCAAACAAAAAACAUUUCUCUGUUUUAAAAGUUUUAAAUUGUCUCUUUGUAAAUAAAUGUUUUCAUCCUUAGACUUUAUCAGCUCCGACUCUUUUUGCUCUAUCCACAUCCUUCGCUCCUCACUCUUGGAAGACACCCUGCUUAUUUGGUCAGUUAGGUUAGAAUUGGUGACCCGUGUUUGAGUUAAACAACUAUCCAGAUUUGAGAUUCUUGAAUUUAAGCUAUUUAAUUCUUUUUCAUAUGAUUUCUGUGGGACUUUGAAUGAAAUAAAGAGAGAUUGUACCUUCUUGAUCAAUUCAUCAAGCUCAUUGAUCUGCACACUGAGAGGUUUUGCUGUGAAGCAUAAGUCCUCUCGCUCCUUGGUGUCCUCGUUUCCACCAUCAGUAUUGUAUCCCCUUAUGUGAGAUACAUCAGUCACCACAAAACACUUUCCACUGCUUUCGUCACCUCUUGCAACAUAUGCCUUUCCAUGUGAAGGCUUUCUCACUUCAUCAUCCUCUGAGUCGGUUGACCAUACCUGCACGCCACCGAACUCGUCAUCCUCUGCCGAACCCUGUACAAUAAGAGCAUUCAUAGAAGGGUUAGUAGCAGCUUUCUUCCUCUUGAUCUCUUCCAGCUUUUUCAUCAAGACAGCCUCUUCAUCUUUUUCCUCAUCUUUCUCUGCCAUUUUCUUCAGAACACAAUCUUUAGCAUAAUGGUUCUUUCCUCCACAGUAAUAGCAGCUAACGCCAGAAUCUCCUUCAACUUUCGCCUCUUUCUUUGGUUCCUCUGUCUUCGGCUCCUCCCUUACCUUUUCAGAACUAUAGCUCCCCUGCCAAUUUCUGUUUUUAUUGGUAGGAAACCUCUUCUUGAUGAACCUCUUGGGAUUGGAUACCAUCAUAGCAUAAUCUUCUGACGUAAGAUCAUAGUCCUCUAGGUUCAGAUCUUCGUCUUCCACUGCAUUCUUGCCUUUUGAUAGGAGGGCCAAGGACCCCAAACUUGAGACCACAUUCUUUUCUUGCAUGACAAUCUUUUCUUGGGAUUUCAGAAUUCCCACCAGCUUUGCCAAUGAAUAUGACUUGAACUGCUCAUGAGCUUUAACUGUAGACACGACAGCUCUCCAUUCAGAUCUUAGGCCAUUCAAAAAGGUGACCUUCUGUUCAAUCAACUUCCUUUCUAUAUCAUGUUUGAUCAUCUUGCUAAGAAGAUGAUUGAAGCGAUCAAACGUCUGUGUGACGGUCUCAUCAGAAUUUUGCUUGAAUUCUCCAAACUCAGACAAAAGCAACGUCUGAAUAGAGUGCUCUAAAUCUUCAUCUGUGGAAUACAGCUCUCGCAACCUAUCCCAGAUUUCUUUAGCGGUACUGCAGGAACUCACCAACCUAAACGUGUCAGAUUGAAGAGCGAAUCGGAUCAGUCUCAAUGCUUUGAUGUUGCACUGAAACUUCUCCUUUUCGUCUUGAGCAACGUCUUUAACAUCUUUUAACAGAUCAUUAUAUUCUUUCUGAGUUUUAAUGAUCUUGGAUGUUCCUGAGUGAGCAAAUGGUCCAGACACAAUGGCUUCCCAAAUAAGAUAUCCAUUAUCUUCAGAUCCGAUGACAUAGUCUUCAAAAUGAUGAGCCCAAACUUCGUAAUCCUGGGUGUAUAGAAUAGGAAUCUUCGUCGUUGAUCCAAUGUUGUUUGAGAUGUUGAUAGGAUUAGAUUGAGAAUCAUCCAUGCUUGAUCGUUUAACCUGUUUGAAAGAUCAGACUUGUAAUAUGUAAUAUUAGAGCAAACGAAUAAAUAAAGAGAUACGUCAAUUAUGGAGUGACGGCUCAAUAAAUAUCAGUUAAUGCGGAAUAACCCUAAUCGCUUCUUUCACAGAAGAGAAGUGUAUGAAUUACACAGCCUCCUGCUCUGAUACCAAUUGAUGAGUUUAUAAAACUCUUUGAUCGAUUAGAUCUUUAAAACAGGCGAAUAAAGAAAGCAAUAACAGUUAAACAAAAACACAAGUAUGGAUCUGAAAGAGUUGAAUGAUUUGAUUAACUCAAUACUCAGCAGAGCUCGAUGAAGAACUUCCGCUGUAGAGGAUUCUAGGGUUACAAAAGAUAAGAACUUGUACGCUAUCAAAUCUCUAUCAAUCUUCCGUUAAGAAUGCAUGCAAGCAUCUAUAUAUAAUAAACCCUAAACAAAACUCACGGAUAGACAGGCCCAUACCGGAGAUAAAACUUGGACUAGCUAACGAGCCCAAAAGACGCAACACUAAACUGGACCUAACAAAAGGACAUACCGUCCGUUUCUGUAAGGCCCCGACCCAGAAUCUCCCUUCAAUCACCAGCACCAAGGUAGACCCAGUAUGCUACUUAUGUGGUGAAACGGGACACUUCAAGAGAGAGUGUCCAACCAAGAAGAAUGAUGGGGGAGCAGGAGGAGUGUGAUGAACACACCAGCAGGAGCAGCAGGGAACCAUAUUAGGACUUUUAAGUACCAUAUGUUUGUAAUGAAUUUGGAAUGCUUGCUAAAGUCACCGUCUUUCUAAAAAGUUGUUAAAAUACUCUCUCGUUCAAAUCAAACCAAAGACAUUCAUAUAUGACCUUAGGAUCAUUACCUGUAAGAUGUGAUGACUUUGUACAUACAUCGGGGUUAAUUAUACUCAAAAUAUUGAAGUCUUGAAACAAAUAAUUCCAUCCUGACUCUUAUUCCAUGUCUAGUAGUAGGAAUUGAGUGGGGCCACCCACUCGACGAUUUCACCAACAUCAACUUACAUACGACGUUCAUAUACCGUUCGAUCAUAGGGAGACCUGUCAGGGAUCAUGAUAUCAAGUAUCAUUACGGGCUAUCGAAACACACCCACUACCAGUGCUAGACACUGUGGUAUGAAUCAUCUACAGUAAUAAUAACAUCAAACAAAACGGAACACACGGAAAAGAAACACAAGAUACUCUAUCACUCUAGUGAUCUCUUCUUACGAAUACAGCUUAACACAUGUUAUCUAAAAAGAUACUGUUGUCAUCAUCCAAUUUUGAUUGAUAUAGCCCUCAUCUUCCCGAUUUAACGACUACAAAAGGACCCUUCACCUAACCCUCCGAAUGUCGAAACCUUCGUCUCUCAUAAACUCCCAGCACGGACCUCCGGGUCAUCUCUCGUUUUGAAACCCCCAAAACACGCACCAGAGGAAAGUUAUACUUCCAGAAACCUUAUCACAAGUAUUUACAGGAGACCUUCGGGAAUGUCACGCAUACAUCAGACAAGGUUCAAGCACAGAAGCUUAGGAUGGAUACGGUUAGUCCCCCUACUACNNNNNNNNNNNNNNNNNNNNNNNNNNNNNNNNNNNNNNNNNNNNNNNNNNNNNNNNNNNNNNNNNNNNNGACAUUGGAUGUGUGCUUCCGCCCUAUUUCCUGUUCCAUGUCUGGUUGUGGACUUGAGGCAGAGUCACCCAUCCAACUGUCUUGCCAAUCUUAAGCACAUACGACCUAUAUGCGCAAGUUAAUAAUAGAUGGACCAGGUACGAGUCCUGCCAUGAACUUCGGGCCGAGGUUAGGAGGACGAGUGAAUGUCCUACCAUCCGAAUAAGUCUAGUCGCGUAAACCAAACCCACAUGCUUCCUACUGAGAUACAAGAACUGUCAGGUCAAACCUGUCGAACUACUCAACAAUGAAAUUGAGGAACCAAGCUUCUCACCCUGAAGAGCUCUGGUCUUAUUCUUCAAAUAGAAAGGCAGAUUGCUCGUAGUUCCAUCGACUUCAGAGGCCCCGACAAUAUCUCCAGUAGAAACCUUUACUAUCUACCUCGCAUAGAUGAAUAGGCCGACCAACCGCGAGGAACGAAGUACCCUUCAGGAAUUGGACCUGAGAUCUAAAUAUCACCAAUCGCAAGUAUUGGAGAAGGAUGUCCGAGGACAAUCCUCCAAAUUCAAUGCGGACGCUGCAAGUCCGUAGUGAUACCCCUCGGAUAGGACCAACCCGCUCACAGUAUUCAUAGGAUAUGCCAUUCUUACUAGGAUCCGUUAGUCNGAAACAAUACGAUCAAAGAAACCUUACCUGAAGUUCUUUAGAUACGAGUUCUGGAAUUGAAGAGUCAAAUUCCUAAGACACACUACUAUUGAUGUGGAAAUUCUUGAGGACCCUUUCAAUUAAUCAAAACCAUUAAGAGAUUGUCAGCACCAAAGGCGUCGACGGGAACACGCCGAAAUUCUGGGUCUCGCUGACCUACCGUCUUAGUCCCUAGAGAACUUCUCGUAAAUUACGGAACCCCCUUAAGACUUUGACCCGGAAGGGAGCAACCCUUGACUGGGAAGAGAAGCAAGAGGGAGAAACCUUUAGAACUCCAGAAUAAGAGACCAAAUUCCUUUGAAAGCCUCACUAUGGGAAGGCUUAGUACGCUUCGGAAAGCGUGGAAAGCCAAAACCCCAGAUAAUUAUCUCUUUCGAUAUUCUUGUCAGAAUCAGCCCUGUAACUCGCUACUUCAAUCUACUUCCGCGAGCUUGGUAAAGUACAUUCUACCCGAUACGUAUCGAACUUGCAAAAGUAUCUAUCCGAUGAGACUCUUGUAAUCCCCCUCGAUGAGAUCGAAUUCCACAAGAGCCUCACCUUUGUGGAAGAAACGUAGUCACCGUGGACCAAGAGGUCAAGCGAAUGCAGCAACGCCGCUUUCCAUUAGUGAAAGUUCGCUGGAAUACUAACCAAGGGUCUGGAGUCACUUGGGAGCACGAGAAUCAGUCAAUUAGGAAGUAUCCUCACUUCUUGGCUCGAUUGUUCAUGCCUACUCCUUGCCUAAAUUCCAAUUGCGGGACGAAAUUCCCUCUAACGGGGGGAUGAUGUGACAACCGUCAAUUUCCGGUCAAGUCAAAGUCAACUGAAGUAAAAAAGUCAAACCAUUCGACUCAAUUUGCCCGUGGGUACUAGAGUUUACGUUAUGUAAUUUCUAAACAACUCGCUAUUCUAAUGAGAGAUCAUAAAUCAAAAAGUGCAUACAUCUAGAUCUCUUCAACCUAAAACUGUGGUACAUGGCGAGCCAAACCGAUAAAACAAUGUUGCAUACUCAUCGGGAGUGUGUAAGAUCCUUAAACAAGACUUAACAGGGUUUACGGACCUUGCAUUGCGAAGCUGGACUCUCACAUUUGUCACACACGAAGCCUCUCUCUAUCGUUUUCACUCUAUCUCACUUUAAUCGAGAAUCUCUCCCAAAUCUCUCCAAGUAUGUCAAAUCUCUCCCAAAUCUCUCUCCAUAUGUGAAAUCUCUCCUAAAUCUCUCUUUGUAUGAUAAAUCUCUCCAAGAAUGUGGAAUCUCUCCCAAAUCUCUCUUUGUAUGAGAAAUCUCUCCAAGAAUGUGGAAAUCUUUCCCAAAUCUCUCUAAGAAUAUGAAAUCUCUCCCAAAUCUCUCUAAGUAUGUGAAAUCUCUCCCAAAUAUCUCUUUGUAUGAGAAAUCUCUCCAAGAAUGUGAAAUCUCUCCCAAAUCUCUCUAAGUAUGUGAAAUCUCUCCCAAAUAUCUCUUUGUAUGAGAAAUCUCUCCAAGAAUGUCAAAUCUCUCCCAAAUCUCUCUAAGUAUGUGAAAUCUCUCCCAAAUCUCUCUCAAAAGUUCCUUAAACUUUUUGUAGUCUUUCGGGCCAUCCCGACCCUUAACCGGGUCAAAAACCGCUUAAAACGGGGCAAAAACGGACAAAAAGGGCUUAAGGACCCGAAACCUCUCUUAGGACCCGAAAGUCCUCUUAGGGACCGAAACCAAGAAGACCCGAACCCGAAGGUCCUCUCAGGGCCGAACCUCGCUCAAGAGAACCGAACCCGAAGGGUCCUCUCGGGCCCGAACCUCGCAUGCCACACCCGAACCCGAACCUUCGGUCCAUUUCGGAUUCUGAUGCCUUCGGACCGAGCCUUCGCUUCUCGCUUCCUCGCCUCCCUUCGUUUCGGACCUAGCCUCAGGAGGACCGAACCUCCGACCCCUUUCCGAGAAGCCUCGCUGGAAGUGCUUUUCUUCCCGGUUUUCGACUACGACUUCAUUUUAGCUUCGUUUUUAAUUAUUUUAACGCGGGAUUUUCACCCAAAACUUUAUUUUAACAUAUAAGGCCCCAUAUUUAUUAAUUAUCCACGUUUUUGGGGAUAAACCUUAUCCAAGAAGAGUGGGUGAAGUACAAGAGGUGGAGUGUUGACUUUCCUUUAUUCUAUGACACAAGCAACCACUCCCAUACCCACUCCAUGUCACUAUUCACCAUCAGCCCAUCCCUAGUCACUUCAUAAGUCCUUUCUCAUUAUUUCCAGCCAUUUCCCACGUUCUUAGAGCUGGAACAUCCACCCUCUCUCCUCACACUUCAUUCAUUCUCUCAUUUUUCCACCAAGAAUCACACUCCAAACUCUCUCAUCUUUCUCUCUCAAAUUCGAGAACUUCAAGGCAUACUCCAAGACUUUUCUCCUUCAUUUAGUAAGUAUCAUCAUCUUUCUUAUGAUUAUUACACAUCCUCCUACUCAAAAUCAUAGAUUGCUUACACAAACAUCAUCACAUUCUUGUUAGAUCUUCGAAUCUUCAAGUGAUUCUUCAAGUGUUCUUGGGUUGAACACUUCUCUUCUUCAACACUUAUCUACUGAAAUCACUCAAGGUGAGUUCAUACCCCUACAUUUUCAUGUUUUCUCAAGUUUUUAGGGGGGGAAUACAAGUUAAAACACCAAGAACAUAACUAAACUUUUCUAACAGCCUUCAUCAGAAAAGUUCAACUCCAUUCACGACCUGUUUUGGACAACUUAAACAUUUUUGUUUUCAAAACUGUUUUCGUUAUAAGUAGUUCCAGUUCUUAGCUUUAAAAUGACUACUUGCACAUCUCCAUACGAUUUUUCUACAAUUUAUGGUGAUUUUUACAAAACUGCCUAUCAUUUCAAACACCAAUCCGGACCAGUCUGUGAUUAUGGACUUUUUCACCCAAGUUGGAGGUCAUUAAAAAUCAUGAUAAAAAUUAUGAGUAAACUAGAAACAUUUUGGGAACACUCAGAAUUUACGGAUUUAGUUUUCGACUUCGUAUGAUUUUUCUAUGACUUUUCUAAAACAGCACAGAAAGUCUAAAUUUAGUUAACAGCAUAUAAAUUUCAUAACACUUAGUAUUAUGUUGAGCAAAGUGUAUAACAAUAAGUUCUAAAUAUUGAAUGUGUUUCCUUGUUAGUUUAACAUCGUAAACUGAAACUUAGUCAUUCAUGAUAACAAUACUCAUUCAUUUAGAACACGUAUAUUAAGCUAUAAUAAGCAUAGUUUAUGGAUUCAUAACACUAAUGCAUUUUCACAAAAGAGUUCUUAUACAUUACAAACGUUUUGGAUAAACUAUAAUAGGUAUAGUUUAUGAUUCUUCACAUAACACACUCGUACAAAAGGGCACAUUCAUACAAAAAGGUUCUACAGUCGCACACACUACACGUAAACUUGUUAACUCAGAUUGUGAGACUAUCUCUCCCCGUACGUCCGAGUACGGGAUCCAAAUUCCUGUAAGUUAUAACCAAAAUCUCUUGUAGGGAGAGCGUGAUAAUUGUGUAUAGAUCUAUAUUGGGGUUGACAUCCCACACCUCGCUGCUAGCUACAGCCGGACCGGCAGGUCUGCGGGUGACAAGAGUCAUAGGAUCAGGGCGUCUAAAAGACGUUGUGCAGGUUACCUCUAGUCAUAGUAUGGUUAUAGCGGCUCACAUAGGAAGCUAACAAUACAUAAAGUUUACGGGAUUUUUAUAAAACAAAAGGGGUUUUAUGUCGAUUUAAAAUCACUUUUUAUAUCAAUAAGUACAGAUAUUACUGUACACCUUCGGUUUUGGUAUUUAUGACUACAUAUAUUUUGAAACCACUUUUAUAUCUUUAAUUAUGACAAAUACUUGUUCAUUUUCGGUCCUGGUAUUUAGGACAACAUAACUCUUAUAAGGAAAAUAUUGGAUUUUUCUUAGUAACAUACAUCUCUCUACAAAGAUCAAUUUUCAAACUCUUACUGUCAAAAGCUUAUGAACUCACCAACCUUUGUGUUGACACUUUUUAAAACCACUUGUAUUCUCAGGAAUUCAGUGAAAACAGGUAAUCNCAGUGAAAACAGGAAAUCAACAACGUUUUGAGGAUGGAACGAUAAAUCGUCAAACAGUUCAUUUUGUAUCAUAAUGUAAUUGAUUUGAAUCAUGUAAACAUAUACUUUGGUGUAACUUUUUCAAUUAUAUUUAUGAUGGUUGUAUUUACUUUGAGCACUAUUAUACUCGUUGUUGUGAUACUCUACAUGAAGUCCUCCACCCCCAACGUUUCCGCCAUCCUUGGUUUGGGGGUGUGACAUAUUUGCAUGUAAAUCGAGGUAAUAUGAGUGAGAGAAGAGUGAAUUAGCAACCUUGGCCGGCUGUCCCUUCAAUUCUAUUUAUAGGGUGAAAAUUUGACAUUUAGGUCGUGAACCGGGGUUGUUCACGUCGUGACUUUUGAUCCUGAUCAUCCCCUAGGCUUGCCGUGUGUCUUCUAGGCUCGAAACGCGUCGUUCACUGAGUCACGUCGUGAACCCUGUGUUCACGUCGUGAAUGCAGUCAAAUUCUCGAAGUUUGUGCUCCAAACUUCCGAAAUUCAAAUCUUUCGCAUACGAACUCCGUUUUUGACGUUUUUUAUAUCCAGCAUAGUGAAAUUAUGCUCUACAACUUUCGUUUAGACUCCAUCGGCUAAUUUUGACUUUAUUUUUAAUAUUAUAUUAAUAUUAUAUUUUUAACGGGUCAGCUAAGGAAAAGUCCGUUAAAAAUCCAAUAAAUCAACAGAUGUGUGUUUUUUGUGAUUGUAUGUUUUUGUAUAAAUUUUUUGGUUAAUGUCACUUGAGACAAAGGGAAAGAUUUGAUAUAGCAGAAGUUAAUGGGGGCAAUUAGUUUGUAGAAUGUUAUUAGAAGGAAAGGAAUCUAUCAAGGAAAUUGGAAUGUAAAGGAAUCAUAAUGUGUCCCUAGGAAGGGAAUUUAAUAAAAAAAAAUUAAAUACUUUUUUUUGUGUAUAUUAAAUGUUUUUUUGGUUAGUUAUUAAAACAUAUAGUACUAUUUUUAAUAUAUAUUUAUUUCAAUAUAUAUAACAAGAAUACUUUGGUCUAUUAAUAAAAACGAAACAUGUGAAGAUUUUCAGUAGUGUUUGGUAUUUAAUAAUUGAAGUGGGGAUGGAAUUGAGUGUUACGGUGAAUAAAAAAAAACAUAUUUAUAAUUAUAAAUUACCUUCUUCAUACAUAGUCUUCAAUAAUAAUAGUAUUUAUUAAAAAAAACAAAACUUCAAAAUAAAUAGUUUUCGUUCUUUCUUCUAAAACAACUAUACAAUUUUUCUAAUUUCUAUUUUUGUAAACAGUUUUUUUAAAGUCAUAAAUAAAAUUUUAUCGUCUCUUUGAAAUACAUAUAUUGUGUAUUUCAAACAACAUGAUAUAUAACCAUAUGCAAUUUAUUUUAGCUAUAUAUGUGUCUUAUUUCAUUAAAUUGCAUUUCUAUAACAUAACAUUCUUUGUUUAUUUGUCAAUCUAAUUUCAGUUACUUUUCUAACUGUACAUAACAAAGUAACAAACAACAUGUUCAAGUUAAGGUCUAUGGUUUUGAUUCUUAUUUAUUGCACUGUUUAUAUAGAAUUAGUGAUAAGUAAGUGUAUUGAUUAAGAAAUGUGUAUAUUAUGUUAUCAUAGUAUCUGAUGCAUUUCUUAUUAGAUUGAAGGUGUCGAUGAAUAUAUUAUUAUGGGCUUACUAAUGCUCACUGGGACAUGAAUGAUUAGAGUCAAACAAAGGUACACACGAUGAAAUUACAUUUUUUGUUCCUCACAUAUACUUUCACUUUCUUAAAAUAAGGUUAGUUAUUUAGUUUUUUUAUAAUUUACGAAGAAUAUGAAGAAGAAUGCCUGAAACACCACAAGUCAUUAGCCUUGGUAUCUGAAGCUGGAACAGAUCGUUAGGCAGGCAUGUAGCAAAGAAACUACUUUUUAACUUCACACACUCUUCAAAUCCAGUAGCAUUGUUAAUAUUGGAGUUACUGGCCUUAAAUCAAGGAUUGAAUAUGUUGGGUUGCACUUUAAGCUUUUGUAUAAAAAAUCAACGUGCAUUCUAUUUAUAUUUUAAAGUUUGCAUACUUAAAUUAGUGUUUCAUAGUCAUACAUAAUUUCUUUUCUUAUUAAUAUAGACAAUUUCGAAUUAAUAGAAGCAAUGAAAAACUCUAUUUUAUGUUAAUUGAAGCCAAAGAGACCAAUCUUGUCAUCUGUUUUGGGUUGCACUUUAAGCUUUUGUAUAAAAAAUCAACGUGCAUUCUAUUUAUAUUUUAAAGUUUGCAUACUUAAAUUAGUGUUUCAUAGUCAUACAUAAUUUCUUUUCUUAUUAAUAUAGACAAUUUCGAAUUAAUAGAAGCAAUGAAAAACUCUAUUUUAUGUUAAUUGAAGCCAAAGAGACCAAUCUUGUCAUCUGUUUGAAUUUAUCCAUAUUUUACGGGAUUUUAUCCAUAGNNNNNNNNNNNNNNNNNNNNNNNNNNNNNNNNNNNNNNNNNNNNNNNNNNNNNNNNNNNNNNNNNNNNNNNNNNNNNNNNNNNNNNNNNNNNNNNNNNNNNNNNNNNNNNNNNNNNNNNNNNNNNNNNNNNNNNNNNNNNNNNNNNNNNNNNNNNNNNNNNNNNNNNNNNNNNNNNNNNNNNNNNNNNNNNNNNNNNNNNNNNNNNNNNNNNNNNNNNNNNNNNNNNNNNNNNNNNNNNNNNNNNNNNNNNNNNNNNNNNNNNNNNNNNNNNNNNNNNNNNNNNNNNNNNNNNNNNNNNNNNNNNNNNNNNNNNNNNNNNNNNNNNNNNNNNNNNNNNNNNNNNNNNNNNNNUAUAUAUAUAUAUAUAUAUAUAUAUAAUAAAAGAAUAGUUUUAUUCUCCUUUUGACAUGUGUCAUCUUAUUAGGCCUUUUAAUUAAUGCAUAUUUUAUUCUCCUUUUACCAUGUGUCACCAUAUUAUAUCUCUUAAUUAUUGCAUGUCAUUUGUAACCUAUUAUUUUUCCUUUUCAAAUUUCAAAUUUUAAAUUUCUCACUCUAAUUACUUUAAAUUAAUAACAUUAGAAUAAAUAUUAAAUAAACUUAAUACAAAUUCAUAUAAUUUCACAUAUUUAUUUAAUAAUUUUUAAUUUUUAUUUUAAGAGUUUAAUUAAUUGUAUAACCGUGGUUCCCACGGGUUAUAAACUAGUAUAUNNNNNNNNNNNNNNNNNNNNNNNNNNNNNNNNNNNNNNNNNNNNNNNNNNNNNNNNNNNNNNNNNNNNNNNNNNNNNNNNNNNNNNNNNNNNNNNNNNNNNNNNNNNNNNNNNNNNNNNNNNNNNNNNNNNNNNNNNNNNNNNNNNNNNNNNNNNNNNNNNNNNNNNNNNNNNNNNNNNNNNNNNNNNNNNNNNNNNNNNNNNNNNNNNNNNNNNNNNNNNNNNNNNNNNNNNNNNNNNNNNNNNNNNNNNNNNNNNNNNNNNNNNNNNNNNNNNNNNNNNNNNNNNNNNNNNNNNNNNNNNNNNNNNNNNNNNNNNNNNNNNNNNNNNNNNNNNNNNNNNNNNNNNNNNNNNNNNNNNNNNNNNNNNNNNNNNNNNNNNNNNNNNNNNNNNNNNNNNNNNNNNNNNNNNNNNNNNNNNNNNNNNNNNNNNNNNNNNNNNNNNNNNNNNNNNNNNNNNNNNNNNNNNNNNNNNNNNNNNNNNNNNNNNNNNNNNNNNNNNNNNNNNNNNNNNNNNNNNNNNNNNNNNNNNNNNNNNNNNNNNNNNNNNNNNNNNNNNNNNNNNNNNNNNNNNNNNNNNNNNNNNNNNNNNNNNNNNNNNNNNNNNNNNNNNNNNNNNNNNNNNNNNNNNNNNNNNNNNNNNNNNNNNNNNNNNNNNNNNNNNNNNNNNNNNNNNNNNNNNNNNNNNNNNNNNNNNNNNNNNNNNNNNNNNNNNNNNNNNNNNNNNNNNNNNNNNNNNNNNNNNNNNNNNNNNNNNNNNNNNNNNNNNNNNNNNNNNNNNNNNNNNNNNNNNNNNNNNNNNNNNNNNNNNAUAUAUAUAUACUAGCCGUUUACCCGCGCCAAGCUACGGGUUCAAAUAGUUUCUUUCAGAAAUUAGAUUAUAUAGACUAAUAGUUUUUUUUUUCAUAAAUAGUUUACAACAUCUAAUAAGUCAAUACACCCUGAGAGAUAUUCUACUGAAAUAAUUGUGUUUCUGAUUUUUAUAUAUAAAUUUUAUUUCGGAACAUAACGUAAUUUUUUUCUUACCAUGAACGAAUAUUGUUAUUCCCUAGAGUGUGGAUAGUUCGAUUUUUACUAAAACUAAACCGAAGUUGAACAUUUUUUUUUGAAUUUGGGUAUACAAAAUUAUCAGCUUUCGGUUUCGGUUUCUUGUUUUUUCUAUAAUUUAUUAUAGAGUUGUAAUGUUUUUGUAGUCACAUACAUCGUUUAUAAACUCACAUCAUAAUAUGCUUAUGUUUUUUCAAUAUAAGUCACGAAAUAAUUAGUGAAUAUCCAAGUGAGAGCACCACAAGUAUGUGAAUAUCCAUGUGACAACGACCACAACCUGCAAAAAAAUAUAAAUUAAAAGUCAUCGGUCAGCACUUCAAAUGAAAUAAAUAGUAACCAUAACAGAAAAAUGAAUAUAUUAUAUGAAGGAAAGGGCAAAAUGACCCAUAUUUCAACAAACCUAUCAAAAGACUAUGAUAUCAACAUAAAGAGAAAAAUUGUCCAAAGCAGGGCUAAAGUGCAGGCUGACUAUUCUAAAGCCUAUGAUAUAAUACACAUUUUGGUCAAAGGCGACAUUAACAUUGUACUCAUGUUACGUUUUGGCGAAAGGUUUCAAAGUACAUUUUCUAGGAAAAAUAAGCAACAUAAACAUAAUGCCUAACUUCUAGGUCAAAUAAACUCUCACGUGAAAUGCACCAUGUCCCAUAUUAGUGUGUAAAUGACAUCAACAUCAGCAACAAAUUACAUUUGAAGAAUAUUCUGUACAACUUAAAAAAAAAAAAAAAAAAAAAAAAAAAAAAAANAAAAAAAAAAAAAAAAAAAAAAAAAAAAAAAAAAAAAAAAAAAGUUAGACUACUCAUUCCUCAGAGGAAGUUGUAUCAUUAUGGUUCAAAUGACACAACAAUAUAAAAUCAGCUCCUUAGCCUUUUCAAUCAAAUAUGUCAUAUCACAUAUAUACAUCUGAUGUCAUAAAAGUUUUAAAUUUAUUUGAUAAAUGCACACAUGUAACAUAAUUGCCACAGGUUAAAAUAACAUGAAUGCAAGAAAAUAUUGUAUAAAAACACACCUGGUAUAAGCAUAAACCCAUAAACCCCUGGAUUUUCAUGCAUAACUUUUCAAUUUUCAAGCAUCCCAAAACCUGCUACAAAUUUAAAGUAUGAUGUUAUUAGUCCACAUUCAAAAAUCAAAACUAAAUUAAAAAUCACCAAUUUUCUAUCAGUCCAACAUUAAAGUAGGAUGCUAGAGCAUAAAUCCAAAUUUUCUAUGGGCCAAAACCGAAAACAUCAUUAAUCCAUCUAGACAAUAAGUGGACUUUCUACUUCUUCUUCAGAUCCAUGUUCCUCUUCAGGAGUCUAUAGAAUGGUAUGGCUAAUUCUAACAAACAACAUUAAUCCAUCUAGAAUACAUAAAGUUGAACAUUAAAAAGCAAUUCAACAUAAAUACUAAGAAAAAAACUCAAAUAAUAUAAUAUAAAUCAAAUCUUUAUAUGAAUAAUAAAUUAAAUUUAUGGAGGAGGUGAAGGAUAUGUAUAAAAUUUCACAGAAAGACAUCGGAUUUUAUUGCCACCCGGAAAUUCUACUACAUACUUGAUAUAUAAAAAAAAUCAAAAACUAUUUAUAACUACUAUAUAAAGUUUAAUGUUCACAUGUUAGAUUAAAAUAUGAGGUAAAGUUCAGGUUAUGCUGACAUUAAUAUCAACAUCAAGCCUGGAAAGCUUCAUGGCACCCAAAUCUCAUGCCUUGUAUCAAGAAAAAAUAAGAACCUACAAUAAGGCAAAAGACACUACCAAGAAACUAUGAGUAAUAUUCCCUUUAACUUUUAAAACUAUGGACAAACAUAUAGAUUAAUAGAUUACCAGUUUUUCCUGUUUAUAAAAACUUCUUGAGCAUUUUUUACUCUAGUUAGGAAGUUUCUACGUAUCCCAUCUGCUAUGGUCAUUCUGGUUCCAAAAAAAAAUACAUGUAACCAACAAUAUGUUAAUAACUGAAUCUAGAAAAAUGGAGAGGAAGUAAAUAAUAUUGUUAUUCAUGUUCAAUAAAAGUAUAUGAUGGUUAACCAAACACACGCAAUAUGGACUAUUUAUCACAUAUAUAGUUAAAAACACACACAUAAAGCUAGAAUGACGAUUUAGACAGGGAAGAAAAAGAUGGGCAAAAAGGAAAAAGAAACACAAACCUGUUAUAAUUGUUAUUUGAGCUGCUAUUUAGGGUUGGCGAGUGGUGAACGUCGAACCUAUAAGAAAAUUCAUCAACAUAACCACAAAGAAAACUCAUCAAAAGAAAAACCUCAGACACAUCACUUAUGCUCGGAUCUGCCAAAAAAAAUUUAAAAUCGUCAACAAAAUCACAAAUAAUUAAAGAAAUGGAAAAAUAUUGUUUUAUCCUAACCAAUAAUUUAAAAAUGCAUGAACCUUAGUAUGGGAAGUUGAUGGCAGUAACAAAAAAAAUCAUAUUGUUGUAAAAAUAUCAAAAUUUGAUCAUGUGAACCAGUAAAAGUCAUAGGUUGUAACCAAAAAUCCGAAUCAAAACAUCAAUUAGACACAACCUGAAAUUGAUCUUAACAUAAGAGAUACACCUAACCUGCAAUCGAUCAAAACAUAAAUAAGACAAAACAUGAAGAGUGAACAUACAAAUUAAUAUGCCGUGAAAUACAAAACAUUCAAAGUACCUGUCACAUAGAAAAUUUAAAGAUGUGUAAGAUAACCUAACCUACAAUCGGUCAAAGCAUAAGAGAGAGCAUGAGUGACGGUGGUCUAUGUUUGCGCGUAGAGAAACACACACAUAGAAAGAGAGAGAGAGAGAGAGAGAGAGAGAGAGAGAGAGAGAUGGUUAUUGAUGGUUUAGGAAUGGUGGCCAUAGUCUACAUCUUCCACUGGUGGGUGUUAACGGAAGCACCUCCAUCGAGUUAAGAGACGACAUUGAUUUUUGUGUUCUAGGGUUUCUAGAGAGAAAUUAUAGAGAUGAACAAAGUUAAUCAUCAUAUAAAGAGAUGGGGCUGAGAUAAUUGGAAAUUUUGGGAUUCUAAGUUAAUGUAACUAUAUUCCUUAUGAAUCGUUCUUGUGAUACGAAUUUGUUGACUAACUAUGAUUUAGGGAAUUCAAAUGUAAAAGAAAGAUCGGGUCAAGAUAAGAUAAGAAAGAUGGGAAUCGAAUACACACGAAUUAAGGUGAUAUUGAUAUCGAUUUUCAGGGUGGAUCUACAAGGUGGGUGUCUGAUGGAGGAGAAGAUGACGAUUAUUCUUAGAGAGAAGAGGGAUGGAGAGGAAGGAAUCAUGGCUUGCUGCAAUGUUUGACAAAAGCAAGAAGCAAGAACCCAGUAAGUUCUAUUUUUAAGAGAGAGUGUGUGUGUGAGGUUUAUUGGGAUGACGUAUGGGGAAAAUAGAAUCGGUGGUACAUAUAACAAAAUAAGGGAACGCAUGCUAGAAUUGAUGGAUAUCAGCAGAAAUAUCAUGAUUCAACAUUGACUCCAUAAGGGAUUAAAGGGGCUAAGUCAAAAGCGGAAGAGAUAAGAGCGGGAGACCUAUUCAAAAUAUGCCUAAUUUAAUACUUGUUUGACCUGAUAAGUUUCAUUAUUUUUCUAAUGCAUAAAAUGAUUGUAAAUAACGCAUUAUAGUUUUGUACGACUUAAUUUUCAGCGUUUGACCAAAGAUGCUUUAUAAGGUAAAAUAGAUAUAUAUAUAUAUANNNNNNNNNNNNNNNNNNNNNNNNNNNNNNNNNNNNNNNNNNNNNNNNNNNNNNNNNNNNNNNNNNUAUAUAUAAUCAUUUCCAAUAAUUUAUUAAUUUUUUUCAACUUAUAUUAAUCUUUGUUGCAAGCUCAGUUGGAAGGGAGUUCUUCUACCAGGCUGUGAGUUUACCGAAAUAAAUUUGUUCAAAAUUAUUUAAUAAUAUUUUUUAGUUUCUUGAUCUUUGUUUACCAAAUGUGUAGGAUGCAUCGACUGAUGUGUUCUUAAGGGGGAUGAUCUUGUAACAAAUGCGCAUGGAAUGUUUAAAUAUGCACCAGAUUAACACAAUUUGCAACCUUUGUAAACCAUCUAUCAUGAAUUGUCACUAUCUAGGAUCUGAAUCUACUGAUUUUAUCUGUCUAUUUCUCGAUGGAUGUUUUCGUAACAAAUCCCGCAACGCGGGACUCUUCCCUAUUUAAAUCUAAAUAUUAACUAAAUGUUUUUUUAAUCAUAUAGUUACUAUUUAAACAUUUGAUAAUCAAUUAAAUAUCAGUUAAAUCUUUUAAAUCCUAAUUAAUUUUUUUGGUUCAUAUUAUUAUUUAUAAAAAAAUAUAUAAUCUGAUGCGAAACACAAGUACAACUUAAUCCUAUAUAACGAAAGACUAACAUCAUUAAGAAUGAAACUUUUGGGUCGUUACAUUUCUACCCUCCUUAAAAAGAUUCCGUCCUCAGAAUCUCUAAAUAAUUAAAUCAUUUAGUUCCUAGGUUGCCUCAUGAAGUUAUACUCCUAAAAUGAAUUAAUAUCCAAAGAAAAGUGGGUUCACCAAAAGAGAUAUCACACAUAUCAAACAUUUCUCGUGUUGUGACUGGUUUAAACAUAGUUACAACAAUAUCUAACUUCGGAACCCUUGAAGUCCGUAGUAUACCACAAAUGAGCAUAUAAAUUCAAUGAUAUCAAAUAUUUACUAGUAUUAGCAUCAGAUAACACAACAUCAUAGAUAACACACAAGCACAGAUAACACAUACGCAUGUAUAGAAAGAACUAAGAGAGUUCUGAAAAUUACCUCAUCAUUGUGUCAAGCCUCGUUUGUUGUCAUAUUGAAUGCACGUGCUUUUGCCUUAGGCACCUCAUCUUUCUUUCCACCAGCGUCCAUUUGGACCUUGGGAUUGGGACACUGGCCACUGAUAGACCCAUUUGAAAGCAGUUAUAGCACAUUAGCUCAGUACUCUUACAAUCCUCAUGAUGAUGUCCUAUUUUACAACAACGUCUACAACUCACGGUACUACUGUUGCAUGGACCUCUAUGUGAAUAGUGACAUUUCUUGCAAUACUCUGGUUUGUCACUCUGUUUCUUAUGGUGACUCUUCUUCUUUACGGAAUCAGAUGAAGUCUCCCACUUGUGCUUUUCCUCAGACCUCAUUGUGCUACGAAUCCCAAUGGCUAGAUCAUUCUCUAUCUUGCGGGCCUCAUCCAUGGCCUCGACUAAAGUGGUCUUCAAUCUCACAAAUGCACGAUACUCAAAUGGCAACCCCUCCACAUAGUGACGAAUCAACUUCUCCUCGGUCGGGCAGUAAUCAGUAGCGAACUGUGACUUCUCAGUGAAGGUAGUGUUAUACUUAUCAAUUGUCAUGCUACCUUUCUACAAAGUCAAAAACUCUCGUUGGGCCUGUUGUAUGCUACCUUCACUGCAUAAAUGAUCUUUCACCUUCUCACUAAGAAUCACCUAAUUCAUAGCCCUUCGAGUGGCCUCAGUGAGUCGUGCGUCAAUAGUGUCCCACCACUCGAGUGCUUUUUUGUCAAACAUUCGCACAACAUAGUUCACCUUCUGGUCCUCAGUAAAUUCACCAGAUCGGAAGGUUUGGUCCAUCUUCCUAAUCCAACGAAGGCACGCCACAACACUCUCUCCUCCAUCAAAGGUAGGUGGCUUACAGUCCAUGAAGGUUUUGAAUGAACUCCCUCGGUGUCUGACAGCUCCAACGAACUCCUGCCUUGGCACGAAACGACUAUGUGCCUCGUCAUCAAAUGAUUGAUCUCCACCCUUGUUGUCCCCCUCAAGUGGCAAUAGUCCGCCGGAAUGCAUCGCCUGCCGCAUUUGCUCCAACGUCCUAUCCUGCUCCUGGAGCUGCACCUGAAGGUCAGCAAUGAUGGCGGCACUCACUGUGCUGCGUGCGCUCUACGACGGUUAGGCUCGUGGCUGGCGGUUAAUGGGUGGGGUCUGAAACAUGAAUGGAGGUGUCCCGGGAGUGCGUUUGUUCUGGUUGCCGCCCGCUCCUCCAGCAUUCAUAUUCUCCUCAGCGUUCGACAUUCUCCUCAACACACACCUACCCCCCUUAAGUACCUAAAAGUCCUAAUUAAGCCAACCAAACUGUGAGUCUGAACACCGUCAUUUGUAUUCAGUUCACUCACAGCAUGACCCUGAUACCAUCUUGUAACGUCAUGAUUUUUGCUCAAUUUUUUUACAUUUAUUCUAAACUAGUUAUGAGACCCGUAUAUUAUACAGGUUAAUUAAAACAAAAUGUUAAUAUAAAUGAUCAAAUGAAAAUUUUAUUUGAAUUUGAAAUUUAAAAUAAAUGAAAAUUAUGAGAAAAAAACAUGCAAAAAAUAAAUAAAUUAAAAUUAUGUGUUUAGUUAUCAAAUUUGUAUACCAAAUGGGUAAAUUAUAGCAAAAUGUUAAACACAAAGGUUUAAACUUUAAAUUUAUUUAAAAUUGAAAUUAAAAUUUAAAAUUUGAAAUUUGAAAUUAAUAGUCAUUAUGGUAGGUUUAAUUUAUGGAAACUAAAUUAAUGAUAUAUUGGAAAUGAAAAAUGAAGUAAAUGACAAGUGGAAAAUAAAUAUAUCUCAAAAUUAUGACAAAAUGACAUGUGGCCAAUUGAAUGGGAGAAUGACAAGUGGCAAAAUCAUUCUUAUUUAUUAGGGUAGAUUCUUUUAACUGAAUAUGCAACGGAAGACUGUAAACAUUGUUUAUUUCAAAAACAUUUCAAACCACAACGUUACAUUCAAUUCAAAACCAAAAUAUCAAAAGUAUUUAAUUGUAGCGGAAGCAUAAGUAUCAAAAAUUAAAUAACGUUUCCAAGUGACAUCUUUAUUCUAAGAAUAAACUACCCAAAAAUGACCCUAUCUCACCAAGCCAAGCUCCUAAGCUACAUGUACCAAUUAUAAAGUCACAAAGCAAAGAAACAAGUGUCAGCAAAUGCUUCGUGAUCCAAUAGGAGAUUGUACACAAUCAUAGGGAAAACAUACCAUCCCCUAACAGGUCAAUCAUUCAAAUUAUAAUCAUAUAAACAAAAUUCACAUAUCAAUCAGUAAUCAUCUUUCACAUAAAAUUUUGUCAUUCAAUUUUGUAUCAUCCAUUCGCAUAUCAUUCAUUUGUGUAACAUCAGUUGUAUUCCAUACAUAAUCAUAUCGUAAUCGUAUAUCAUCAUAUCAAAGGAAUGUAUCAUAAUCGUAUAGGUGUAGGUAGUCUCGUAGUAAUACCUAACCCCAAAGGAAAAACUUGUUCGCUACUUGUGUGCCUGGCCAGCCAAAUGCUUUAUGUGGUUCACGAUUCCCACCCGUCACACCGACCCCAAGACUCCAUUUUCACUACUCUGACUAUGUAAUGUACAAGUACAUCGCGGUGUUGUUCUGGCGUUGGUACAAGCGGUGACAUUCGUCCGCCACCUCCUAACACCUAUGUGAUGUUUGUACAAGCCUCGUUCGAAUGGCCAACAUCACUCCAGUUCGCAAACACCGAAGUGUACGCGUACCAUGUGUCGCACGAGCAUCUAGAAAGAUCGAGCAACUCGUAAAUGGCAUAAUCUCUUUUCCUAGAAGGUAUUUUUCAACCAACCAGGCUCGAAUGAAUCAAGAUAAGGUUUCAUGCUAAGUGCUAGGUUCUACCCUUGCCCUCUAUGCAUAACCCCGCAUAAUCGAUCAUAAAUCAAGUACAAGCAUGCAAUAUUUGUAUUAUCAUAAUCAAGAUUCAUAACAUUUAUACCAAGAAGAUACUCAACAAGGUCAUAGUCAAAUAUCAAACACUUCAUAUAGCAUAUCAUAGUUACAAUUAAUCGUACCAAGUACCAAGAUAAGCAUAUCAACCAAAUUUACUAAGUAUGCAAAUGUCACAGAAGGCAAAACAAUAACAUAUCUCAUACUGCACAUAUAGGCAUAAUCAACAAUUAAUAAUAUUCUAAUUUGACUAAUCGAACAAUUUCCGAAAAGUAGUUUUCCACUAUGUACAAGGUUUAUGAAAAGUCUACUGACUCACCUUAAUAUUCAGCAACCAGACUUCUAUGAGCUUGAUCAGCUCGUAAUCUUCGUAAAAUGUCGAACGGGCCUAAACAUAAUAUGUAUAUGCAUUUAGGUUAUAUGUUAAUACUUGGAUUAUAUAUUAAUAGUCUAAAGUCUCGUAGUCAUAGUAUCUUUGAUUAUAAGCUUUCAUAACUUGGAAAUAUAUCCUAAACACUAUUAUAGUUUUGUUUAAUUUAAACUCAUAUUUGACUUCAUUAAUUUAUAAACAAAACACGGAUUUAAGUUAGACUCCUUGUCGCGUUUUACUUAUAAGUGAUAUAUAUUCAUAAGAUGAUCAUGAUUCUGUUAUCUAUUUAUUUAAUUUAAUUUUUAACACUAUGUACAGACGGACAUCACUUUGACCACACAAACAGUAACCGAAUUACAUGAGAUAUUACUUUAUUUUACUUCAUAGUGGAUUACAUUGUCAAGUUGUAAGUUUCAUUCAGGGGCUUAAGUAAUCAACUAUGUGAGUCUCAUGCAGAUAGUUAUGCAUGACCUCAAACCAACUGUUAGGUUUUGUGCCUCGAAUUGUCACAAAAGCAUAAUUCUAUGUGUAAGCUUCUUAAAAUAAUAGCAUAGCUAUUAAGCUAUACACACAUAAUUAUAUUUAUAGUUAUUCCAGCAUCAAACAAGGUUAAAUAGGAAGGAAAUUUAGGUUGUGGGUCAUAAGCAUCGUGGGUAUCAUGGCAUGUAAGAUUAUGUCUAAUAUAUAGCACAAACCCAAGGGUUGUUAUAUGGCUGAUACGAACGGGUCUUUUGGCAGCUAUUGGGACAGAAAUUCUAAGAGUUUUGCAUAAAAACUAAUACAAGGUAUAUUGCAUCUUCAACUUGUUAGAGCUAGAAUAGGAUUUCAUGGCUAUUGAAAUUUUAGUAAAUUAUCAAAGGAUCAAGAAACCAAAUUAUUGAAUAAGAACAAGAAAGGAAGAAACGUUACAUAUCUCUGGUUAAGUACUUACCAGAAGUGAGCUAGCAAAAACAGUCUCCCUUCCUUCUCUCGUCACUCACGUCGUUGCUCUUACUUUCACUCUCUCUCCCGUUUUUUUUUUUUUUUUUGAUGUUGUCGCCUAGUGUAGCAGCCCCAGAAGAAUGAAGGGUGUGGUCUUUUAAAAAAAAACCCAUGGCAGCCCAAUCGUAAGAGAAACAAACGAAAAAGGAGAAAAACGGAUCUCCUUAGGUUACGAUCUUAUGGGAUUUAAUUCUUUUAUAUGGAAGAUACAAGUUAUGUAACUUAUUAAAUUGGCUAAUUAAUAUCAAAUUUACAAUUAUGGUCCCUGAACUUUUAUAUUUGUUUUAAUAAUAACCGCAACCAUAUUUCAUAUGAUUUCCCUUCUUUCUUCAAAAUCGCUUAAUUUGAUUUAAAUAGAAAAACCCCCUUUUUUAAUCGUUUUGAAUUAUUAAUUAAAUCUAAAUAUUAACUAAAUACUUUUUAAUCAUUUAGUUACUAUUUAAACCUUUGAUAAUCAUUUAAAUAUCAGUUAAAUCUUUUAAAUCCUAAUUAAUUUUUUUUGUUCAUAUUAUAUACAUAUUAUUGUAUAUAAGAAAAUAUAUAAUCGUAUGCAAAACACAAGUACAAUUUAAUCCUAUAUAACGGAAGACUAACAUCAUUAACAAGGUGACUUUUGGGUCGUUACAAUGUGAUUAUAACAUCAUGUAUUAAGAGUCUAUAGAAUGUGAACUUAUGAAAUUAGAUAAUGGAUGUACCUGAUGUAGAGUCACGAGACUUGACUUUACCAUCUCUAAGAUCUUUGAUCUUAGGUAUUUUGGGCAGCUUCACUUCCAAACUCCCUUCAAUUAAUAGUAAAAACAAAUGGAUUCAUUGGAAUUCUUGGAAUUCGAACCUACAAGCAUUUAUGUUUUAGUUAUGUUCUUAAAAAUUUCUGCUUCAGCAAUCAUCAACAUAUUGGUCAGAUCAAACAAGGUCACGUUGAGAUUCCUCGUAUGAAAGUUCUUAAUGAACUAACCAUAUGACUUAGGAAGAUAAAGAAGAACCAAAUCAUUGGCUUGCUUCUUUGGGAAUAUGAUAUCUUAUCCAAUUUGUCGAAGUACGAUUUCAUUAUUCAGAACAUGCGUACAUAUAAAUCUCCAUCUUCAUGUUUACAUGCCAAAAGUGCUUGAGUUGUUUCAUAUCUUUUAACCCAUGAUGUUUUCCGAGUUACUGGAGGAGGAGGUGGAAGAGAUGAAGGAUGACGAUGUUCAAUUCCAUCAUUACCUAAGGACGGGAGAACAAUAUCACCUUGAUUCGAAUGUGGAAGACCAUCUCCAAAAGAUUGAGGAAAAACAUUUCCCAAAGAAUGAGGAAGACCAUUAUUGUCUUGAUUUGACAUCUAAACUAUGGGAGAAUAGAGAAUUCAAGUUAGUUGGUUUUAAUCCUUAAUUAUUAACCCAAAGUUUAAAUUAAGGCUAGGAUCCGUAUUUCGACCUUUGAAGAGGGAUGUCAUAAUCAAUUUCGAAUCUAUUUUAGGUAGGUAGAGUUAUCUGACCAAUUUCAAUCACAUGAGACUCCUAGAUAUUUUUUGAGAUUCAUCAAAUCUUAUCAAUGUCUUGUUUAUCUCGAUUAUGCUCUUACCAAUUGACUGGGAUGUCGAGGAUCACAAUUAAGAUGUGAGUAACCAUGCACACCCGCCCAAACACCCUCAAUCGAUUUAUGAUCUCCCAUUGAUGUGUCGGUUAACCACACACACUCCAUAAACAAUGAUAAAGAUGAUUUGUUCAUUGUUUCAUCUUUAUAGUCCCAAAUUAGUGUGUUGGUUAACCACACAUGCUCAACUAACGACUCUUAAAGAAACAACGUGUGUUUUCAUGGAUUAGCAGACACUUCACAUUUUUCCUAUAGUAGCUAGAGUUGGGAUUUAUAUAAAAGGUUCUAGUACUUUAAUAACAUUAUACUUUUAAAAGGUUAUUUUCUAUCAAAUCCGUUCGACCACCAAACAAGGGAAAGGUGGGUGAGAGUUGACACCCAUUCAACGGUCAUUUUAUAAGUCGUUUCUUAUACCUCCUUAUAGUAUGGCUUUGUGAAUAAGGCGUACUACUGAUUUGGCUAACUUGUCUUAUACAUAUAAUAUAUUAAACUUUUAACCAUAUAUAGUAUUAGGUGUAUUUUAAAACUUUUUAAAAUACUAGGGUUUAAAAUUAAUUUUUGAAUUAAACUUUUAAUAACAAUUAACUUUAAACAAUUAAUGUUUUACCAAUUAUCAUUUAAUUAACAAAUUAAAUUAAUUCAAAUCAUUAAGGAUUUACAUAAUAAUCUUCAAUUAAACAAUUAAUAAAAUAAUUCAAAUUUAAAUCAUAAUGGAUUAGAUAACUAUCUUCAAUUAAACAAUUAAUAAAAUAAUUCAAAUUUAAAUCAUAAUGGAUUAAUUAACUAUCUUCAAUUAAACAAUUAAUAAAAUAAUUCAAAUUUUCUUUAACCCUUAAAUUUUUUGAAAAGGGGUAAGGGUCACCAAGUUUUAAUUAUACAAAUUUUAAGGCAUUAUACAUUAUAUAUAGGGAAAAUAGAAACCCUAAGGAUCAUACCAAUUUUCAAAAGUAAGGGUGAAUGCUAGGGUUUCAAAAACCCUAGCCAUCAUCAAAAUUUUUAAGGCCAUUAGAGUUUAAUUUCCAAAAACACUAAUUUUAAUCAAUUCAUUAUUAUGCACAAUCAUUUAGAAAACUAAGACUCUGAUGCCACUGAUGAGUUUUCAAGGUUAUAAAAAAAAUUCAUGUGGUGGAAAAACACUUAAACCUUUAACAUACAACCUAGAAAUGAUCUAUGUUUUCUCUAUUGAUAGAAAUGGCCUAUGAGUUAGGGGUGUGCGCGGUGCGUUUUGGUGCAGUUUAGAGUUAAAACCGCGAAUCGCACCACAUUUGUGGUUUGAGAUUUUCGAAAACCACAAACUGCACCGCAAAUGUCCUAAACUGCGUUAUGCGGUGCGGUGCGGUUUGAUGAAGUGCGGGCGGUUUAAUUGCGGUUUGAUAAUAAUUUUUAGUAUUGCAUAUUUUACUAUGAGACACAUUACAUUAUUUGUUUUAAGAUCUUAAAAUUUUAAUGAUAGUAAAAUUAUUUAAAAUUGAUGAAUACAAUUAUUAUUAGGGUCGAUGAUUACAUAUUCUGCCCUUUUUGAUUUGUUUCCCUUCGGAUAUUUGAUUUUUGGAAGAAAUAUAACGUUAACUUUUGUCAUACAUAUAUUUAUAUAGUUGAUAUAUUAAAAUAUGCAAUACUAAAAAAUUAUUAUCAAUGUUUUGAUUUAGGAACUUCACAAACAUAUUUAUAAUUUAUAUAUUGUUGGACGUUUUGGUGACUUUGUGAUAUUUGAUCAAUAAUNNNNNNNNNNNNNNNNNNNNNNNNNNNNNNNNNNNNNNNNNNNNNNNNNNNNNNNNNNNNNNNNNNNNNNNNNNNNNNNNNNNNNNNNNNNNNNNNNNNNNNNNNNNNNNNNNNNNNNNNNNNNNNNNNNNNNNNNNNNNNNNNNNNNNNNNNNNNNNNNNNNNNNNNNNNNNNNNNNNNNNNNNNNNNNNNNNNNNNNNNNNNNNNNNNNNNNNNNNNNNNNNNNNNNNNNNNNNNNNNNNNNNNNNNNNNUGCGGUGCGGUUAUUAGUUUUCAAAAACCGCAAAAAAACCACACCGCAGCGCAUAUAUUAUAUAUAACUUUUUUUUUAUAAAUUAUUAAUAUAUUAAAUAUUAAAAAUAAAACAAGUUUAUGAAUAAAAGAUGAAUAAAAUAUUAGAAGACAAAAGUAUGGUUUUUUGUUAUGUUUAACUUUGAAAAAUUGUGAAAAUAGAUAAUUUUAAGAAAUUUAUUGUUAAUUACUAUUGAUUUGACGUUUUUAAGUUAUUAAUUGUUUGUGAUUUAACUUAAUUGUCUUAUACAUUAUGGUUUUUUUUAUUAUUACAAAUAAUAUGUUUGAAUUCUUAAAACCAUUUGAACUCUAAACUAUGGUUAAAAACUACACAAAAUAACCACACCAAAUCCAUGUGGUUAAUAACCGCAACACAGAACAAACAAAACCGCACCGCAAAACUAACCGCCUAACCGCACCGCAAAACUAACAGCACCAAGCGGUUAUGAAAAUGGAUUAACCGCAUUUGCGGUUACUUGUGUGGUUUUGGCUAAUAACCACACCAAACCGCACCGCGCUCACCCCUACCGCAUAGUGCGGUUUACAAAAAACACAAACCACAAACCACACCGCGGAUGUUCAAAACCGCAUUUUGCGGUGCGGGCGGUUUUUGCAGUUUGUGCGACUUUAUGCACACCCCUACUAUGAAUAUUAAGAAACCCUAGAGAGCGGCUAUGAAAAUCAAAAUUAACAUAAAGAUUACGAUUACAUUCCUUUUGAUUACUAAAGUAAAUAAUCAAACCAAAAUUUUCUUGAAGUUCCUUGGAAAGCAAACACCAAAAGCUUGGAUGCCUCUAAUGGCUCAUACUUAAAAGCUUAGAAACCCUAGAAUGAUGAGGAGAGAGAUGAGAGAGGUGGAAUUUUCAUUCCUAUGCUUAUAGGAAGGAGCGACAAAAAUAUAAGACCCUUAAGGGGCUAUUUAUAGGUGAUUAAGAUAUUCUAAGGUAACCCUAAUUUGAAUAUUAUAAUUAUAUCUCAAUUAAGGUAGCUUCUUUUUACUAUUUCCUUGCCCUUCAAGGCUUCUGCAAGCUUUCAUUUGCUUAACUUUUAAACAUUGUCAUCUUUAGUCCUUAUACUUUUAAAUAAUUCAAUUAAUUUCAAAAUUAAUUCCAAUUAAUUUCUGGUUAAUAAUUAAUUAAUUAUAUUUGAUUGCUUAUUAAUUUAUUAAUGAUACAAAUUAGCAAAUAAAUUAUUUAACAAUUGAGCUCAUAUUAACUUAAUAAUCAUAUAAUAAAUCAACAAUCAACUAUCUAUUUCAAAUUAAUAUAUUAAUCACAUAAUAUAUUAAUAAAUCAUUUUACCAUAAUUUCCAAUCAGUUUAUCAUAUAAUAAUCUAAUAAAUUAUACUUUUCUCUCCUAAAAUCAUUUCUAGCCAUUUUCGGUAAUGAGGGAAACCUAAAAGGACUUUGCUUCUAAUAAUAAAAAUAUACCAAUUUUCUUACUGGCAAGGUUGUAAAAAACGUUUAACAUUAGCUAGUCGGUAACUGGGUUAAGGGAUUAAUCGGCUAGGCGGAGAUUAAUCGAGGACCAUUAAUUGUUAAUUUGUUGAAUGUUAAAAAAUUAAAUAUGACUAAAAUCAUAACAAAGUUGAUAAGUACCUUUAAUAUCAUAGGAAAAUAGAUUAAUAUGAUUAAUAUAACACUACUCAUUCCUCAAAUAGUUUGUAUUAUGAUAGAACUUCUUCAAAAUGUUAAAACUUCAUCGUUUUCUAAUGAUUCACUCAUUGUGUAUGCAAGGAUUAAUCGUUAUGCGCCCUCUAGUAGGUCAAGUAACGCCUAAAGAUUAAUCGGAGAAUAAUCGGGACAUAGUCGGGAUUUGUACAACACUGGUUACUAGAUUAGACAUUUUAAUUCAACACUAAAAGCAUGAAGUAAUAUUUAUUUUAGCAAUUAUAUAAUGGCAUAAAGAUAGUGCCACUAAAACUCAAAAUUUCUUUAGUGGCCUAAUAAAAAAGUGCUACUAAAACCCAAUAAGGCUGCAACAGCACAACAAAAAAAUGUCACUAAAGACCUGAAGUGGCAGCUCUUUUGGUGACAUUGUUUUAUGUGUCGCUGAUUCCNNNNNNNNNNNNNNNNNGGGGGGGCUUUAGUGGCACAUUUUCGAUUUUUAGUGGUACUUUUUUUAUGCUACUAAAUAUCAUUUAGUUUGUAGUGUUGAUUGGAUCUUUGCAUUCUGCAUCAACUACCAGGUCUCCCCUUGAGGACUCAAAUGAUAUCAAAAGUUGUUAUUCUUGUAACUUCUGUAUGGUUGUUUUCUUUCCAACUCUUAAUACAUUUAUAUCCCAAUUUUAUCUCAAACCUUUAGACCCCAAAUAAAAUCGCAACAUUAAAGAUUUGCACAACAAACUUGUACACCAACAAAACCUUUAAUUUAUUCAGGGUGAUGAGAGAGGGGCAUCAUCCGUUCUUAAGGAGAAUGUAUGGACGGGAAUAGACCUCCCAGUAUGCCAAUAUGACUAGCAACAACGCCUCUUUUCCCUCCUGCAUCGUCUUUAUCAAUAUCACUACAAGGAAAAAGGUCAUUACCGGCGACUUUCGGCGACAAAAGUCGCCGGUAAAAGUCCCAAAAGUCGUCGGUACUGAGUCACCACUACUGCUUCGUCGCUAUUGAUCACUAUGUCGCCGCUAAUGAAAAUGUCGCCGCUAAUGAGUAAUGUCGCCUCUAAUAAACAUGUUGCCGGUAAUGACCCUUGUCGCCGAUAAAAGUGUCGCCGGUAAUAACAGUUUUCAAUUUUUUUUUAAUUAAUGAUUUUGGUUAGUGGUGAUAAUGUCGCCGGUAAAAGUGUCGCCGGUAAUAACAGUUUUCAUUUUUUUAAUUAAUGAUUUUGGUUAGCGAUGAUAAUGUCGCCAGUAAAAGUGUCGCCGGUAAUAACAAUAUUCGAUUAAAUAUCAAAAAUAAUAGUGUCGACGCUAAUUACAAAUAGUGUCAAAAGUCAUAAUAUCCGAGUAGCAAAACAACCAAAUUUUUACAAUCUACCAAGUAGCAAAGCAUGACAACAUAUGCAAAUAAAAUACAUCCUUACAUACCACCAUCUUUGUUCCCAUCAUUUCCUUGAUUAUUGUGGGAUUGAAAAAACGAAUAAAGCUCAUCCCUACAUGUCGGGUCGCUGAGCAUUGCACGAAGAUUUUUCAACUAUAUAAUUAAUAACAANUAUAUAUAUAUAUAUAUAUAUAUAUAUAUAUAUAAACUUAUAAGUUAGAUUGUCAAACAUAAACAAAAACUAUCAAAAUACAUUGCUAUUUUGAAACUAAGAUAGAAAACCAAAGUACAUUGCUAUUUCUUGCACUUGGGACAAAAACCAAAUUACCAAACUUUUUAGCAAAUAAUCACCACAAAACCAAAAUUACCAAUUCAACAUGCAUUUUACGAUGCUAAAGUAGAUUGCUAUUUUUAAACUAAGAUAGAAAACCAAAGUACAUUGCUAUUUCUUGCACUUGGGACAAAAACCAAAGUAGAUUGUUUUACCUGUGAUGGUUGUGAUGAUUGUUGUGAUGGUUGCGAAGGCUGUGGAAUCGGCGGGAGAGCAGAAGGUUUACUGCCAAUGCCUCUAAUAUGGCUACGUCGCUCUCCUAAUACUUUCUCGAAUGCAACUCUUUCUUGUGCGGGUGUUAACUCACUUUCACAUUGAGUUUGUUCUAACAGCUCUUCGACUAACCGAUUCUGUAACUCCCAAAAGUGAGUAAUAAUUAAGUAUAAAUAAACAUUUAAUUAUAUGAUAAAAUUAUAAUUAAAUACUUACGUAUUGUUGUUCUGCCUCAGCUGUAACAAAUACACCAUUCUUAUCGGUAUGAGCUUUGCGAAACGUUUCCACUCUCUUAAGGUUCUGUUUAACUUUAAAAAUUAGAUUAUAUUUUAAAUAAAUAAUUACAUGUAUCGUACGUACCUUCUUAUAGCAAGUACUGCUAUACGAGCUUGAACCCCCACGAUUCACACUUGUUUGCAUUUCACGGACUUUUUUGUUCCUUUCUGAUGCAAUUCUGUGUUCGUCCGUUUGAAAAUACUCAACUGCCUUCGCCCAGUUAUCAACUAGCAUACCCUCCGGAGGAUUGACUAAUGCUCCCAGGAUAUCAUCAUACCCUCCCACUAACUUAAAAUAUUCUUUUGCGUCAGCUUUAUGUUCUCGAUAACCUUUUAACAAAGCUGCUUGAAAACUCUCUGUCAACAGAUUAGCUUGUACAUCCUGGUACAUCUGAUCCAAAUCAAACUUUGUCUACAAAAAAAAAAUAAGUUAACCAAGUAAAAAACAAUUAUAGUUAACCGUAUAAAAUAUAUUUAAAUAAAUAAUUACCGCUAAAUGUUGUAAUACGGUGUCUUGUAUUGAAGGGGAAACUUUUUUCCAAGUCCAUUUGUCAAAUGGGACCAUCUGCCACAUUGUUUUUCCAAUUUCUCGGGAAAACAUGUCUUUCGGCUCUCCUACGGGAUCAACUGUGAUAUCCCUAUCAUAUUGCAAGCUAAUUGGUUUCCCCUGGUUCCGUAAGAUUGCUUUUUCAAGUUUUAUAUUUUUUGCUUUUCCUCGAACUUUCCUUCGGGCACGUUCCUCAACUACAAAUAUAAUUAAAAAUAAUUAGAAACGAUAUUUAAUUUAUAAUAAUUGAACAAAAAUAUUAAAUAAAAAUUCAUAAUAAGAUUUACCGUCUUGCUCAUGCUGACCAGCACCUCUACCACCUGGGAUAGGUGGGUCCUCAGCUCCGUCUCCCCCAUGUCCACGACCCAUGACAGCAGCCAUGCUAUACAUAAACAAAAUCCAUAUGCUCAUCAUUUCCUGAAAAACUAUAAGAUAUAUAAAUACAAUUUUUAUUAGAGAUACACAUUACAUAAAAAUAAACAUUUACAUAGGAAUACACAUUUCUAUUUAAACUAGAAAUCAAAAUAAAGUUCAUAUUACAAACACAUAUUACAAAUACACAUUACAUACGUACGCCUGAGUUCCACAAAUGUUUAAGCUCUUCCACCAACAGUCUAAGGAAAACAUCCAUAUCCUUGCCAGGAGCUUUCGGGCCUGGAAUCAACAAAGUCAACAUGAAUGAUGACUCUUUCAUACAAAGCCAGGGUGGCAGAUUGUAUGUGAUGAGUAUGACCGAUCAUGUGCUAUGUGGAUUACACAUGUUUCCAAAUGGAUUGAAACCGUCAGCUGAAAGACCUAGGCGUACAUUACGGGGUUCAUUGGAGAAGUCGGGGUAUUUUUUUAUCAAAAUAUUGCCAAUGUUCCCCAUCAACGGGAUGAAGCGUCACACCAUCUUCUGAACGUCUGGUACUAUGCCAAAUCAUAUUUUUGGCAGUGUGCCUCGAGCAAUAUAAACGUCGUAGUCUAGGGGUCACAGGAAAGUACUGUAACACCUUAUGAGGUACUUUCUUACCCUUGGUAUUUUUAUCGAUCCAUCGGCUCUAUUUACAAACGGGACAAACUUGCAAUGAAUCGUGUUCUUUCCAAAAGAGACAACAAUCGUUUUUGCACACAUGUAUCGACUCAUACCCCAGGCCAAUAGACUUUAGUUUCUUUUUGGCUAGAUAAUGUGAAAGGGGAACCUUGUUGCCUUUGGGAAAUGCUAAUUGCAAGAGCUCAAGGAGUUGAUCAAAUGAACUAUCAGUCCAUUUGUUGUUCACCUUGAUAUGCAUUAACUUUGCUAGAAACUCAAGGGAAGAAAAGAUGCAACCAGUAUACAAUUGAGUUUCCAUUUCUUCCAACAACUGUGCAAAAUCAUCAUCCACACCGCUACCCCUUGUAUUCGAGGUUCCUUCAUCGAGGUUGGUAUCAUUUUCUCUCGACUCCCACAUCACAUCGUCGAUUAAAUCGGCCAUUUCGUUACUUGGCAAGACGACUGGAGGAAUAAAAGAUUCACCAUGAUAGAUCCAAAUUUUGUACGACUUACUGAAACCAUUUAUAAAUAUAUGGCGUUCAACUGCAGUCGGGUACUUGAAGUAACGGUUAUCACAUUUUNCAAAAAUAAUAGUGUCGACGUUAAUUACAAAACAAACAUCCGAUUAAAUAUCAAAAAUAAUAGUGUUAAUGCUAAUUAAAAAAACAAACAUCCAAUUACAAUUAAAUAUCAAAAGUCAUAAUAUCCGAUUAAAUAUAAAAAGUAAUAAUGUCGUCCGGUAAUUACAAAAAACAACCAAAGUUUUACAAUCUACCAAGAUAGCAAUUAAAGCGUGACAACAUUUGCAAAUAAAACACAUCCUUACACACCAUCAUCUUCGUUCUCAUCGUUUCCUUGAUUAUUUUGGGAUUGAAAAAACGAAUAAAGCUCAUUCCUACAUGUUGGGUCGUUGAGCAUUGCACGAAGAUUUUUCCAACUACAUAAUUAAUAACAACAUAUAUAAACUUAUAAGUUAGAUUGUUAAACAUAAACAAAAACUAUCAAAAUACAUUGCUAUUUUUAAACAAAGAUAGAAAACCAAAGUACAUUGUUAUUUCUUGCACUUGGGACAAAAACCAAAGUAAAUUGUUUUACCGUCGAGAUUAUGUCAGUUGCAUUUUAUGCAUUCAUUUUGUAGUUUUAAUCCAUAAAAUUGCAUUGCAUUUAAGUUUAAACUCAUGUAUUUUGCAUAUUUUUCGCGAUUUUUCAUGAUGCAAUUUGAUUCACACUUUUAUGAUAUUUCAGGGACUUUUGAAGGAAGAAUCUUAGUUGAGGUGAUGAAGAGGAGAUAUGGACAAAGUUUCGGGACAAUUGGAUCAUCGAGGAGGAAGUUUUGAAGAAAAUUAAGAUUUUGGCUUUACAGAAGUUUGCACGGCUGUGUAAAUGAAAGGGUUGAGUUUACACGGGCCGUGUAAACAUAAAUUCAACAGCAAUGUGCUUCGAAGGUCUGGCAGAUUUGAGCAAUUUAUCUUUUGUAUUUACACGGCCGUGUAAAUGAUCAGUUAUAGUUUAUACGGGCCAUGUAAACGUGUCGCCAGUUUUUAAAACAGUUUCGUUCUAAUUUCAAGAAGGUAACCGGUUCCAAAGGAAGGGGGGUCGUAUUUUGGAGUUCUAGGAGGCGAUUUUGGAAGCUUUAAGAAGACAAUUGUUGCUUGAAAACACUUGGAUUUCAUUUUGAUUUCAAUUUAUAAGGUUUAACUCUUAAUUUCUAGGUUUGUGUUUGUUCUAGCAUCCUACUUAUACCAAAACCAUAUACUUUUACAUAAUACAUAAUAACAUGAAAUUCACAUACUUUUACAUACAUAUACCACAUAUACACCAAAUACAAAUACAUUCACACACACAAAAUAGCAUCCUACUUAAACCAAAUACACAUAAUUUCACAUAUAUAGAUAAUAACAUCCUAUUUAUACCAAAUACAAAAAUUUCACAAUCAUAUACCACAUUUACAACAAACAUACAUACAUUCACAUACACACAAUAACAUCCUACUUAUAACAAAUACAUAUAAUUUCACAUAUCAUAUAUAUAGUUCUACCAAAUACUCAUAUACCACAUACAUCAAAUAUCAAAUAUACACACAAUUUUCACAUACAAAUAUCAAAUAUACACACAAUUUUCACAUACAAAUAUCAAAUUCACAAAAAAAACAAAAUAAUAGAACCUGUAGUGAUGGAAAUCAACAGGUAAUAGCUGGAAAAACUAUUAUUCACCCGAUGUAGCUACAAAUCCAAAACCUGGGAGCCAUCCAAAAUGUCACAAAUCACUUCAACAUUAUUUGCAAGGAUAACAUACAAAUUAAAUUACCAAAACUUGGAAAUUUAAUCAACACUUUUUCAGUGUUAACAAACAAAUUAACAAGGAAAUUAUCAAAGAAAUUUUCAAAUCAAAUUACCUUAAUUUCUUCAAGAACUCCACUUAGAAAUUGGUCCCAAAUCACACCUUAAUCCCUAAUACACUUAAUAUGACACAAGAUAUGGAGAAAUCAAGAUGGAAGAAGAAAUUUGAGGAAGAACUCGGUAGAAGGUAUAAGGGGCGAAGGAGAAGAGGCAGCAAACAGAAAGCAAAUGAGAAGAAUGAAGUUCUGCGUGUGUUUUUUUUUAUCUGCGUGAGCCUUUAGCGGCGACAAUUAGGUUAUUACCGACGACUAUUAUCAAUCACGGCGACAAUCUGGAGGGAAGGGUACCCGGUCAUUUUUUAGUGCAUCAUUAGCGGCGACAAUUUCAAGCUUUAGCGGCGACACAUAUGUCGCCGGUAUUAGGUUAGUUGGGAUAAGGGUACCGUAACCGUUGGAUUAGAUAUUUGAUUGAAUGGUGUAGAUGUAACGGAAGGGGAAGACGCGGAUUCAGGUGAUCACCCAUUAGCGGCGACUCUAGAGAGUGUCGCCGCUAAAGGUACCUGUCGCCGGUAAUAGCGUCGCCGCUAAAAAGUUUCACAAUCAUAUACCACAUUUACAACAAAUAUACAUACAUUCACAUACACACAAUAACAUCCUACUUAUAACAAAUACAUAUAAUUUCACAUAUAUUUAGAUAAAAAAUCAUAUAUAUAUGUAUANUUCACAUACAAAUAUCAAAUUCACAAAAAAUGAAAUAAUAGAACCUGUAUUGACGGAAAUCAACCGGUAAUAGCUGGAAAAACUGUUAUUCACCCGAUGAAACUACAAAUCCAAAACCUGGGAGCCAUCCAAAAUGUCACAAAUCACUUCAACAUUAUUUGCAAGGAUAACAUACAAAUUAAAUUACCAAAACUUGGAAAUUUAAUCAACACUUUUUCAGUGUUAACAAACAAAUUAACAAGGAAAUUAUCAAAGAAAUUUUCAAAUCAAAUUACCUUAAUUUCUUCAAGAACUCCCCUUAGAAAUUGGUCCCUAAUCACACCUUAAUCCCUAAUACACUUAAUAUGACACAAGAUAUGGAAAAAUCAAGAUGGAAGAAGAAAUUUGAGGAAGAACUCGGUAGAAGGUGUAAGGGGCGAAGGAGAAGAGCCAGCAAACAAAAAGCAAAUGAGAAGAAUGAAGUUCUGCGUGCGUUUAUUUAUCUGCGUCAGCCUUUAGCGGCGAUACUUAGGUUAUUACCGGCGACUAUUAUCUGGAGAGAAGGGUACCCGGUCAUUUUUUAGUGCAUCAUUAGUGGCGACAAUUUCGAGCUUUAGCGGCGACACAUAUGUCUUCGGUAUUAGGUUAUUUGGGAUAAGGGUAUCCUAACCGUUGGAUUAGAUAUUUGAUCGAACGGUGUAGAUGUAACGGAAGGGGAAGACGCGGAUUCGGUGAUCACCCUUUAGUGGCGACUCUAGAGAGUGUCGCCGCUAAAGGUACAUGUCGCCGGUAAUAGCGUCGCCGCUAAAAAGUUUCACACUCAUAUACCANAUAUAUAUAUAUAUAUAUUUCUACCAAAUACUCAUAUACCACAUAUAUCAAAUCAAAUAUACACACAAUUUUCACAUUUGACAAUUUUCACAUAAUUUUCACAUACAAAUAUCAAAUUCACAAAAAAUGAAAUAAUAGAACCUGUAGUGACAAAAAUCAACCGGUAAUAGCUGGAAAAAAUGUUAUUCACCUGACGAAACUACAAAUCCAAAACCUGGGAGCCAUCGGAAAUGUCACAAAUCACUUCAACAUUAUUUGCACGGAUAACAUACCAAUUAAAUUACCAAAGCUUGGAAAUUUAAUCAACACUUUUUCAGUGUUAACAAACAAAUUAACAAGGAAAUUAUCAAAGAAAUUUUCAAAUCAAAUUACCUUAAUUUCUUCAAGAACUCCACUUAGAAAUUGGUCCCCAAUCACACCUUAAUCCCUACUACACUUAAUAUGACACAAGAUAUGGAGAAAUCAAGAUGGAAGAAGAAAUUUGAGGAAGAACUCGGUAGAAGGUGUAAGGGGCGAAGGAGAAGAGGCAGCAAACAGAAAGCAAAUGAGGAGAAUGAAGUUCUACGUGCGUUUUUUUAUUUGCGUCAGCCUUUAGCGGCGACACUUAGGUUAUUACCGGCGAUUAUUAUCAAUAGCGGCGACAAUCUGGAGGGAAGGGUACCCGGUCAUUUUUUAGUGCAUCAUUAGCGGCGACAAUUUCGAGCUUUAGCGGCAACACAUAUGUCGCCGGUAUUAGGUUAGUUUGGAUAAGGGUACCCUAACCAUUGGAUUAGAUAUUUGAUCGAACGGUGUAGAUGUAACAGAAAGGGAAUACGCGAAUUCGGGUGAUCACCCUCUAGCGGCGACUCUAGAGAGUGUUGCCGCUAAAGGUACCUGUCGCCAGUAAUAGCGUCGCCGCUAAAAAGUUUCACAACCAUAUACCACAUUUACAACAAACAUACAUACAUUCAAAUACACACAAUAACAUCCUACUUAUAACAAAUACAUAUAAUUUCACAUAUAUUUAGAUAAAACAUNCCUACUUAAACCAAAUACACAUAAUUUCACAUAUAUAGAUAAUAACAUCCUAAUUAUACCAAAUACAAAAAAUUCACAAUCAUAUACCACAUUUACAACAAACAUACAUACAUUCACAUACACACAAUAACAUCCUACUUAUAACAAAUACAUAUAAUUUCACAUAAUAACAUCAUAUAUAUAUAUUUCUACCAAAUACUCGUAUACCAUAUACAUCAAAUAUCAAAUAUACACAUCAUUUUCACAUACAAAUAUCAAAUAUACACACAAUUUUCACAUUUGGCAAUUUUCACAUACAAAUAUCAAAUUCACAAAUAAAUGAAAUAAUAGAACCUAUAGUGACAGAAAUCAACCGGUAAUAGCUGGAAAAACUGUUAUUCACCCGAUGAAACUACAUAUCCAAAACCUGGGAGCCAUCCAAAAUGCAAAAUGUCACAAAUCACCUUAACAUUAUUUGCAAGGAUAACAUACAUAUUAAAUUACCAAAACUUGGAAAUUUAGUCAACACUUUUUCAGUGUUAACAAACAAAUUAACAAGGAAAUUAUCAAAGAAAAUUUCAAAUCAAAUUACCUUAAUUUCUUCAAGAACUCCACUUAGAAAUUGGUCCCAAGUCACACCUUAAUCCCUAAUACAGUUAAUAUGACACAAGAUAUGGAGAAAUCAAGAUGGAAGAAGAAAUUUGAGGAAGAACUCGGUAGAAGGUGUAAGGGGCGAAGGAGAAGAGGCAGCAAACAGAAAGCAAAUGAGAAGAAUGAAGUUCUACGUGCGUUUUUUUUAUCUGCGUCAGCCUUUAGCGGCGACACUCGGGUUAUUACCGACGAGUAUUAUCAAUAGCGGCAACAAUCUGGAGGGAAGGGUACCCGGUCAUUUUUUAGUGCAUCAUUAGCAGAAACAAUUUCGAGCUUUAGCGGCGACACAUAUGUCACCGGUAUUAGGUUAGUUGGGAUAAGGGUACCCUAACCGUUGGAUUAGAUAUUUGAUUGAACGGUGUAGAUGUAACGGAAGGGGAAGACGCGGAUUCGGGGGAUCACCCUUUAGCGGCGACAGGGACCUUUAGCGGCGACUCUAGAGAGUGUCGCCGCUAAAGGUACCNNNNNNNNNNNNNNNNNNNNNNNNNNNNNNNNNNNNNNNNNNNNNNNNNNNNNNNNNNNNNNNNNNNNNNNNNNNNNNNNNNNNNNNNNNNNNNNNNNNNNNNNNNNNNNNNNNNNNNNNNNNNNNNNNNNNNNNNUUUUUUUUUUAUCUGCGUCAGCCUUUAGCUUAUUACCGACGACUAUUAUCAAUAGCGGCGACAAUCUGGAGGGAAGGGUACCCGGUCAUUUUUUAGUGCAUCAUUAGCGGCGACAAUUUCGAGCUUUAGCGGCGACACAUAUAUCGCCGGUAUUAGGUUAGUUGGGAUAAGGUUACCCUAACCGUUGGAUUAGAUAUUUGAUCGAACGGUGUAGAUGUAACGGAAGGGGAAAACGCGGAUUCGGGUGAUCACCCUUUAGCGGUGACGCUAUUACCGGCGACAGGGACCUUUAGCGACGACUCUAUCUAGAAAAGUGAUUUUCUUGUAGUGAAUUACUCUGUUUUUCUUCUUCUUUGUAGGAUGCUAGAGAGUGUGAGAGGGGAUUAAUCGUGCUAUAACCCUAUCAAUGUUCCUUUUAUCAAAACUCUAGAAUUUCAAUACAUUCUACAAAAAAAAUUCAAUAGAUGAUAAGAAUAAUCAAUAAAAUUAAAAUAAAAAUUGUACAAUAAGAUAGAAAAAAUAAACAUAGGGUUCGAGUUGCAAAGAAGGUGAGCUGAUAGGUCUCGUUUGGCAUCUUCGUCUUGGUCAAAGAUUAUAGAGAAGAAAAUACAAAUGUACCUCAGAUGGCUAUUUGAAAGCAAGCGGUGGUGUGUAGAAAGAACCAUCGACUUGGGGGUCUUUGGUGGUGGCAGCAAACAAUGGUCACGUUAGUAAGAUUAGAGUUUUUGGUUAGAGAGUUGAGAGGAUACGCUAUUUAAAGAGAUAGAGGGAGAACCUUGUAGAAGAUACACCGAGCCAUAGAUCGUUUGAUUAUAAGGCCAUAUUCUUCAAUUGCAUUAUAGCCUUAAUUUCUUCAAGAUUCUUCAUACUAUUUGUUAAAAUAGAAAGCACCAAAGAUUUGAAGGCGAUUGGAAGAAGAUGCAAAAUAAAAUUGAAGCCCUUUCAGAAGCAAAAUGGGUUUAUUUGUAGAUGCACAUUGAUGAUUGAUUUGGAAAGGAUAAAGGAUUUGAAUUUGAGGGUGACACAAUCAAAUGGAUGUGUAUGUGUGAU